rnacentral:lncRNA from 1 species
AACCAUAAUGUUCAAGUCAAGAUGAGCGAUGUGCUGCAGCCCUACCAAAACCAUUUUCUUUUAGAAAAUCCCAUUUUGUUUUUUUUCCACUGGCUCCCAAUCCCUCUCUACCUAAAACCCCAUAUUGCUCUUUUUCCAUGAGCCAUAAAUCUCUGCCUCUCCAAGAUCCCAUUUUACUCUUUCUCUAUGCCCCCGAUCAUCGUCUCCCAGCAAGCCUCUAGCUUCCUUUCUAGAAUUGCUAAAAUCUUACUCUUUUGCUGGCUCUUCAUCGGUCCAUCUCCCCCUUUAUAAACACCAUUUUUCAUUUCUCUCUACACAAAUAUAUAUAUAUAUAUAUAUAUAUAUAUAGAAGUAGUUAGNNNNNNNNNNNNNNNNNNNNCUCUCUACACAAUAUAUAUAUAUAUAUAUAUAUAUAUAUAGAAGAUUAGCAAAUCCAAGAAAGAGAGAGAGGCAAUGCAUAUUUCUCCCUCCACAAACUUCUGUUUUCCUUUCUCUCUCAAAGAUACUCUCCCUUUUCUUUUGGGAAAGGUUUCUAUGCUUUCCCUACAACAUAGAAGUUAUAUCUUUCUUCUACCAUUCAGCCGUCCAAUUUUGAUCAAGAGAUUCACUCAUCGUUUGAUCUUAGAUCCGACGUCUCAAAGUAUUUUAUUUUAGUUUAUUUUAUACAAUUUGUAUGAAUAUAAAAUUAGGUAUGUGCCAUCUUUUCAUUGGGGGUGCACCUAUAAAAAAUAUUAAAAAUAAAUUUUCUAUAAAAUAUAAUGACCAAAAUACCCAUUGAAACUUUCAGGGAUAUUUUGGUCAUUUUAUUUUAUUGAAAAUAUUUUUUUUAUAUAUUUUUUCGUCAUUGCGAGUUCAAUAGAGGAAUGGACGUCCAAAAUUCGGUGUCAAAAUAGUUUAUAAAAAAAUUUAAAAUAAAAUUGUAUAGGGACGUGGCAUUGUGCUUGGGGCAAUCUUAGCCCUCCAUUCAAAAUGGACGGUUGCAUAAGGAGGAGGAUAGAACUUCUAUACUGUAAGAAAAGUAUAAAGCUUGCCCUUUUUUUUUAUCCACAAGCACAUUUGAAAACAAAAUUAGGUCCCAUCUCAAUAUAGAUGUCUUGGUUUUUUUGUUUCUCUCUAGAAGUGAACUUACAUAACCAGCAAUGCUGAAUGAAGAAAGAGAGAGAAUCAUGCUCUAUCUUCUCUCACUAAUUCGACCCAUCUAUUCCUCUCUCUUCUCUCUCUUAGAAAACAAUUUAUGCUAUCUCUACUUAUCUCUACUCUCUAGAGCCUCAAAACAAUAAAAAAGAAAGAUGAUCAUUGUUUUGAGAAUCUGAAAAAAGGGAAAGGUUUUUAUGUUUUUCUUAUAGCAUAGAAGUUCUAUCAUCCCUUUGCCAUCCAGCCGUCCAAUUUUGAUCAAGAGAGCCACUCACCGUUUGAUAUUAGAUCCGACAUCUCAAAGUAUUUUAUUUUUAAUUUUUUUGAUAUAAAUUGUAUGAAUAUGAAAUUUGGCACGUGACAUCUUCUCAUUGGGGCGCACCUAUAAAAAAUAUUAAAAAUAAUUUUUUGAUAAAAUGUUAUGAUAAAAAUACCCCUUGAAAAUUUUAGGGGUAUUUUAGUCAUUUUAUUUUAUUGAAAAUAUUUUUUUUAUAUUUUUCGCUAGUGCAAGUUUAAUAAAAGAAUGUAUGUCCAAAAUUUGGUGUCAAAAUAGUUUAUAAAAAAAAUUAAAAAUAAAAUAGUGUAAAGACCUGAUAUUGCGAUUAGAACAAUCUUAGCCCUUUAUUAAGAUUGGACGGCUGGAUAAGGGAGAUGAUAGAACUUCAAUGAGAAGCAUAUAAAACUUGCCCCCUGAAAAAAAUAAAAAUAAAAAUAAAAAUAAAAUAAAUAAUAAUAAUAAUAAAUUAAAAAUAUCCAAAUUGAAAUACUUUCGGAAUGUCCUCAAAAGAUAAUAAAAAAAUAAAAAUCCAUUUUCCUACCAACUUGCAAAACAAGCAUUUUUCUAAUUCUAGGUAUCUUGUUAUACCAAAUUGGUACCACUAGUCCAUUGUUAUGAGAAUAUGAUAAAAAAAACAAAAUAUCAAAAUCCUAGUUGCAUCUCUUCAAAGUAGCCAUGAAUAAAUGUAAACUAUGCCCAACAACAUAAUUGCAUCUUGAACGCUUAAAGUUUACUAUUAAAAAAUAGUGUAGAAUUCGAAUUGAUCUAUGAACAACUAAAAAUCUUGAAAAUUGACUAUUCAAAAAUAUAUUAUUUCAAGAAAUCCAUUUUUUCUAUGGAGAUUAUCAUUUUGAGAAAAACAAAAUAAAAGAAAAAUUAGCAAAAAUAUAUUAUUUCAAGAAAUCCAUUUUUUCUAUGGAGAUGACAUUUUGAGUAAAACAAAAUAAAAUAAAAAUUAGCAAAAACAAGCCAAAAAUUAAUAAAUACCGACCUGCCCAAGGGGGAGGCAGGGGUUAAGAUGACCAUUUUGAGUAAAACAAAAUAAAAAAGAAAAAUUAGAAAAAAAAAGCCAAAAACAAAAAAAAUACGGACCUGCUCACGGGGGAAUUGGGGGUUGAGCCUGGUUUUUGUUCACGAUUUGAAGAGGUGAUUGUUGAUGAGGGUAAAAAUUCCAUUAGGCCAUCGUUGAGGCUCGAAGAAUGGGGGGAUGGCAAAAGAACGACGAAGAACGGGGAGAGAGAUUGGCAUCCGAUAGAGUAGAAAAGCCUGAAGAAUGGGGAAGAACAGGCAAUGAGAGUAUAAUACCUUGAAAAAUAGGGAAGAACAGAGACAGAGGUAGUAAAGGGCGGUGUGGUGGUUUUAGAGAGAGAAAGGCGGUGCCCUUUUCCCAGUGGUGUGAUUCAGAGAAAGAGAUGGAGGUGCCUCUCCAGCGGUGAUGGUGUGUUCUAGAGAGAGAGACGGAGUGUCGUUUUCCCAGUGAGAAGGAAGCUGGGGUAUCGAGAGAGAGAGAGAGAGAGAGAGAGAGAGAGAGAGAGAGAGAGAGAGAGUAGUUAGUAGUAGUAGGUAGGUAGUAGAGAGAGUAACGAAGAGUAGUACGUACGUACGUACGUACGUACUACGACGCGUACGACGACGUCGUCGUCGUACGUACNNNNNNNNNNNNNNNNNNNNNNNNNNNNNNNNNNNNNNNNNNNNNNNNNNNNNNNNNNNNNNNNNNNNNNNNNNNNNNNNNNNNNNNNNNNNNNNNGACGACGAGACGACGAGAGAGAGACGAGAGAGAGAGAGAGAGAGAGAGAGAGAGAGAGAGAGAGAGGCAAGAGGGAUUUUUGAUAAACGAGGGGUUUGGUUAGAGGAGCGAAAUCGGAAAAAGAGGGAUCUUUAUCCGGCGAAUUCAAGCUCGCGAAGCGCUGCUCUCCAGGUGGGUAGAUGGAAGGGUGCAUUGCUCAUUUUUGAGGAGUUUGCACUUACUACACCCUCGACGCAGAGCGUAACCAAACAAGGAAGUGACGGGCGGGCUGGAACCUGAAAUGCCCGGUAUCCCAAGUUCCAGCUGCUAAACACGCCCUUAGGGUUUCUUUCAUUGAUGAGUGAAGAAACUUCAGAAUGAAGUUGCUAUAGCUUUCUAAUUCUGAAGAUUUUUAGGAUUUUCUUUCUCAUAACACAAGGAUGGAACCCACCUGUGCAGCCAAAGCCAUGGAGUGGAGUGUGGAGCUCGAGAAAGGCCUUCGUUCUAAAAGGCGUGGUACGAAAUGUUGGCCCACAAUUCUUGUUUUGCAUGAAUAUUUGUUUAUCAGCAUUUUUCGAUUCUUAGGAUUUCAUAACGCUCCUUAAAUCAGGGGGUCGUCAUGAAUUCUGAAAUUUAGGUUUUGAGCCAUUUCUUUGAUUUUUAGGUUUCAUGGAGGGGAAACUCUAGAAUGUCUCUAUAUUUUAUUAUUUCAAUUUAGUCAUUGCUUGGUUUACUUGUGCGUUUAUGUGCACCUAAUCUGCGAGUAAAAUCAUUGAUAAUUUCAUGAGCUCUUAAACUCUUAUGUCAUGUAAUAUUUUUUUCAGUUUAUUUCCUCAUUUUGUAUGAUUUUCGGUAGUUUUUAGUUAUUGGGUCUCUCAUUUAAUCUUUAUUUAUUCUCACAACUGUUUUUCCUCUUUUGUUGAGUAGCUAAUGAUGUUUCUUUUCCUCCUUCGUAUGGUAUUUUUUAUCAUUCAAUAAAUUUCAAAAAACUGAUGUUUUGGAACUCUGUUGAAGUAAAUAAUUGACUUCCCAAUUGCUAUCCCUGCAAUUGGAUUCAUAUCUGAGCUUACCAACCUAACAAACAUGCUCAUCAUGUAGUGCAGGCCACCAAUUAGGACUGUUUGUGUGCAUUUUGACCAUUUCAUAUGUGAGGUCUCUCUGUGUAGUAUAAACUAUUGGGUUGUAAUCCGAGCCGAUUCGUUGUAAUCCAAGAUGAUUCUAACCCAAAAGAAAGUUUGUUAGUAUGGUAAUACAGGUGAUCGUACCAAUAAUAAUACAAUUAAUUAAUUCUGAGAUAUUCUAUAACCGAGUGUCUUUUAUCGUGAACAUCAUCCCCUGCUAAUUGUUAGUCCUCCAAUUUAACUCCAGGCUAACCCAUCCUUCAAAAAAAAAAAAAGACAAAAAAAACAAAAGCUUGUUAAUUAUUUGAUAUGACUCAUCACAUCAUGUCAAGACAACUGAUAAGACCUUUAUUUUAAGUGGUCCCUCAUGGCAUAAACACUGGCUUCCUAGGAAAAAGCUAUUCCUGAAAUCACUCUACCUCAGAAAAUUUGUUCUUUCUCUAAUGCAGGAGACCCCAUUGUUGCUAUCCAAGCAAUGGGACCUAAGCUCCAAAAAUGGAGCACAGAGGCAUAUUGCACUGCCGAAGUAUCAAAUAUGUUUGGUUUAGUCCUGGGUGAGGAUAGGGCAUUUGCGAACUCCAUUCUACUUCGACUUGCAGAUGCAUUCAAGACUGGAAACAAUCACACCAGGGCCUGUAUAUUGAAAGUUUUUCUUGUAGAGCUGAAGAAUCGGAGAAAGAAAGGGAAGUUAUACGAUGGUAUUCUUUCAAGAAAAAGGGUACCCAAUUACUUAGAGAUGCUGAGAAGGGUAAAGAUAGUGUUUGACAAGGGGGGUGUUGAAGCAAGAGCACUAGCUUUACGAGUCUUAGGUUGUUGGGCAGAUUUGGGAAAGGACAGUGCUGAAAUGCGCUACAUGAUACUAUCGGCCUUGGAAUCUCAUCAUGUAUUGGAGGUAAGAUUAUAUGCUUUUGGCAAUCAUUGCUUUUUGUUUAUGUGUCUUUUUUAAACCCACAGGUGUGUGUAUGUGUGUGCGUUUUGGGGUUGGGGAGGAGGAUUGAUUUCAUGAAUUAUUUCAUAAUAAUGUAACAAAGUUUCUUUUUGAAAACCAUUUGGUGGCAUUUGUUUGGCUUGAAAUGUUUUGUCAACACACUAUCUUCAUCUAAGAAAUCAAACUCAAGAAAAAAAGAGAGUUUAUGCUGUAAAAGCGGUUUUUAUUGUUAUGUUUAUUUUUGGCGGUUUUUAUUGUUAUGUUUAUUUUAGAAAACUAGGAAUGUAAGCCCGCCCAUUCGAUGGGAUGGUUAGCACUAAUUAUUUAGAGGAAUUUUUGGACCCCAAAUUGUAUAGAUGACCUUUUGCAUAGCUGGAUGAACAUUAUAAGAAAAAGAAAAGAAUGACUUGAGUUCAUAAAGCAGAAAUCUUAAGUCCUGUUGAAUGGUUUGAGUUCAUAAAGCAGAAAUCUUAACUACUGCUGAAAUGGAUUGCUUGAGUUCAUUAUUGGAACAUGAUUCCAUUGGACCUUUUCUAGGGCACAAAUUCAAGUAUUUUUUUCCCUUGAGAUUGUUUGUCGGGAUGAAGAGGCGUAUGCAUGUUCAAUCCACAUAUAUUUGAUUGGGUUCUGAUUUAGAUCUACGAACAUCAAACAAUGUAUUGUCUUCUAACCGAGCAUGGCUUAAGUCAUGUAGAAAUUUGUCUUUUAAUGUCCUAAAUGAGUGUUCAUGAAUAUGAAUGGGUGUGUUAGUAAUGUAGCGGUGAAAAAUAACAAAAAUAAAGAAAUUGAAAAUCUGAUGCAUCGGUUGAAAAACGGAAGCUUACAAGCCAAGAUUCAGACUCGCUGGUGAAAUUCUGACUCUUAAUAAAAUAAUAUUCAACUCUGAUAGAAAGCUCCUAAUGCAACCACUAUACAUAAUCAUCAUCAUCAUCGUAAAGAUCCUGUUUAGAACCCAAUAAAUACUGAUUCUAAUUGAAUUAGCAGUUCUAAUUAAGACAAAAUUUGUAAUGAUGCUUUUGCCACUAAUAAAAUAAAUAAUUCCAUAAGGACAUAAAUUACUUUUCCGUACUCCCCUUAAAAUCCUAACAAACUGGAAAACCUUGAAAUCCCUAAAAAGGCUUAAAAACCCUAAAAUGAAGCUAAAAUUCCCAAAAAAUACAGCCCUAAAGUCUAGUAAAAAUAAAAAAUUAGAGACAUCCUAUCCUGCAUCAAACUACCUUGAUUGGAGAAAACUCAUCAUCAAGUUUGGAAGUGUCCUAAAAUGAGGCUUGCAUUGAAUCAAUUUUUAACCUUCUUCUCUUUACUCGAAGAUUAUAUUAUUAUUUUUUACUCAAAGAUUCUUUUUUGUAGGAAGAAAUUCUCAAGCAACGGACCUUGAUUGUAUGUUUAGAAACUGACUCAAACAUAUAAAAUUCGGCUAUCGUUGAACGCGCAUUGGAAACUAACUCAAUUUUCUGUAGUUUAGAGGCUUUUCAUAAUGUGCGUGGUGGGUUUAGACAUCGUAGAGCUCUGAGUCUUGAUUCCAAUGAGUACCAAUAAUAGUGAAUUUGUGCUACUAGAAAAAAAAAAUGCUCAGUUGAAGGUGCAUCACUCAAAAUCAGUACAUUGCUUGAUUCUUCCCAACUUUUGGAAUGAGGUUCUCUCGCGGUAUGUUGCAUCUCUGUUAAUUACUCUCUCAAUUGAGGCUCAUGAUAUGGGGCUUAUGAAUCGACCAUUCUUUUGCUGCAUUACUUUGAUGCCAAAGAAUGAAAACGGAAGAAUUCUCCACCUCAUAAACCUUCGUAGCUUUUGGAAUCCUAACCAAGCUAGAAAACCCCUGAAGCUCGUUUUUACCAUAUACCCGAUCAAACACUUUAUAGUUUGUAUGCUGAAUCCAUAACCCCUAUAUUUGCACAAAAGUUCUUGCCCAAGUCUUCCACAACAAACCCUAAACUUUCCUGGUUUUUGUCGCCACCAUCAUGGCUAUCAUCUUCUUCACCUAAGGUUUCCUUGUUCACUUCUCUAUCUGGGUUUUCUUCAUCAUUUUCAAGGUCUAAUCUCUCCUCACUAUCUCCAAGAGAAAGGGUCCCAAUUUCCUCAGGUUCUUCCAAAGGUUCUUCAUCUAAAAUUGGAUUACCCACUUGAUCUCGUUUUGCAUCGUAGAUCGACCCAAUUGCGAGAUCAAAGAAAGGCCAUCGAAAUUGAAAGUUGGAAGACAUACCUGUAAUUAAAGUUUCCUAAUGCGACUCUGAGUCAAUUAUAUGAUUUUUUCCUUUUUCCUCACUAUGGGUACGGGUCAGAUCCCGCAAGUCUGAUCAAACCUAUCUCAAAGAGUAGAAUGAAUUGGGAUUCUGUCCCUUUAACUGUGGAAGCCGCCAGGGGCAUAGUCGUGCCAUCGCUUUCCUCUACUGAAGUCGUUGGAAUGAUUCGUAAUAAGAUAUUGGCUACAAUUGAGGAGGUCUUAUUGAUAAAAUUGCCAUUUAUCCGAGAUCUAGGCAUCUUUAGCAAUCCACUUUACUUUAUAAUUCUUCUCAUUUCCCCUCAGGGAAGCUGAUCCCACAAACAAAGGAAUUGUACAAUACAAAAUUACAAAAAAACAAUAAAAUUUUCAAAUAAAACAAAAAAAGGUGGACCUUUAAGUCAAAUUGGUUCUUUUGAGCCUAAUUCCCUAGAUUAAAGAAGAUGAACAUUUGUCGCUACUGCAACCUUAGUUAGCCUUCGUGAUUUGAAAGAUAAGUUAUAUUAUACAAGAUACAUCGAUUGGCCAUCGAGACAACGUACAUCAGCUUCCUUGUUGUGGGCUUGUCCUCUGCCCUAAUGGUAUUGAGUUGUUGCAAGGCUCCCAUCUGUGGCUCUGCUUUCUCCUCCACUGUCUUCAAGGCAUAAGGGUCUGCCUUUGUGAGCAGUUGAACUAUUUGCUUGAUGGCCUCUUGUUCUAGAUGACUGGCAUAUUGGUAUCUACAGAACCUCAGCGAGAUGACCGCUUAUCUAGGAAGGAGAGGUUGAUUGAACGACUCAUCUCCUUAGUCCUGUUUAACAGAACUAAGUGACUUUGUCUCCUUCCCAGUUCAACAUCUAUGCCCUAUGGCUUUUCCUAAUUACACGCUACCAGCCUUCCCUGUAGAAUAGAAGAACAUAAUCAAUAGUCGGCUAGCCUAGCGCUCCACUUUGUUUGCGAGCCACCCACAAGGUUCGUUCCCUUUCAUCCACUGAGCCACUCUCCCUUCGGGCCCGCCCAUUCUAUGAGCAAAGAGAACCGCUUACACUCUCACCACCUUCUGCAACUCUCCUUAACUCAAUGAGAUAAGCCACUACAGUUUCUAUGAAUCAUUUUAGUAUUGAUUUUGAUUCUUUAUUUUAUUUUUGAUUUCAUUAUAUAUCUUCUUUACUUUAUGAAACUUUUGCAUAAAUACGACUCUCUUUGCCAAACUCAGCUGGAGCUUGUUAAAGUUAAAGGAGAACAAGUUUUUUAGCAGACUCGGCAAAAGACUAUCCAAACAGAAGCAUAUAGAAUGCCAUCCAGGGUUCUUGACCCUCUAACCUUUGGCGAAGCUACAUCAUAGGUAGGGAAGUCCUAGAGCUAGGUAUGGAUGGCAACUGGGCAAGGGAAAUCCAAUGUUGUUCUCAGUGUUUUAAAAAUCGGCGACCCAAUCCAGAAUCAGGCGAUCCGGAUCGGGUAUCGUCCAACCCAUGCUGGAUCCAACGAAAAAACGGGAUCGACCGAUUCUCUACAUUAAACCAAGUGGCACAAGAUGCAUCCACAAGCUUACGUUACGUUAUGGACUGCCAACUGGCACAAGACGUAUCACGGGGUCUCCUGCUUACGUUAUGGACUGCCAAGUUCGUACGUGGCACAAGACGCAUCCACAAGCCACAUUCAUACUUCUGCUUACGUCAUGGACUGCCAACUUUAUGUCAUGGCUUCUCAGCACGCGUUGCAUGUGACAGCCAACCGUACAAGCCCAAGGCUUUUAUUAAGCCUUGCUUGUCCUAAAUUCCUCGAUGUGGGAGUUGCUCCAUUCCUUAGUGCUCCAACCGUCUUCAAAAUAGCGUGUAGUUUUCACCAAGGUGCUGUUGUAUAAUUAUAAAUAUUUCUAGUACUAUAAAUAAAGAAAUUCUAUUUAAUUAUUUAAUAAUAUUUAUUCAUUUUUUAUAAUGUACAAAAAAUAAAAGUACAUAUAGUUAAGUUUUAAUUGCAUAUAAUUACAUAAAGAAAUUCUAUUUAAUUCAUUUACAAAAAUUAGUAUAAUUUUAUUGAAAGUCAUAUUGUUUAUUAUCUUAAUAACUAUUAAACUUAUGUCAGUAUAAUCAUAUAAAUAUGAGCACAUUAAAAUUUAUAGGGGAUUUUAUUUUGUUUUUAAUUAUAUGAUAUGGAAGCAUUUUCUAAUAAAUUUUAAUCAUGUUUAUUAUAUUAUUAUAAUUAACAAUUAUACAUUGAUAACUAAAUCUUGUAUUUUAUUUAUUAAUUUAUUUAUAUUAUAAAUUUUGUAAUAUAUUAUUUUUUCUUAUAAUUGUAAAUAAGAUUUUUUAAAUUAGAGGAUAUUAUAAGACAUUUUAGAUUUUUUUUAUUUGUAAAAUAAAAUAAUUAUAAAAUAUAAAGUUAUAAACCAACAACUUCAAUUUCAGUAAAUACUAUUAUAUUUAGUUAGGUUGUAAUAAUUUUGGAUGAGUAAAACGAAAUAAUGAAUGUUUGAUACUUUGCUGUGAGACUAAUUUCACUUUAUGCGUAUAGUAAAAUGAUGAAAAAAUAAUAAAAUAAAAACCUAUAAUUCUAAUUUCAAUGUAUAAUAUUUUAUUUAGUUAUGUUUUAAUAAAUGUUUGAUGAGAAUCUUUAUACAGGGAAAGAACAUCUCAAUAUUUGCUUAUUGACACAAAAAAAUAAAAGUUAUUAAUAUAGUACCCUCAUUUCUUAUUGGAUUCCUAAAAAACAACAUUUAUAAUAAUUUUAAUAAUUUUUUUGACGUUUUUUUUAAGGCCGAAUCCAAUCACUUCGGUCGGUUCUAGAUCCGAAACGCCGAUUCACUGAUCCUGAUGGGUUUUUGGGGUGCCCGAUCCAUGGCACCGAUCUGUUUUUUAAACCACUGGUUGUUCUGGGAAGAUGCAUGGUUCGGAGACAACUCCCUAGUUCCGGUUUCCUAAAGCACUUAUUCUUUUUCUGAAACCAGGGAAUUCCAUACUCUAACUGGAGAUUCAAGGGCCCUACCUUUUCUAUUAGACUAGUGCCUACAUCAUUCUGUUUGCAGCCUUUGACUGAGAUAGAUGUGUGGCCCGCUUGGCACAGAUCGGUUUAAAUAGGCACUUGUCAUAGGAAAAAUCGUUGUUCUGCCCUUGUUUGUGAAGAAGAGCUUCAUCCUUUCCAUGGUUAUAGAGAGAACCCAUGGACUCAAAUCCAUAGGGUCAGAUCAGACUUUGUCUGGAAUGUCCAAACAUCAAUUGGAGCAGUUUGGACCAACCCAGUGCAUCGCCUCCUUGGACCUCCUUCAAUUUGACUGUUUUUGACGUAUCUCAUAUGAAGUUCAUUAAUCCUCUCUUUAAGUCAUAUAAUUACUUCCAUGUAACUUUGACAUGAUCACCAUGAGCUCGGCUUCCUUAACCUCCUCUAGUAGCCAUCUUGUAAACUUGUAGCAUAUCCUCAAGUGCUUUGGAAACAGAACUUCUCUAAUACCAACUUAUGUACUGGGAAAAAAAAUCAUAGGAAUAAAGAAAUUACUGUUAUAAUGAAUUGGUUGAAAUAAGGGGAAGCUUUGGUGAAACUUGGACUCUAAAUAAAAGAAUAUCCAACUUUGAGAAAACCAUAAUGCAAAUCUAAUGAAUCCUAAUUCUAAUUGAAAUGGAAUUCGUCAUUAAAAUGAAAUUCAAAAUAACACUUUACCCCUAUGAAAUAAUAAUUCCAUAAGGACAUAAACUACUUUUCCAAACAGUCUUUGAAAUCCUAAAAAAAAACUAAGAAAACCCUAAAACCCCUAAAAAAAAUCUUUCAAAAAACAUAAAAAUAAAUCCAAAAAAUGCAUCCUUAAAAUUUAGUUAGAAAAUUGAAAAAUAGGGAGCAUCUACUUCUUCUCAAUCUUUCAGACAUCCUUUCGACCUUUGAAUCUAUAAGAAGCAAGGAAUCAUGAACUACCAUGCGGUAUUUGAUAGCAGGGCUGACUAUGGUUGUUGGAAAUGUUUGUGAUUUCGAAUCGUUUUUGGAAUCGGAGUCGCGGAAUCACAUGUAUCAGAAGUUUCAGAAUCUAGGAAUCGCUGCCCGUACGAUUCGGAUUUGAGAAAAAUGAUUCUCACUAUUUGAGAAUUGCGAUUCAAAAAAUUAGGAAUCGUGUUUCCUAUUUGCAAGAAUCGAUGUCCCUUCAUGUUCGAAUCGCGUUUCAUACCUAUAUGGAAUCACACAUGAUCCCACUUGUUUUGGUGGUUGCUGAAAUCGUGAUUCCAAUAAAUAUGGAAUCGUGAUUCUUAAAACUAAGGAAUCGUGAUUCCUAAAAUUCUAGAAUCGUUGUCUCCAUCAACUUGGAAUUAACAUUCUCACCAUUCUGGAAUCAUGAUUCUCCCCAUAUUUGAAUCGAGAUUCUUCUCUUACUAGAAUUGCGAACCAAUUCCCUCCGGUAUAUGAGAAAAGUAUUUAGAAAAUAUAUAAAUUUACCCAUUACUACGAGAUCGAAUUUUGGUUUGUAUAUACUCAGUUCAAGACUCCAAGUACUAAUGUCAACCUUUAUGAUAUCUUUGUGGACAAUCCCAUGCAAUGGACUCGGUCUACCGAUAACCCUAUUAUGCCUACAAGUUCUGGAGCUAGUCUACAACAUACAAGGAGUGAGAACAAGGGCAAGCGCCCUUUAUCUCCUUUCCUUAAUUAUAAAAUAAGCAUAUGACCGUAAUUCUUCUUUGUUAAAUGUAGUUUGAGUCUUUUGACUUUUGAAAAUUGAGUUAUUCAUUUUUUAGUCAAUUUCUCUGAUAUUUAAUGAUUAAUUUAACCUAAAACACUACACAUGGCACUUCGCUCAUAUCCUUAUUAUCUUCUUUUUUUACUUAAAGAAAAGCAUUUUUAUCCUCUGAAACGACGGUGCCGAUCAUAUAUUAAACAUUAUUACAUUAGUAGUUUAGUACCCACACCAUUUACCAAAUAUUAUUAAAUUUGAAGUAAUAUUUUUUUAGUAUUAUUUAUUCUUGGUAAGAGUUCUUAAAAAGUAACAUGGAAUGAAGGAUGGAAAUUAGUACAUAAAAAAAUAAAAAAUUUGACAUAUUACUUAUAUUUAAAAUUUUGAUUUUAUUGUCGUGUGCAACAACUUCAAAUUCUCUCACGUUCUCAUACAUGUCGCGCUCACUCAUGAUUGAGCACACAUUGAAGGGUUUCUGCUCUCUCUAUGCUCACAUAUUACACAUAUUUUAAAUUUUGAUUUUUUUGUUGUGUGCAACAACUUCAAAUUCUCUCACACUCUCAUACAUGUCGCGCUCACUCAUGAUUGAGCACACAUCGAAGGCUCUUCCUAUGCUCACAUUGCUUCCUGACAACAUGGAUUCACAAUUCCUUAAUACUUUGAAUCAACAUUUAAGGGCCGUUUGGGUACACUUAAUAGUAAGGAAAUGGAAAGAGAUUAUGCGAUAUUUCCCCAAAAAUCAGGAAAUCCGUUACCUGCGGUGAUAGGUGAAAAAUCUAUUACGAGAGUGGCGGGUAAUGUUGGGAAAUCUUUCGCGCGUGUUUUUGCCUGACGUAUCUCUCAUUACAAAAAUCUUCUAAGCACUCUCUUCAUAAUAACUAGGUGAUUCCUCCCUUUUUAAGCUCGCCCCUUUAUCUGAAAGGGGGAUCCCUCCUUUUUUAAGCUCGUCCCCUUAUCUGAAGGCAUCGGUUGUCAUAUUAAAACAAAAAUAAUAAAAAUAAAAAUCAGUAAUCAAUGAUAAAUUACACAACACAAUCAUAAUAAAAAAUUUCACACAACAUAAUGGAUUCCUCCCUUUUUAAGCUGGUCCCCUCAACUGAAGGGAUCAGUGUCAUAUAAAAACAAAAAUAAUAAAAAUAAAAAUCAGUAAUCAAUGAUAAGUUACACAACACAAUCAUAAUAAAAAUUUCACACAACAUAAUCCUCAUAAGAGAUUACUGAAAUCUCAAUUGAAAUAACAUACCUCUUUAGUCUCCUCCAAUACCUCAAAAUUUUAUACAACAAUUACCGAACCUUUUAGUUUACUCAUCAAACUUCUUCCCAUUUUUUAACUCGUGUCCUACAGAUUUUGAAUUUAGUAUCAUAAAUUUAUUGUUUAUUUUAAAUUAUAUAGAGAGAUAUUUGAAAUACUUCUAUACAAAAUAAAUAAAAAUAAGGCUUAUCAUAAUAAAAUCAUGUUAUUCCAAUCAUAUUGUUCCUAUGACUUAUCAUGUUGAAACCAAUGUCAUGACAGAAAACAUGUGAUUGCAUAUAAGUGCCAAAGGCACUUAAAAUAAGUAGGAAAUAGUGUCAUGACUGUAAAAUGGUACAAGUUAUUAUUAGAAAAUCUUUUUGGAAUGGUGAUAAUGUUAUUAUUAGAAAUCUUUUUGGAAUGGUGUGAUGAUGAUUUUAAUUUAGUAUUUUAGUGGAAUUUUGUGACAAAAAAGAAGGAAAUGAUAAUUCUGCAUUUUAGUCGAAUUUUGUGACAAAAAAGAAAGAAAUGAUAGUUUAUAGGCACAUGCUGGUGAAAUGUUGGUAAUGCAUUUCCUAUGUUUCUUCCAGACUUAACCAAACAAUAACAAUGUACCAGGCUGCAUCUAAAUACUACCCAAACAAUAACAAUCCAUUUACAGGUAAUGUAUUACGCCAAUAAUAUAUAUUUCCAGCUAUCCAAACGGCCCCUUAGCAUAAGUAGAAUCACAUUGUUGUGUAGCAAGGAACCACGAUGUCUGCGAUAUAGAAACUUGACUCCAAACAACAUGGAUUCGGAAUUCCAAAAAUUUUGGAAUCAACGUUUCUCACAAGCGGAAUCGCAUUCUUGUGUAGCUAAGAAUCACAAAGUCCUCGAUAUGGAAUCUUGAUUCUGGCAAUUUGGAAACGUGAUUCAUUUCUUUUAGAAUUGACUUUCGCACGGGGAAAUGCCAAUCGAGAUUCUAAAACGGAAUCGCUACCCUCAUAGGCGAUUCGGGUAACUAUAGGGCUGACCUUAGAACCACUAAGAAGGGAUUGGACUGGCCCUAGAUCAAGUCUUGGAAAGAAGUCAUUUUCAGCUUUACCUUACAUCAAUUAUGUUGGAGUUGUCAUUUAUUAGAUGAAUAUACCAGAGUAUAUUUCCUAAUAGUACGCUGUAAUAAUAUAAUGGAUCCAAAUUUGACUUUUUAUUAUGAGAAAUUUCCGCCUUCAAAUUUGGUUGCUUUGCACUUCAUGAUGAGCAUUACAGUAGGUACUAUAGACAAACAUAGAUGGGGAGAGGAGAAGGAUAUCCUUUUAUGUUUGUUAUCUCCUACAGUAUACUAACUGGAAACUAGCUCAUGUGGUUGCCUAUAGCAGUACAACCUGAACUGCCCUAUGUUCUAGUGCAUAUGUAGGAGCAGUUUGGAAGUGUUUCUCAGGUUUAACUAGCCAUAAAACUCCAGAUAGCCAAAUGCUGUAUGUCUCUUCAAUGGGCUUUCUACAGCAUUGAAUGUGCUGAACAUUGCAGUUUGUUCUUUCAUAUUCUUGUUUUUUAAAAUUGUUUUCUCCAUUGACUCAUAAUUAGUCAUACGUUGAUUGUUGUGUCAUCUCUUUGGUAGCUCUUGUAUUUCUUUGGAAAUUCAAGUUUGUUUCUAGUGUUGGGUAUUGAACCACUGUGUCGUCUUCCAGUGGUGAAGGAAUCUUAGAGGAUUGAAAUGCCAUAAAAUUGUUCUUCCAUGAGUUCAAUAGGGGCUGAAUGGUAAGAAACUACUCAUAUUCAGCUUCUCCGUUUGUGUCCCGGGUAAAUAUAGAAACAUUGGGGGUCAAAAUCAACAUUUCAUAAAACUAACAAUGAAUGCAUGAUGUUUGAUUCCUUAUUCAUGAGUUUUUUAUUUUCUUUUUUUGAACAUGUGCAGGUUAAGGCAUCAUUAUUUGCUGCUGGUUGCUUUUGUGAAUUAUCAGGUGACUUUGCACAUGUUAUUUUGAAGUUACUUGUGGAUAUAGUGGCCUCAACAAGAAGACCUCAUGAUGUGAAAAUAGCGUCUGUGCGUAUUUUUGCAAGCAUGGGAUGCUCAUCUUCAAUUGCAAGAGGUGCUUAUGAGGUAUUAUGCCUUUGAAACUCUGGAUGCUAUUCUAAACACAUCUAAGAGGGAUGGAAUCCCAUGUGAAUGCUUGCUUUAUUGCUUGCAUCAUCAUCAUCAUCAUCAUUGUCAUCAUUAGAGUCUUAUCCCAACUAAUUGGGGCCGGCUACACGAAUUAUGUUUCACUAUUCUGUUCUUUCGAGGACCAUACCCUCAGUAAGGUCAUAAGUCCUUAUAUGUCUUCUUACUACUUCCAUCCAUGUCUUUUUGGGCCUUCCUCUUGUUCUUUUAGAUCCUGCCACUUAAAACAAAAUCACACUUCCUAACAUGUGCUGUAUCGAAGGUUCUUUGUACAUGGCCAGCCCACCUAAGUAUAGUUUCCCUCAAGUGUAUUGAGCCUUCUGUUUGCUACAUUGCUUGCAAAUGGUAUUUAAUUACCAGCAAAUACUAGCAAUUUUUAACUGCAUUACAAGAGAAGUGUAAUUUAUUUGAAGUGUAAUCUAUUAAUUUAUGUUUCUACUUAUUUAUACACGGUUUUGUUGGGGUUCCAAACCCAAACUUCUAGACCUAUUUCUCUAUACAAAUACAUGCACACUUGCACCAUGAUGCUAUCAACAUCGUGUUUUAGAAUUAGAGAAUCUUGAAUGAAAGUCUUAUUAACUAGAAAUAGGGAUUAAUCCCAUUAUAGAUGGCUGGGCAUACAAAGUAUAUGAAUAUUCAUGUAGAAAAGUAUGACAAAAGUACCUUCAAACUAAUUAACAAACUGCAUAGACUAAAAUGCAAGAGUAUUAUAUAUCUUAACAACCCUCUCAAAUGUGCGCAUCAGUAGAAAUGAGUUACAGUUUGCUCACUUGAUUAUCAUGUUAACAUUUGGCUGGGCAUACAAAGUAUAUGAAUAUUCAUGUAGAAAAGUAUGACAAAAGUACCUUCAAACUAAUUAACAAACUGCAUAGACUAAAAUGCAAGAGUAUUAUAUAUCUUAACAACCCUCUCAAAUGUGCGCAUCAGUAGAAAUGAGUUACAGUUUGCUCACUUGAUUAUCAUGUUAACAUUUAGUGUGAGAUUUGGUAAACAGGUCACCUAGUUGAACAUCGCAGGAAAUAUAAUGGAGAAUAAGAAGGCCUCAGUCAAAUUAUUCUUGAAUGGGAUGAUAAUCAGCCUCAAUAUGGUUGGUUCGAUCAUGAGAUAUACUGGAUUGAUGACAAUUCUAAUCGCAUUGAUAUUAUUCCCAUGGAGAGGUGUGGGCAAGGAGCUCCUAAAUUAAAGAGAAGCACUUGAAUCUGGAGAAUCUCAUCUGUGACAAAAGACAUACUGCAUUAUGCAGCUUUCGCAGUUAAUUUGGAAACAACUUGUUUCUUAAGAAGUGAGUCACAAAGAUAAUACAAUACCCUAUGGUUGAUCUUUUGAGUGUCUAAAAUUGCCUAAGCCCAAUCUGAGUCAACAUAUGAUAUAAGCGAAAGGCCAUAAGAUGCUGAGAAAAAGACACCGCAAUUAAGUGAAGAUGCUGAGAAAAAAAAUAUUACAACUAAGUGAUGAUCUGACAUAUGGAAUGAUACUCUGGACAACAUCCAUAUGGGUUAAGCGAGGAACCUGGACGAACUGGCCAACAAAAUGAACUGGAUAACUGAUAUCUUACUUGGUAAUGGUGAGACAUUGCGGUCCCCCAACUAACUACAGUAGGGCACCCUAUAGGGUAGCGACUUCCUAUCAGAUGCGGAUAACCAAACAUUACGUUCUGUUGGGUUAUCUACAAUUAAAGUCAGUGAAAGUUGGCCUGGGAGAUAAGAUCACGAGCGUACUUUCAUAGAGUAACAAUGAUCCAAUGAUCCCUUGAGCAGACCAAGUAAUCUCUAAACCAAGAAAUAUGUCAUGCCUAUCAUUUGCAACUAAGAAGGGGAAGGGGAAGGGGAAGGGUUGGGCUCAGCAUAAUUUUUGUGGGUAGGCGAUGACAGGCACCAUCAAUUACCUGAAACAUCACCUAACAAAAAUUCAGGGUGAUGUACAACCAUGUGGCAAGGUGCCUGUGGCCGUUAAGGAGCAGAUAUGGAAGGCAAUGGAGGUAGCAAAAGGGAAACAAGUACGCAAAGAGAGGAUUUUUGAGGAGAUAGGGAGGGGAUAUUAUUCAUUUUAUGUAGGUGAUAACUCGACAAAGUUUGAGGCUCAUAUGGAGUAGGCUAGGCAGGCUAGUCUAGCAGACUUUCAUAAGAGGCGCAAAUCGACAAGAUAUUUGCUAGACAGGCAGGAGUUUCUAGAAGUUGUGAUACUGAACUUAUAGUGCCUCUCGAGCCUGUGGUGCCUGGCAUGAGAGUGUGGCCUUGGGCUACUUGGAUCAACUUCUAGUAGACUGAGAUGGUCAAUCUCAUCCUACCAUUUUGCUGCAGGUCGACCAUCUACUACUUCCCAACCUUGUCCCGACCCCGACCGUGACCCCGAAGCCGACCCUGAACCUGACCUUGACUCUCUAGACUUGGCCCCUGUAUGCCCCAAUAUCAACAGACGAAACUCAAAAGUCUUGGGGGAAUAAACCCUAGGAUAUGGUGAAGAAGUCAAUUGCAAUGUAGUUUUAUCAUAUUGCCAACCCAUUUCACGCAGCUAAGUCCCCAUAUUAUCAACUCAUGAUAACUGCAAAGCCUGAAGCCUGGCUGGUGUGAAGUCUCCAAUGGCAGAUGAGCUUGCAAGGAAGCUCCUAGACGAUGAGGUUGGUGAAGUAGAAUUAUACAUUCAAGAUUUUAAGUAGUCAAAGGGUGAUUCAGGAAUAUGUCAGAUGGUUGGGAGGCUGGGAAAGGGAAGCGCAUAAUGAAUUUUCUAGUCUGUUGCCCCAAGGGAACAAUUUCCCAAUCUAGUGUAGAUCUUUCCACAAGAGGAGGACGGGAAGGCUCUUCUUCAAGAAGCUUGAUACGGUAGAGAAAGAUGUUGUGGAGGACAAAGUGGUGCAGUAAAGGUCCUCCCUAAACUACCUUGUUACCGUUCUCUAACAUUUGAAAUAAAUCAAGAUUAAUUCUGUAAGUAAACAUUAAUAGUGGUACUGAUCAAGCUUUUAGUUAACUCAACAUUCAACAUCCAAUUACUAAAUUUUGUAAGAUACAAAACAACAAUAUAUUUAACUCCUUUCAGAUGGGGUCCACUAAUUGUAGGCUCUGAAGGAGGUUAUACUAUAAAAUCUAUAGCUUUGUUAUGCCCCUCAUAUAAAACUGAGGUUGAAUGGAACCUAAAUCUAAAAAUUUACAGGUGAGAUUUUGAGGAACCCAACAUGAAAUUGCUUAAACAGAAAGGCAUCAUUAUUGGUGUUUAAAAUAGGGAAAACAAGGAUUCUGUCGGAUGGUUCAAUUGAAUUCUAACACACCCCCAUUUAGGGAAUUUUGGGGUUUGCUUACAAAGUAACAAAUAAAUUUUUUCAGUGAAAGUUGCCGUAAAUUUAUUGUCUUGUAUGAGUUUUUCAUAUGUGCAUAAUACUUGGUUUUGUUAAUGGAAAACUUGGCCAAGUUGAUUUGAGUAGUCAAUUAGAUUGGCAGAUUUUUAGCUGGGUCAAGUUGGUCCAAGUUUAUGAUCGAUUUACUAGGACGGGAACUUCCUUGGAAAAGACCAUGCAAGUUGUUUUUGUUCUGUUGUUUAGUAACAUUUUCCCCCUUUUAUUCUAUAAUUUGCUGCCUUUUUUUUUUGACUUUGAGCACUGAAAUUUGAUUGCACCAUGUUUGUUGGAAACAUUUGGAUUCUAGUGAUUACUUUUGCUAUGAACAUACUUCAAAAUUAAAAAGGGCUAAUAUAUGUAUAAAAUAAGCCCUUUUAACUGGUGGCAUAUGUCCCUUAUGCCUAGUAAUGUUCGUAACUGGCGGUAGCGCUAUUGAUUGUGCUCUGAAGAGUACUCUAACUAUGUUCGUAACUUUACUUUGCGAUCCUUUCCUUGUUGUUUGACAGGCUGGUAAGAAGUUGAUUUUGGAUAGUCCAAAUGAGGAAAUUGUCACUGAGAUGUUAUUCUCUCUCUCAAAACUUGCUUCUAGGUCAAUUCUUGUCCUGGAUGAACAGGUAACUGUUGUUAUAUAUACUGAUUUGGUGAAAUGUAGGAUGUUUUGAAAAUCAUGUUCCUGGUUCUUUUCUUCUUAAGAGUUACAUCAAGAAGAAUUCGGCUUCCAAUUGAUUACUAAGAAAAUGAUUUUUGUUCUCAUGAUGAGAUGUACUGCACGAUCAUCCUCAAAUUCAUACCAUCCCUACCACACCUAUAUGCAUAAACAUUUGCAAGAUAAGUAUGCUUUUCAGAGUGUUACUAUGGAGAAGGAUUAGGUGUGCUGUUUGCAACGGAUUAUAGUCUGAAAAUUGGUUUUACAAGUUAGUUGUCUCUAUAAUUUGUUCUUGUGUUGGAUGCAGGUGGAUUUGUUGGUAUCCCUCCUUGGUCGGAAUCCUUUCUCUUCUAUUCAUGCAGUGGCUUUGAGAUGUCUUAGCUUCCUCUCCCCAAAAGCAUUUUGGUGUACCCCAUUUAAUUGUAACAUAGUCAAAAUACUGAUAAAUAUUGUCAAAAAUACAAAUAAUUUACUCGAUGAAGCACUUACAAUAUUAAAGAAGGUAACCAAUCUGACAUCUCUUUUUAUCGCAUUUUGAAUGCCUUUUUUAAGCAUUGACUGGAUUCUUUGGUUACAUUGAAACUUGCAGUCGUGCUGUUACAUUUUGUGUCACAUGGAUCAAUCCGAGAUACUGGAAUUAAUAUUGGUAGUCGAAAAUGCUUCUCGCUGUCAUAUUGUAUCGAAGAGAUAUGCAGCCCUCAGCCUUUUGGUUGAUAUAACAUGUAAUCUCAAAAGAAUGAGGAUACCAUUCUUUUGUGAUUCUCCAGAACUUUUAUCUCCUCAUUCUAUCGCAGAGAAUGUGGCUCUUGUCCCCUAUGGGAAAGCUUCAGCACCCUUACCGUGGCGUGUUGCUCUGUUAGUUAUUGAUCAGAUAUCCUUCCUGGUAAAAGGGCUUGAUCCCAAUAAAGCAACUAGAGAUCUCUCCCAUUAUUCUUCCACUAUUAUGAACGGUGUAUUUUAUGGAUUGAAACAGGAAUGUCAGAACUUGCUUAAGCUCCUUUUACUCCUUGUUGAAGAGUAUCCUCGGGUAGGUCUGUUGGCCAUUGAUAGAUUCAGAUGGUUAAUGGAAAUUCUAUUAGGCAUGCAAGUUAAUCCUGAGCUUGCAGGUUCUGAAGAUGAGAUUAUUCAAACCUGCAAGGAGAUUCCAAUAAGAAGUUUAUGCGUUCAUGAGUUCAGUGAAUUCAAUGAUGGAAAGGAAAAAUUUCCUAUUGAUUCUGGGCUUAUGGCAUGCAUUAGUCGGUUCUUGGCCACAUGUCUUGAUAUACUUGAUACAGUGGAUUUUUUUGAUUGUCAAGUAGUUGGUACACUGCAACUCCUUGUCGGACGCUUAACGAAAGCGUGCAUUAGUUUGCCUGGAAUAUCCCCCUUUCUGUUGCGAUCAUGUCUUAUUUGGCAUGGUCAAGUCCGAGCACAGGGCAUAUCUCAUUUAAAUUGCAAGAUUAGCUCGGAAUGCUUGACUUUGGAAUUUGCAAAGAAAAUGAUAAUGAGCAAAGAAUUAUGGGUAGCAUACAAAAUUGGUGUUUUUGCUGCUUGUCAGGGUGCUUGGUUUGUGGCCGUGUUCACUUUUCAGCAAUUGCUUGAUCGGGUGCAGUUAGGUCCUUGUCAUUUUUGGCUGAAAUCAUUGGCACAGUUUGCAGAGGCAGAAAGUGGAAUCCAAUUGCUGCUCUUUCCAAGGAAUGACACUGAGUGGCUGAAGACAAUUGAAGACAAUAGAACAUUCUGCACUACUUUCGCUGAAGUCAUUGCUCAAGAGUCUACCUGCAAUUCUGAUAUGUUUUCUUGCUCUGAUAUUAUUGCCAUGGCACAUAGGGCAAUCUCUUCUUCAGGGGAAAUAUUGACAGGUGCUGUUACAUUGAAGUCAGCCUUUUAUUUUCAAAGGUGGUUCUUGAGUCUUCACGCAAAAUAUCUUGGAAUUUUAGUGAACAUAAUGGGGAUGUUGAGUUCCAAUAUUUUCAUUGAUGAAACUGUUGAAAAUGUGGUGACCCAGUUGGAAGGUGUAUGGGAAAAGAAAGCUCAAGAUAUGCUCACUUUGGAGCGUCGAUUUCUUCAGGCUUCAGAUAGUUUGAGGAGGUUAGCAGAAGAGCUUGAUCUUCUUAAGAUGUCUUUCAUGGAUAUGAACUACAAAGGCUUUAGAAGCAUAACAUAUGUUGCCUUGGGCUGUUCACUGCUAGCAUUUUGUGCUACCUUUGUUGUUUACUUUCCAAAGUUGCCUAAUUAUGAAACUUCAAAAUUUUCAAGAAACUCGAGAGGGGCUCUGGACCUGGUUCAAGAUCUAGCUCAACGUUUGUGGCAUGAAGACAGCAAGAUUAGCAAAGACCUCGAAUACUUCUCCACAAUUUUUGGGGAGGUGGAAAGUUUCACAGAGGCAGGGGUACGAAUGUCAAGUAAAGGAUGUAAAGAAAGGGCUGGUCUAGACAUUUGUAGGUUUUCUGUAUCUGGUGUCAUUAAUUUGCAAGCGAAAGCUCAAGGAGUAAAAGAUGAAUUCGAUUUAUUUAAAGUACACAGUGAAGGGCUAAAGCUUAUGUUAGACAUUAUUAUGAAGUGGAUUUUCUUGCCUUCUCAGAUUCCAUUUUACUUCUUUCAAACAAGGUAUAGUAAGUUAAUCUGUGCUCUAUCAUUUUAUAUCAAAUACCAUAGUCUUUGAUCAUUGAACUUUAAAAUCCGGUAAGAAGCUCUCUCUGUAUAUUUUAAGAGCAUAAAAAAAUGUAUACAAUUUAACUCAUGUAAUUUAUUUUAGUUUUCUUGUAGGUUUGUGCAUCAUUGUGUCCUUCGUCUUUACUUAUUUGCAUUGGUUGAUUGAUCCGCUUUGCUGUAUUCCCAUCGGGUUAUUUGUGUGUUGUACAAUAUGUUCUGUGCAUCUAUAUUCUGAAUCUCAGAAAGGCAGUGGAUUGGACUAUAAUGUCCCUCCAAUCUUAACUUCUUGUCAAGAUAAACAUGUAAAUACUCAAUGUACAUCAUCAUAUAUGAGUGUCUGAUAUCUACAUGUACAACUAUGUGUUUACAUAAUACAUAUACAACUAUGUGUAUGUAUGUAUACACAGGAUAGCAUAGAUUAGGAAUUUCAUAUCUCAAAGUUUGACUUAUUUUGUGUGUAAUCUUUCUUUUCUUUUAAGAAAUGUUUGUUAUGAAACAUAUUGCAGGCCCUGUAUUGGAGCUGAGAUCUUUGCAUCAAAUUCUGAUGGUGGAAGCCCCAAUGCAAUAAUAACCAUUCCCCCAGGCUUCCAACUAUCUUUGAACCUCUGCCUCCAAACAAAGAACAUGCCAUCCAAGGGUGUUUCUCGGAUAGCUAAGAUUUACUGCAUAAUUGCAGCCCGCCAGUCUGAUCAAAUAAUAGAAGGAAAUGAAGAAGCCAUGGCGCAACAGGGGUUGGGGUUUUGCCCUUCUAAAACAGAGGAAAUGUUGGUUCUUAACAAGGAGUUACUACUGUACAUGAAGAGAGAUGUUAAGGGUAGUGUUGGGAUAUCUGAAGGGCUAGAUAAUAGUGGGCUUGUGAAAUCUUUUGUGUGUUUUGAACCAAAUGGAAGGGGGCAAGGUUUCUCUACAUCUUUGCUUGAUGUUUCUAACUUUCCAGAAGGCACAUAUAGGAGUAUUUGGCACAGUUGUUGUAUUGAUAGUAAGGGUCGUUGCUGGAGUUUGCUGCCUCUUAACAUGGGUCCAUUCUUCAGUAUCAGGAAGCCUCCUCCCCCAGCGUGACCUCUUGUCAUUCGGGUCCGGGUAGAGGUAUACAAGGCAUAUGAAGCCGCCUCCAUUUUUCCUGCACGGUGUUUACAUAUGUAAAUAUUUUUCUUGUGUAAAUAUUUAAGCACGAACCAAUUGUGAAAGUCUUAGGAAAAUAUCGAUGAAACUUAGAUAAUAAACAAGGACGCGACCCAAAGGAGGACAAUAUAUACAGUAUUGAAACAAAGGAAAAUUUAUGUAAAUGUCUCAUAUCUUUUGAAAUUUAUAAAAUGUCCCUAAUAUUUUAUAAAAUGUCCCGAAUGUUAUAUAAAAUGUAACCAUUUUUUAAGGUUACAUCUAAUAUUUCAAUUUUUGUAGCUUAAAUUGAGCUCAAAUGUUGUUUGUCCAUAAUUCUCGGCAUCACUGUAGCAAAUGUAAAAAAUAGUUGAAUAAAAAUUACCCAAACAUCCAUUCAAAUUUUAGGGCUGUUUUGGUUGGCCAUUUUAUUUAUUCAAAAUUUUUAUUUUUUAUUUUUUAUCAGCGCAUUAUAAUGAGAUGUGGACAUGCAAAAUUUGAGUGUAAUCCAAUUCUUAAAUAAUUAAAAUUAAUAUAUGAUACAUGCUCUUCUCACAUUAGGAGUGUCGUUGAGAGGAUGUUGAGAUGGAUGAGUGGCAAGACAAGAAAUGAUAGAAUUUCAAAUAUAUAUAUUAACGAGAAUUUAGAUAUGGUUCCAUUGGGUGAUAAGAUGAGAAAAAGUACAUUCAAGUGGGUUUACCAUGUACAAUACAGAUUCAGUAAAACACCUAUUAGAGGAGUGAGUGGUGAGUGAAUUCAAGUGGAAGAUUAAAAAAAGCAAAGGGUAGAUUCAAAAGGACAGUGUUAGAAGUAGUGAGAAAAAAUAUGGGGACUUAUGACUUCAAUUAAAGUUUGACCAUUGAUAGAGUAGAAUAUCGGAUUAAGAUUCGUGUAGCCAAUCUCAAUUGGUUGAAAAAAGGUUUUGAUGAUGAUAUGAUACAAAUAUUGAUAAUAGUUUUUAAAUUUCAACAAGAAAAAAAAGGAAUAUAGAGGUGAAUUUUCCUAAAACAGAUCCAUAAAAUGCCUCAUCUAAAAAACUAAAAUUGUGGAUCCUAAUUGAUAACUAGAUUGGAGGACACAUUUAUAAAUUAGGUGAACGGGGUAACGGUUGAAUGUUUUCAAGACUUGAAUUUGGUUAGUCCUAGCUUUUGCAUUUAUUUUUGGAGAAUUUUAUUGAGUGAUGCAAAAAACAAGAAAUUAUAAUGGCAUUCAAGAAGCUAGCAAAUAAAGGGGCCUCAAAUACUACGGGUCUUACGACAAUUUGCUACAAAUAAUUGUUUCGGUAUCAGCAUACAUUUAGCAGUACAACGUCUCAAGUUUGAUUUCCAAUGCCAAAUUUUGGGGAUCUCAUGUCUUUCACCCAUAAACUAACCUCGACGGAAAAUAAAAAAAAUAUAAGUUGCGCUCUCUACAUCAUCAUCUAAGCAUCGACAACAUAAAUCUUGUUAUGCUAUUCCACUCCAUAUACCAAGAUUUAUGGUACGGGUGCAGAAAAAAUUUUCUAUACUGCCACACAACCCUCCUUCCUUACUCAUACAGGCUUGGGACUACAUGUUUGAAAAUAAAUAAUAUCUCAAAAUUGAAUAAAGGCCAUCCAAUUUUUUUUAAAAAAAAUCUAAGUAUUAGACAACUCAAAAGUCUUCGUUUUUUUUUAUUUUAUUUUUCUGAAAAUAAUCACCUAGUCAUUCUUGAGCAUGGCCCCCAAAAUUUCAGGUUGAAAAUAAACCUCCCAAACAUGUUUAUUGCCCAAUGGAGUAAUUGUGGGAGCACAGUAAACACGCUACUAAAACACAGUGGCUGAAAACUUACAUGAAAAUUGCAAAGUGGGACCAAUUUCCACCUGGCCGCACCGUUUAGAAUAUGGGUGGAUCAUUUUGGAAAUAUUAUAUUUGGUAUGCACUGAUAAUGGAAAACCAAAAUUUGAAAACCUCCCGCCUUUUCACUCGAUGCUGCAAAGAUGUAAGCAAUGCUCGUUCAGUUCUCUGCGUCUAUAAAAGGGUGGUCUCCACCGCCAUUCAGACCAUUUGAUUUCCCAGAGGCUCAGAACCUAAGACCAGCUCCUUCCUCGAAAACACUCUGAAACCCUAGAUCUUCGUCAAACCCUAGCUUUUAUUGAAGAAAAAUGGCAUUGAUAGGAAUGACAUGCCCUAAUUUUCCUCUGUUGCUUUGGUGCCGUAGCUGAUCGGUGGACUUGUUCCGGUUCUAUUGAAAAAACCGAGUUAUUUCUUUCAUCAGAUGUUUCUUAAAACUUAAACCGCAAAAAUCUUGCUUUUUCACUGCGGAAUUUUUAUAAUUAGGCUCUUUUUGCUUUGAUAUGUUCCCGAGUCAUCCAUCUUAGCGAAAUUUUCAGAAACAAUCUUCCUCCUGUAUUACUUUUCAUGCUUUGCUUUUGAUUUUCUUUGAUAAAAUUUGCAGGAUCUUGAAUCGGGACAAGAGAUGGAGCUUCUCCAACUUCCAUCAACAUCUGAUACGGUCUUCUUCAAGAAUCAGAGAAACGAAGGUUUAAUUGACAAAUUCGAUGUUUUGGAGGAGAAUACUCAAGAUGACAACAAUAAUGAUCUUGAGAAUAGCAUCAUUCAAUUGAUAUGGAAAGAUGAUAAUACCAGGCUCGUUUCUUUAAUGAAAGAAAUCGGGAAAAUCUCAGAUACAGGAAAUGAAGGAGCAGAGAAGAUCGAUGCAUGGAGUCUCGUAGUUGUUACUUGCAGCCUUGACUCUGUAUUGUGUUUGAGCGCCAUAAUCGAAGGCGAAACUGGAAGUCCCGUCAAGAUCAAUAAACUUGACAAGACAGGGAAAACGCCUCUCCAUUAUGCGGCUCAAAUGCAUUCCUCAAGGUGCGUCAACUUCUUACUUCACAAGCACGCUUCUACUGAUCAGCGAUCAAAAGAGGGCCUCAAAGCUCUGGAGCUCGCACUGCAUAGCAGAAGGUUCGUUCUUUGGAAAUUCGUUUUGUGGAAGCUUACGGAGCUUCCCUCAGAUUCUCGAAAAUGGCAAAGGUUUCGGUGCCCUAUGGCUUGUAAAGUUAGAUCAAAGUUUUCGAUAUGCUCUCUCUCUCUCUCUCUCUCACGCACACAGACUCGCUCACUCUCCCUCUAUACUGAGUUUAAAUCGUCCAUUCUUGUGUUUGUUCUCUCUCUACACGUGAUGUCAAAUCGUCCAUCCUUGUGUUCUAUCUCUCUCUGUUUCCACAUCCUUGUGUUCUCUCUCUCUCUACAAAGGUCAAGUCGUCAUAUCCUUAUGAUUUUGAUCUAUUUCUCUGUGUUAAUUUUAAAGUUUGCGAUCCGUAUGUUUUUUCCUCCCUCUUUCUAUAGUGCUUGCUCCGUUGCUGUGCAAGGUUCAUUUUCUGGAAGUUACGGAACUUCUUUCAUAGUCUCAAAAAUUACAAAGCAGCAAAGGUUUCAGUCUUUCAGUGGUCUAUCGCUCGAAAAAUGAGGUCCAUGUUUUCAAUAUGCUCUCUCUCUCUCUCUCUUAUAGUUCAAAUCGUCCAUCCUUAUGUUUGUGACUUACUCUCUCUCUACGUGACAGUUGAUUCUCGUGUUUUCUCUCUCUACACCUUGUGUUCCCUCCUUCUCUCUCCUCUCUCUAGAAAGCUCAAGUCCUCAAAUCCUUGUGUUUUUUAUCUCUCUUAAGCUUAAAUGGAAGUCUGGGAUCCGUACGUUUCCCCCUCUCUCUCUCUCUCUCUCUCUGGUGCUUGCUCUGUUUCUGUGCAAGCUUUGUUACAUGGAAGUUACGGAAUCCACUCGGAUCUCAAAAAGUACAAAGGUUUCAGUGGUCUAUCGCUUCUAAAGUUUGGUCAAAAGAUUUCCAUACGCUCUUCUCUCUAUUGAGGUCAAAUCGUCCAUCUUAUAUCGACUUCCUCUCUCUGUGUACGUGAUGUCAAAUCAUCCAUCCUCGUUUUCUCUCUCUGUUUCUUUUUUUUUAAGAUUGUUCUCUCGCCCCUAUGGUUGUCAAAUCCUUAAUUUUCGAUACCCUUUCUCUCUUCACUGAUGUCAAAUCGUCGAUCCCCUCUCUGUCUCUCUACUAAGGUCAAGUCCUCAAAUCCUCAUGUUUUCUCUCUCUCUCUCUCUGCCCCCGCUGAACCAGGAUGCAUGUCAACUGGACUGUAGACGAGGACGUGCAGCAGCUCUUAUUCCUCCUAAGCAACAAGGUAUCCCAAGAUUUCAGCUUUGUUUCUCAGGAAAACCGCUCAUUUACCUGAUCUUAUCUGGCCGCUCGCCAAAAGUCCUGAUUUCUUGAAUGGCUCAUUCUUAGGACCUGAGUUCUCUACAACCGCUGGUUUCGAGAACUAAAAACGUCGAAGAGAUCGCAUACAGGAACGCCAUGGAUGGGAAUAUUGUGGCCCUCGCCGCGUUGCUUUUCGUAGGAAGCGAGUCUCUGGUAUCAGCAAAGAUCGCAACGGGAGACGAAAGGGAAGCGAGUCUAUAUGAGUCUAUUGUAAAGCGGACGGUUUCGUUUGCUGCUAGUGGAGAUGAGAAGAGGGAAGUGUUGGUCAAAGAGAUAGAGCUACUUCACUUGUUUGACGCUCAUUUUCACAGAUUCACACGCGUUGCUCCGCUUAUCCGUGCUUCAGAGGUUUGCUCUAGACUUUCCUAUGUUUUUUUUUUUUUAUAUUUUGCUUGCUUAAUCAAUAAAACAAUGAGAAUGAGAGCGAUCAAUAUAAGAUUACAGCGGAGCAUUGGGUCGUAUAAAAAUAAAAAAUUAAAAAAAAAUAAAAGUAAUUUAAAAUAACAUAAACUAAAAUAACUAAUAGAAAUAAAGCCAAAGAUGAAAAACUACAUAAAAGUAAAUCAUUUUUAUUAUUCCUUGUAUAUUUCUGUAAAAUAAAAAAAGAAGAAAAAAAAUGAAGACCAUGUAAUAAAGGAAAAUUUCAAAACUGUGACAAAAAACAUAUAAAAACACACUUUUAAAUCAUAUAUUAGUUAUUUUUUUGAGAUCGACUCGGCAGAAAAAACUUCACACUCAUUUCUCAUUUUGAACCUAAAACAGAGGAAAUCUAAGAAGCAUUUCCUCUAUUACAUAGUACCUGUACAUCGGUUGCCUAUAUUGCACAACAGCUAUAUGGUUCAAUCUGUGUGUAAAACACAACCCGUGGGUGAUAGUACUUUCUUGAGAGAGAAACAGUAACAAUACCCUCACGAAAAAAUUGCCGGAUUCUUGUAUUGUGUUUUUAGGCUGGUGAUGCGACGGUAGUGAAACUUAUCCUUCAAACAAAAUGUGACGUCAACGAGACGGACGUUGACGGAAACUCGGCUCUCCAUUGGUGCCUUCGUGCGAGCUGGAAUUCACAUGACACUAGGUACGAAUCAACGGCCUUGAUAUUUUCGUAUCUGUUGGAUUCUACAAUCUCAACCGUUGGAUGAUCUCAGUGUCCUAGGCUUGUUACUGAAGGACGGUGCACGAGUAAGCGUGAGGAACCGUUUGGGGUUGACUCCCCUCCACGUGGCAGCCGCCCAUGGCCAUUUUCAUGCCUUGCAGGUAUGCUCACAAAGCCACCAAGAAAUUCUUUCGUUUGCAUUUUUUUAAAGAAAUUUAGACCUAACUAAAUAUACUUUAUUUUUUGAAGAAAGUCUAUCAAAUAGUACUUUCCAACUUGAAAUCGUGUGUUCUUUUAAGGGAAAUUUGAAAUAAACCAGAGGAUAAGUUGAUAAAUUAUUCAUCUCUCAUAGAUAUUGUGUUCUUUUAUGGGAAAUUUGAAAUAAACCCAAGGAUAAGUUGUUAAAUUAUUCAUCUCUCACAGAUAUUGUGCUAAUUUUUUUAUUCAAUUUAGAGUAAUUUACAUACGGACUCUAAAAUGUUUUCUAAAAUAUGAAAUGUUCAAUUUAUAGUUAGAAGUUACAAAGCAGCUCAGUCAACCUAGGCUCUUUUAUUUUUUUAAAAAGUUACCCCUCGGUCAAAAGGCAUCCUCAAACCAAAUUUUAAUUUACUAUUUUUAGUUUUUCCAUUAGUAGGCACUACCCUAAAGCUUGGGUCACUACCCAACUAAUGAAAAAAAAAAAAAUCAGACUAAGGAUUCCAUCCUCAAAGCAAGGCCAAUUUUGAAAAAAAAAAAAAAAAAACAAGUUGACCGACUUUCUUUGUAAUUUUUGCCUAUAGAGUGUUUAAAAAAAAAUUAAGGUUUGUAUGUAAAUCACUCUUUAAUUUAGUAAUUUAAACCUUUUCAACUAUUCCAACUAUAUAGGCAUGUAUAUUUUGAUUAUUACGUCAAAAUUAAACAUUAAAUAGUUAAUCUCUUGAAUGUACAUGCGAGCCAAUACCCGAAAUGUCCACCUAUGUAUCUUGAAGCUUUUUUUCUCUCUAAGUUGAUUGCCAAUGUACUAAGUUGCAUUGCUGGAAAGUGGAAACAGUUUUCAUUCAUAACCAAGGCGCAUAUAGUUUUCAGUUUGGAAUAGUAGGAGAGUGUUAAAUAUUAAGUAGUUAAUAAAUGAGAUGUAUUUUGAUAAAGGUCCCUAUAUUUAAAAGCUGAUUAUCUUUAAAGCUAGUUGAAAUUUCUAAUGACUUAUUUUUUUACGGGCUUUUCCAGCUUCUCUUGAGUAGGGAUCCUGAUGGUGUCGAUCUCGCCUCAGAAACGAGAGAGACACCGCUUUUUUACGCCGUUAAGAACGACUACAUGGACUGUGCUCAGCUCCUUCUGCGCUAUGGUGCCAAUCGCCAAGCCUUCAACCUACGGUACACGUCCUCUAACUCACCAAACCGCCAUUUUCUUCGGGGCAAUUAUCUCAGCCAAAGCAAACCCAAUUACUUCUUUGCAGGAAACAGAGGCCAAUAGAUUUGGCCACUUCUGAGGACAUGCGCUACAUGCUCAGCCAGAUGAGCUUUUAUAGCUGUACUCUAACCCGUCCUUAAAAUAUAUACGUUUCAAGGAAAACUAGAAGUACACUAUGCACCACCGGUGUAUAGUGUAUACUUCCACUGAAAUGAAAUAACAACGUGAUUGUAUUGUAAUAGCCUCACCCUUGUGUGCAGGGAACCCAAACGCAACGCACAUUGUCGAUGCCAUGCCUGGGCUUGGGAACGAGAGUUGCAGCCCUGAAGCGGAUGAAAUGCUCACCAGCUUGGAAGAUGAGUGCGAAAAUAGCAAAAGGUAUGACUAGUUAAGACUUAAGGAUGCAUGUUCGAAUUAGAGUGAAUUUAUGUAUGGACCUAAAAAUUUUAUGUAAAAUACAAAGUGAUCGUCUUAUACGUGGAAAUUGUAAAAAAAAUCGGUCAACCCAAUUUUUUUUUUAAUGUUUUUUUCAAAUUUACCUUUCGAUCAACCUAAAUUUUAUUUUCUUUUAAAGUUUUUCUUUUUAGUUUUUUUCGUUAGGAUAGUGCCCUAUGCUUUAAGGCAUUCUCUAAAUAACAAAAAUAAAAAAUAAAAAUAAAAUUGAAAAAAAAUAAAUCCAAAUUCAAGUUGACUGAAAGGUAAUUUUUUUUUAAAAAAAAUAAGUUGACUUACUUUUUUUUUUUUUUUAAAUUUCCACGGUAUUUUUAUAUUUUACCUAAAAUUUUAAAAUCGGUUCAGAACCUGAAAAGUGGGGGAUUUGCUAUCCGUAAUUUUUCACAUUGUCGUAGUGUUAUUCUAACGAUUUGGGUUCGGGUAACUAGCGGUUUUCUGACAUGAUGUGGGCUUCUCUAUCUUGGGGAGUAAAUACAGGUCUUCCCCUAUUAUGAAAACCGAGAUUUGUAGGUACUUCGAAGCGCCGGGUGGGUGCGUGAGAGGGGAUAGGUGCUUCUACGCGCACGGUGCCGAUGGGCUUAGACGAGCCAAGGGUGUUCCUUGGACUGGCGAAUACUGCUUUAGCAAGGUAAAUGGACGCUUAGAUAAUAAAGAAAAGGUGAGGCUUGUAAAAGGCCCCAACUUGAUACUAAUGAUGCAAGGCCGCACCUCAAAAUCAUGCAAAAAAAAUAAAUUUCAGUGUUGGAAAGUACUCAUGAUAGCAUAAAAAUAUAUUCUCACCGUUAAUUAUGAAAUUUCAAAGCCCCAAAAAUGAUAUAGAUCAAGUAGAUAAAUAAACAGUUAAAAAUUAUGAAAAACCUUUUUUGACAUGUUUUUGAGGUGGGCUUAAUUAAAUUUUAUAAAGUUGACACCGCUUGUAUAAAUAUUAAUAAAUGUUUUCAUAGAGAAAAGGGGCUGUUUUCAAAAUUGUUAGGGCGUAUUUGGAAAAUGAAAUCAAUUUCUAAGAGGGAAAGAUUAUAGAGAUCAGUUUAAUACAUAAAAAAAAAGUAUAAAAAUCUUAUUUACGUUUUCUGAAUGAAAACAAGAGCCUAAAAACUUAAAGAAUAAUACAGAUUAGCAUUAUUACAAAGUUACAAAUUUUCCUUAUGUUUGUUGCUUAUAUUUCCAUAAUAUUGGACUAAAGUUUUCUAGUUUGCUUGCCCAUUUAAUCUUAUAUCCAUGACGUUAUCCAUGCAAAACCUUGCCAACGGACGUAAAACGAUCAGCACUUUCUGCGAAACUCAUCAAUGGAUGGAAAAAGAUGUCUCAAUGGUUUUUAUAGAAAUUGGUCGUAGUUAAUAUCAUUAAUACAUGCCCAAAAAUGGGAAUUCCCCACCUGCCCAAGCAUUUUUAUGAUCCCUUUUACUUCCGAUCGUGCAGCGCGCUGUGGACAAUCUCAGCCGCAAGAUCUUCAUAGGGGGCCUCCAUCCAUCCAUUGAUUCAGGUAAACAAACAAACACGAAACUCCAAAAACUCAAUAAUGAGAAACUUCACCUUAAUUUCUCUCACCAACAUUUCCCAAAAUAAAAAAAACCCUCAGAAAUCUUUUUUUUUUUUUUUUGAGAAAAGUUGACUUAAAAAACCGCAGAAAUUUCACCGCAUUUUGGUCUGUGUUCUCUCCAGACCACCUGAGAGACUUCUUCGAGGCCAACUUCGGCCCAGUGGAGGACGCCACUGUCAUCAAUAGGCGGGCCGGAGCCCUCGUCCAGUCUCGGGGCUUUGGGUUCGUAACGUUCGAGCGUGAGGACUCGGUCGCGGCUGCAGUCGAAGCCCAAUUUGUGACCAUCUGGGGCAAGAAGGUCGAGAUAAAGAGCGCAAUUUCCAAGCCCAAUCCAGUGGCGAUCGCCUCCUCUGAGCCCUGGCCGCUGCCAUCCCUCGAUGAGGCCACCCCUAUUGCCAACCAUGACCACUUUGAGGUUCCAUGGCUGCGCAAGUUCAAAAAAUGGUUUCCUGAGUUCUUAGAGCAGAUGGCAAAGCGGAAUGGGGGUGAGUGGUACCCACUUUCUUCUCUUAAGGGGGACUUCAGAGCUGCCUGUAGGCUCGAGCUCAACCACGAGUCGCUUGGGUAUCUGAAGCUUAGCGACUUCAUGAGGUCCAUGCCUGGUAUUUGUGGAAUGAAGAUUGUGCCGAUAGGCAGGGGCCUGGCCACACACAUGGUGCUCUACCCCUUGGGUAAGGGGCAGAGGCAGGAUAGGCAGGACCAGCAGCUAAUGCAUACUGAUGAAUCCUCAUGGCCCUCCCUCGAUGCAGGGCCUGCACACCUUAUGGGGAGAGCCCUCUCUGCUGCAGCACUUGACCGCUCAUACGCCGAUGUUGCUGGUCGGCGAGACGUGAUCAAGCGGCCGGUUGGGUACGAGCGAAUGAAGGUCCUGUCAUAUGCCGAUGUUGCAGGGAGGGCAGUGAGCAAGACGCCUAUGGGUUAUGAGCUCUCGAAUGUCCAGUCAUAUGCCGAUGUAGCAGUCCAUAGAGGGGAGGGGAAGAGGGCAGCAUGGGACUCGGCACAUCGGUUGCAGCUCGAUGUGGAGGAGGCCGGUUCGAUUCCAGGGGGUACGCCUAGGAUUGCAACACAGGGGAUGAUGGGGCAGGAGGGGUUCGAGAAGAGGUUUGUGUCAUUCUUGGAGUACGAGGGGUGGUCGCUUUUCACGCCAUGGUACAGAGAGCCCAAGGAGUUAAUCUCGGCUUGCCAGGCUACCAAGGAGUUCUCUUACUUCACGGUGAGAUAGAAGAACAGAAAAAAAUAUUUACGCUUUUCCAGCUUUUACCAUGAUUCGGAUCGGAGUAGGACUUGGGUUCUCUCUCUCGCAGUGUGCAUGUGAAUUUAGCCUCUGUAUCCUUCAUAUUUGCUCCGUGCUUCUCUCUUCCCCCACCUCAUCUUUCGAUUUAGCUUAUAGCCUCUAUCUCUCUCUCUCGUCCACACUGAUUUUGCCAAUGUAACCUCUCUCUAUCUCUCUCCCUUUCUUUCUCGUGAGGUUCAGAUGAAAAAUGUUCAUAGUAUUGGCCCUUGACUCUCUCUCUUCUUAGACCCUGUUUAGAAAUUGUUCGUAGUGUUGGCCGCUCUUGACUCUCUCUCUCUCGUUAGACACUCUUUAGAAAUUGUUCAUACUUCAUAGUGCUGGCCCUUGACUCUCUCCUCCCCACCCACUUCUUCUCCGUUGCCCUGUUUUUUUCUACUCCUUACGCCUCUCUCUCUCUCUCUCUUAUAGACCUUUUUUUCUUCUCUCAUGCCCCAUCUCGGCCAAUACCCUACUGCAACUAGAGUCAGAUACAUGAUUUUUGCUUUCAUUAGGGGCAGAAAGCAGAAAUCAUAAUUUUGAAAGUGAUUUAGGUAGGGACCUUAAGUAAAAUACAAUGAUAUGAUUAUCAGUGGAAGAGUAUUGAUAUUAUGGGACAAGUGGAAAUUAUAAAUAAGGCCGGUUAAUCUAUUUUUUUUUUCAAAAUUGUCUUUUUUUAUUUUUUCUUUAGUAAGACAGUGCCCAAAGGUUUUUUUUAAAAAAAACUAAAAAAAUAAAAAAUAGGGUUCAUUGGGGAGCAAUGUUGAAAAAAAAAAAAUGAAUUGACUGACCUUUUUUUUUUUUUAAUUCUGCUUAUAAGUGAUUUAUUUCUUAUUUUACCAAAAAUUUUAGGAUACGUAUGUAAAUCACUCUAUUUUUGACAAGUGGUAUCCCAUUCGGUCAACUUGUGCAGGAUAACACUGUGUAUUGAGAAUAAUAGACCCCCAAUAGAGGCUUUCCGCAAUAACACAUGGAUAUUUUCUAUAGACAGAUUAAAUUUUGAGUUUCUAAACUGACUUUCCUACAAUUCGAACUGCUCUAUUAUUUUUCCAUAUUGUCCCAAAAAACUUAAUAUUCUUUUGGACUUAUGAGAAAUUUUAUUACUAUAAAGCAAAACAGAUUGUCCACUAAUUAAGACGUUACACUUAUGGAUUCUUAAUUUCAUUUAUGUGGUUUGUGCCUCUGCAGAAGCAACUGGUCCCUGAUGAGAAUGGGCGUCUCAGGUGGGAAGAUGUGCAGGACAAAGGAGCCGGGCCUGGGCUCUAAAAGUUUCAGCGGAUAAUUUUACCCAAGAAGAAGAAAGAAAAAGAAAAAAGCUUAGCGGAUAAUAAGAGCACAAAGAGGGGUUUGUGACACCCAUAUAUCUCAUUCCCUCCUAAUUUUGGUGUCCAAACAUGUGCCCUGGUAGUAGAGGGGGGAAUUUUGGUAUCAUAUUAAUAAUAAGUAUAUGAUUCCUUUAAUCGUGGGGGGUGUGGUUUGAUACCAUAGUAAGUAAUAAUAAUAACAAGUGUAUAAUUCCUUCCAAUUUUGGUUUGCAAUUGUUUUUUCAAUUGUUAAUUUCACACUCUCCUCUUCGGUCUCGUUUGGCUAAUAUGUGGGGAGAAACAUUAGAAGAGUUACUUUUGGGAGUAGGCCAUUUUACGUGGAUUUAAUACUACAUGAUAUGUGAAUAACACUCAAAGAAAAAGAAAAAAGAUCAUGAUAUUAUGUGAAAGAUGAUUUCUAGUAUGCUUUCUCUCCCUGUUCUAGAAUUCGAUCUUGUAUGUUGGUUUUGUAGAAUCUUUAGAAAGAGAUUCAUCACUCAUGUUUUAGAAAAUGGAAGAGAUUUAUAAUUAGGAAGGGCAAUGAGGAGAUUAUCCUAAGGCAUUUCAUUCAAGGAAAAAGGUUUAUAUAAGGAUGCAACCUUAUAAUCUGGAACUAAGGUGCACAUAAAAAAUCCAUUGUAAAUUACAUGAAGUUGGAAAACCCUCCGAUGAUUAUCUCAAUAUCAAGAUGCAUGAAUAAUAAAAAAAUAUAUUUAGCGUCUAAAAAAUAGUGUAUCUUGCAACAUGCUAUCUGUACCAUCCAUUUUCAAGAUUUUCACUUUUCUAUAGAUCUACUUGAUUUGAGCCAUUUUUGAAGUCUAAAAUGUUGUAAUUAGAGAUGAAAGCGGAUUCUCAACCCAUCCAAAGAAUUUGGUGAGAUAACUCCCACUAAAGUAAGAUUUAUCUGUCCAAAUGAGACUAAACCAAAAAAAAAGUGAAGAUGAAGAGCUGAAUUAUAUAUAUAUAUAGUUGUAUAAUCAUAUGAUCCAACAACCUUCAAAGCAUGUUAUGACCAUUUUGUUAGUACAUUGGCAUGCAUGUACAUAUCGACAAUGAUAUGCCAUUUGGUUCCCAUUUUGAGUGCCUUAUUAUUUUCCGUCUUUCAUUUUGGCUAAUUUAGGCAAAAAAAUUUAAAAAUAAUAAAGAAAAUUUACUUUAUGUAAAAGAUAUGGUUACUGUGUAUGGUUACUGUGCGGGCACGGGCCAGCUGCUGUUGAACUUAUUUGGACGGUAAAGGUUAAAAGAUAAGCUUUCAAUCACCACCGUUCAACUAAGUGGCUGAACUUCAUAUGCCCGCUUAUGAAAUUUUUCCUUUUAUAAAUAAGAUCCGAACCAAGUGGCGGGCUACACAAAUGAUUACAAUCCAAUACCUAAAUCAAAACUAAGCACUCAUUAACUAUAGUUAAUAAAUGAUUCUCUUUCAAAAAGAAUUUUCACUUUACCCAUGCUUAAUUACCUAAUGUAGUUUUAGAUGAAAAAGUUACUACACGGUAAAAAAAAAGUAUCAAGUGUCCAAAAUAUUGAGUACCAUAUGAAAAUAACCAUAUGUAUGAGUACCCUAAUUUUUUCUAAUUAAAAAGUUUGAGUACAUCCAAUAAUUGUUACAUCUAGAAUUUAUUAGUCACUUCAUUGAGAGAUAAUCUGAGAGGAAAUAUAAAGUAAAAUAGGACAUCAAUCCCGCUUAUACUUUUCUGUUUUUUUUAAGAUAAUUUAAUGGGAAAGAGAGGCCCAAUCUUAUUUUUUCGAGAGUUAGCUUUUAAAAAGUAUUAAUGAAAUGGAGUUAGUGGUGAAAACGAUGAAGCAGUGAUUACGGUGUGAGGUGGUUCUUUUCCUAUCCCGCUUACCCUGUUGGCGUAAAUCAUUGUGAGUACGAUUACUUUCAUUUAUUUAUUUAUUUGAACGGUAAAACCACUUGUUCUCAAGUUCAAUCAAAUCACCUUUCAUGUAAUAAUGAAGCAGAACGAGCACCGGAAUGCGAGGCUACAGCGAAAGAAGAAUUUGCAAACGUCAUAAAGAAUUUACGUACUUCGUUAGAUAUUCCAUACGGAAAAUUAUAGAGGUCUCUAAUUUGUAUUUUCAAGAUAUUCUCUCUAAAUAUUUUUUAUACCACACUUUUAUCCUCAAUAAUAUUUUUCUAUGUAACCACCCCCAAAUAAAAAGAAUUAAUAUUUUUAAUCAAAAUACUCGCCAUUUUAACUUAUGUUUUCAAAACAUGAUGUCCAAUAUGUGUCGGUUUGGUACAAAAAUGUGUCGGACCGGCACAAGUUGAAUAUCAAGCCGGUGUGACACAAAAAAUGCCGGACCAUCUUCGUAAAUGUUGUGCCAGACUGGCUUAGUGAGAGAAAGCUGGAAAUGUGGCCAAAAAAAAUAAAAAAGAUUAUUUUGAUCCCAAAAAGGUUACCUUUUUUUAUUUCGGGAGGUCUGAAAAAAUAAAAAAAAAUAUUGAAGUUAAUAGUAUGGUAUCAAAGUGUUGGGGCCGAAUCAAAAGGCGUACGUCUAGAAAGUACAAAUCAGCGGAUAUCUAUAAUUUUUCCUAUUCUAUAAACCAAUUAUUUCAAAACUAGCAAGUCGACUGGGAACCCACCGAGUCAACUAGGGACCGGCAAGGUUCUGGGACGAGUCUCACCCGGACUUCAAAGAAAACCAGAAAACUAUGUAAUUUAACAGCCAAAAUUUGAUUUUUAGGUCUACAUUUGUAUUUUCAUUUAAAAUCAAUGACUGCCACUGCUAUUUAACCCCCAAUAUCAAUCGUUUUUGUCCAAAACUAGAUUAUUUGGAUCAAAAUAAUAUUUGAUCGUUUUUAUCCAAUUCUAGAUUAUUUGAAUCGAAAUGAUAUUUUAAUGAGGUUUUCUCAUCCAAAUCUCUUAAUUCUUCAUCCCAAAAUUCCAAUGCUCCUUUCUUCCAAUUUCUCACUUAAUUCUUGACAAAAAACUUGAAAUUUGUUUCCAAGUAUUUGCGGAUAAGCUCUCUAUCAAACCCCUAUACCAACUUGCAGUAUCAAAAAUCAAAAUAAGAGAAUUGGCUUUUCAAAUUUUGGGGGGUUUUUUGAACCCCAAAUAAAAAAUCUUUGAUUUCUCUGCCUUUUUUUUUUGCCAAAUUCAUUUAAAUAUGUCCCAAAAUGUUCCCAUUACAUUGCUCUACGAAAUCCCUAACAAAUUUUCUUGGAUCAAAAAACAAAAUAUAGAAUCUAUAAUUUUUUUUAAACCAUUUUUUCCACCUUUUUCUUUCAAUUUUUUUUUUUUAGUUUAUAUUUUUAUUUUUAUUUAUGCUUCCAAUCGUAUGAAAUCAAAUUAUUUAUUUCGACUUAAUACAUUUUUGUCUUUUUCCUUGUGUUGUUUUUUAUGUUCUUUUGUUUUUUAAUAUAAACUCUUGUUAUUAUCUCCAAAAUAUAUGUUGAAAUUUAAUAGGGAAACUGUUAUUGAAACAUAACUACCCAACAUCAAUUUCCGUAGUAUAAUGGUCAUUUCCUUAUGGUUUGCAUAAGGUUGCAACCUUAAACAAUCCAAAUAAGGUGCACCACCAAAUUUUAUUUAAAGUUGCAAUGUUGGUGUCUAAAAUUCUUAGGAUGGCCGGAGAAUCUAUUUUUAUCUCUGAUUAUAAAAUUUUAAAACUCCAAAAAUGGUUCAAAUCAAACAGAUCUAUAAACACAUCAAAAUAUUGAAAUAGAUUCCAAAUAAUUUAUUGUAAAAUGACUCUUUUAAGACUUGAAAUCUCUUUUUUCUCUCUAUAUCUAUACAUCUCAAAAUCGAGAUGAUCAAUUCAAUAUUUUUUCAAUAUCAAAACAAUCUUUACCAAAGGAUUUUAGAGGUGCCUUAAUUCUACAUAUUAAGGUGUGAACCUUAUAUAAACUUUUUCCUUUCUUCAUAUCUCUAAAUAAGGAAGGAAAAGUGCUACAUGGAUUCGGGAACAAUUUCUUACAUUUGCAUCCCCCGAGAUAUAAACCAUCAUCCAAAGAUGGGAUGUAAACGAUGGUCCCUCCAAAGAAAAACUAAAAUAAAUAGUUUAAAUAUUUUAUUAAAAUGUCAUUUUUAAUUUUUAAAAUUUAUUUUUAUUUUUACACAUUAAUGAUGUCCAUGCGAGGAAUUAUAUAUUCCUUAAAAUUAAGGCUAAAAUCUAUUUCAAAAAUAGAUUAUCACGGGGCUUGAAUUUCUACACAUGAGCCCAAAGACUCGUAGAAACCUUGUCCAAUAAAGAAAUAUUUACAAUGAGACCAUUCAUUUUUUAUAAGGUGCGGUUUUUAUAAGGUUGCAACUUUAAACAAUCCAAUUAAGGGGCGCUUUCAAAUUUUAUCAUAACAUGUAAUUUUGUUGUAAAAAGUUUUUAGGAUUGUCUUAAAAACUAUUUUCAUAUCUAAUUAAAAAAUUUUAAACUCCAAAAAUGGUUAAAGUCAAGUAGAUCUAUAGACAUAUGAAAAUCUUGAAAAUGGACGGUCUAGAUAAUGUGUUGCAAGAUGCACUAUUUUUGGGACUCAAAACCUUUUUAAUUUAAUAUUCAUUCAUCUUAAUGGCGAGAUGAUCAAUUAGAGGGUUUUUCAACAUUAAAACAGCCUUUCCGAUAGAGUUUUGAAGUGCAUAUGUGAUUUUACAUUUUAAGGUUAUAAACUUUUCCCUUUUUUAUAUAUGAAGGUCAUAUUCAUUUAUUAACCAUUGAAUUUGAAAUUGGCUUGUCAGGGAUGUGACAUUGAUUGAACACAAAGUCCACAAUCAAAUUUCUCGAAUGUUGUGACAUACUUCAAUAUAUUAAAUUUUGCAGCCAAUUACUAAAAAAAUUGUGAUUUUCUUAUAUCAAAAGUAAAUGGUCUCCUAGUAUACAAUUCAUGUGAAAAAUGGUCAAUCAAAAGUGGUACACCUCGUACUUAUUUCUCAUAAGUCCCGACCUGCUGAUAGAACAAUGUAAAACUAUGUAAAUGGACGUGAUAACAGGCUGAAAAGAUAUAAUGAUAGUGAUCUUAUUCACAAUAACGAAAUUUUGUGUACAAUUGAAUAUUUCAUGCAUGUAUAAGGUGAUAUACUUGAUUUCCAAUGUUCAAUCAUCUUUAUAAUAAUUUUUGACGUAGGAAUAAACUCAAGGCAUUGAUGGUUAGAAUAGUGGAUACCACAACUUAAAUGUCUUAAGUUUCAUUCACCAUGGGUAGGGGAACCCUUCGCCAUGGAUUUACCCCGAAAAAAAUCCAUAACACCUUGAAUUGCUUGUGAUUAUGCAAAAAUAAGGGAGACGAGGUCUUGAUUCUCCGGGUGAGUAGUCAAAAUGCACGAAAGCAACCUUCAAGAAAAUGUACUGUUUUAAAACUAGCAAGGAAGAAAAAAAAAAAAACAAGUAUAUCAUAGAUAAUUACAUUAAUAUGGAUUAAAAAUAGAAUAAUCGCUCAAUUUUUUACUACAUGGACUACUACUUCUGAGUUGGUUCAAGUGGAGGGUUCAAAAAGGAGCAAGGGUAUAAAAUGACAUUGUUGGCAAUAACAAGAAAAUAUAUGGAGACUUAUAACAUCAUUGAGGGUAUUGUUGGGUUUAUGUCGCCUUUAAAGGCCUUGUGAGUGCGUAAUGAAAAACAUUUGUUAUAGUGGAACAUAAAUUCAGUGGGAGUGUGGUCCAUCGAGGACCAUACUAAGUAAACGUUGUUUGUUGAUACUAGACUGUGCUUGUCGAUCUAGGCCAGUCAGUUCGAAAACCCAAGGUACCUGGGCAUAAAGAACAAACCGAGAAGAGUUUUGGGUUAGUCCUUGAUGACGUCAGACCUUAUGCUUGGAUGCGUGAGUCGAGGGACUGUGUGACCCUUGUGCAUGAUGGUAGGCCUACAGAGAUGGGGGCCAAAUCCUCAUCCAUGUUCCAUCACACGGCAUGCAUAUCAAUAGAUCGUUCGGGAAAGUCAGUUAUACACCUUUAGGUGACGCGUGUGCAUGUGUGAAAGAUAUCUCUAUGCACCAUAAAGCUGUGGGCGCAUCAGGUCGUGGUGACAUUGACUCGUCUUUAGGGGAAGACUUGUGAUCCACAAACUGGGAAUGCGACCCCUUGGCUCAUCGGCCAAACUUUGAUGACCCGUUAAUGUGCGCUUGGAUUGUUGAUCAUGAAAAACACUGAGUCGGUUUGAUAAAGCAAGUGUGGUCUGUAGUCCACAGUUGAAGGUGAAGUACCCCACGAUUGUUGAUAGAAUUCAUGGAUCAUAUAGAUCCACUUUCCAUUAUAUUAAUUUAAUUAUGUUCAUUUUAUUAUAGAAAUUAUUUUAGAUUUAUUAUUUGAAUUUUUAUAAAUAUUUUAAUAUUUUAUUUAUGAUUUUUUUACUCAUAAAAAUAAAGUUAUUGAUUUUAAAAAGUUAUAAAAAUUCAAAUAAAAGUUUUAAAAUUUGUUUUUGUUAUUUUAAAAUUACAUGAAGGCCUAUAGUGCACACGAGCCCACCAUGUGCCAUGUAGGUGGGGACCACAUGUGUCACUUGAGGGUUGCAUGCCCAACCCAUUAGAUUCUCUUUUGGUUUCUUUAUAUUCAAGAAAUUUGUAUUAUGGAAAAUAUGUUUUACGGGAUAAGGUCAAUUUGGGUAUAUAGUAAACAUUAAACCUAUCUUAUUUAAAUAUGGUAGCAUAUAUUAACUUGAUAAUAUUUGACAUAUUCUUAUAGAAUAUAUGAGAUGGAACGUGCUACUUUAUGGAAUGAACAAUAUUUUAUUAUAUUUAAUUUAUUUAAAUAUAUUGAUGAGAAAUGGUUUAAGAAAAGGGGGAUAAUGGUUCAUACACUUAUCAUAAUGUUGAUGGCCCAUCUAUGGAAUAGAUGACUCAGAUCUCUCACCCCACAAGUCAUCUUGAUCAACGAUCCAUAUUCAAUCUCAAGAAAGAUGCAAAUUACAAGAAACCCUAAAGAAACCCUAAACCUAAAAUUCACUAUAAAUAGGGGUGUUCUUCCCCCCAUUUAGACACACCUCUUUCUCUCCCAUAAACUCUCUCUCUCCUACCUAGGGGCCACGCCCCUCUCUCUCCUCUCAGGCUUUCUCUCUCUAACCCUCUCUCUCUCUCUCCUAAGACUCAUAAGGGGUACACCCCAAGCCUAGGGUUACUUCUCUCUCUCUUGACCUAAAGAUACUAAUAGUUGGGAAAAUUAGUGCUUGAGCCUAAUUAUUUUGAAGUUAGCGUUUUGUAGAGAUUUAAGGGUGGUUACAUAGUUUGGCCGAAAUUAGCUUUCUCGAUUUGAGAUUGAAGCUAGACCGUUGAUCCCAUGCCAUUGGAUGUGGUGACUCGGUCUGAGGUGUAAUAAGCCCGGUUGAGGUAAUCUCCAACAUCUUCUUUUUUACUUUCUUGCUCUUUUAUUUUAUAUUCUCAAGCAUAAUAUUAAGUUGUAAAAAUGACAUCAAGUGGUUUAGCUUUAUUUUAUUGUUGUGCUGCUUUAUUUUGAAAUAUUUCUUGAUUGUAAUAAAACCAUCUAGAAGUGAUCUUUUUGCCAAAAUAUAAAAUGGGUCAUUAUUAUUAUUAAAAAAAAAAAAACUGUAUUCCCCGGCUAAAGAUCGCAUAGGUAUUUCUUUCAGGUAUAGCCUCGAUAAAGCAUAAUGGAGAAACAUGAUUCGUGUAACCGACUCCAAAUAGUUGGUAAAAGACUCUAAUGAUGAUGAUGAACCAUUGCUUUUUAAUAUUUAGGUAUAAAAUGUAACUCAUAACAAAAAGAAAACUUAUGAUAGAGGAGAUUACUGAUAUAUGGUAGAACUCAAAUGUGGAUGUGUACAUAUAUCCUUUCCAAUUAUUGAAAACGAAAAAACUUUAGUAUUUAAGAAUUUAAAAAGAUUUUAGAAUUGAUAUUUUUUUUUCCAAAUACAAAUAAUGUUUUUAUUUUAAAGACUUAGGAAAUCAUAAGAAAUUACUACACUUAAACUUUUUUUAAAUUUGUUAUAAAUAUUUAAGUAAGGGUGUGGUUUUUAUAAGGUUGCAACCUUAAACAAUUCAAUUAAAACGCGCCUCUAAAUUGUAUCGUAAUUUUGGCGUAAAGAAGUAUUAGGGUGGUUACAUAGUUUGGCCGUAAUUUUGGUGUAAAGAAGUAUUAGGAUUAUUUGAAAUCUAUUUUUAUAUCUAAUUAUAAAAGUUUAAACUAAAAUAAUGGUUAAAAUCAAUUAGAUCUAUAAACUUAUGAAAAUCUUGAAAAUGGAUGGACUAAUUUUUUUUUUUUCAUAUUCAUUCAUCUCGCUGUCGAGAUGAUCAAUUAGAGGGUUUUAAAACAUUAAAAUAACCUUUUCCGAUAUAUUUUUGAGGUGCAUCUUUACUUCUAUAUUUUAAGGUUGCAACCUUAUAUAAACUUUUUCCUUUAAGUAAUUAAAAAGUAAGACACUAUGGAUACCUAUUACUUAUUUUCUUAAAAAUACAACAUCAAAGUCGUGCAAUGAAACACAUACGAAAAAAAGUCCUUAAGAAAAUGAGUUAAAUAAUACCAACAAAUGAAAAUCAUUGGUAAUUAUAUAAAAGAAUACGCUUUGUAUAUUUCUAAAGUCCUUAAGAAAAUGAGUUAAAUAAGUCAUCAACGGAAUUUUAAAAAAUUAAAAUCCGUAAUUUGAAAUAAAAAAGGUUUUGAAACUAAUUUUCUAUUAUAUAAUUAUAAUUUAAAUAAGUCUUAAACUAUUGAAAAGGAAAAAUUUGUCAAAAUCCACAACUUAGUGAAUAUAAACACUUCUUCAAUCACUACAGUUGUUCUUGAAAUGAUUAUGUAACCAAGCCUUAUGGAGCGUUUAUUGCACGGAUAAUCGUUUGGUGCGUCCAAGCACGCACUUGUUAGAAUGCGGGCUUGGAGAUCUACAAUGUCCACAAAAAUUGGGUCCCGUAAAUAAUAGACCUCCAAAGAAAAAAAAUCAAUGGUUCAAAUAUUUUUUCCAAAAAAUGUAAUUUUUAGGUUUUAAAAUUUAUUUAUCUUUACAAAUUAAUAAUCUGUAUGUUAAAAAUUAUAAGUUCCCUAAAAAUUAAGAUCAAAUUCUAUUUUAAAAAUAAAUUAUUAAGGGCCCGCAUUUCUACAUGUGAGUAUGCGGACUCAUAGAAACAGUGUCCUUAUUGCAAUACUGUCCAAUCAAACACUGAAUCCAGGCCAUUGAUUAAGUUGAGGGCCCUUCCGAUGUUUUAAUUGAACCGAUGUGAGUAGGGAUUGCAAUGGGCUGUGUGACCCAGCACAGCCCGGUGCACCCGGCCAUGAAAAAUAAGGGCCUUAGGGUUUGGGCCACAAAAUGUGGUCUGAGUGUUGGGUUGGGCCGGGCCUAGACUAGGGCCAAAACAUGGUCGGCCCAGUUCAACCUGUCCCAACCUAGUCCUUAUAUCUUUAUCUCUUUUUUUUUUUUGUUUUAAAUAGCUUGGCAUGGCCCAACCCAUACUGGGCUUAGGCCUCUUCGGCCCAUCUGGGCCAGCCCCUAAGGGGAACAUGGCUGGACUUGGGCCUGGGUGGGCUACGCUUGUUGCUAGCCCUAUACGUGAGAAUGGAAGGUUGAAAUUGAAUGAGCUUGUGGGAAACCAAAUAAGCACACUCAUUCCCAAGAAGAGCAAGAAGAACUUCUAUCGGCUGAGAUCUAAAAAAUAAGGUUGCAACCUGAAACAAUCAAAGAGUUGCACCUCCAAACUUUGUUAUGAGAAGCAAUUUUGGUAUAAUUUUUUUUUUAGGAUAGUGUGAGACUCUAUUUUAAUAUUUAAUUACGAAAUUUUGAAGUAAAAAAAUAGUACAAAUCAAGCAGAUCUAUACAUGCAUCAAAAUCUUGAAAAUGGACGGCCCAGAUAAUGUGUUUCUUGAUGUACUAUUUUUAGUACUUUAUUAUUAUUAUUUUUUGUUCCAUAUAUACACAUCUCAAUGUCGAUAUUAUCAAUUAGAUGUUUUUCCAACUUCAAAACAACAUUUUUGGAAAGAUUUUAGAGGUGCAUCUGAAUUAUACAUUUUAAAGUGUCAACCUUAUGUAGACUUUCUCUUUAGAAAUAACUAAGCACACUCAAUACGAGAGUAGGUUUGAAAUUAGGAUCCAGGUAGUUCCCAUCCAUAGAACCCCGGAAUCACCUGAGCUUGUUAAUAUUUCUAUCCGUUUUUUAUUAAACAUGCCCUGAUCCAACUCUGGAAUCUCCAAAUUCAGAUCACAAGAAUCUGAAUCAGGCACAUGCCAAUUCAGGGCCCGAUUUGGAUCUUCCGAACACUCUCUUUGGCCAUCUAAGAGAAUCCCACCAAUGCUUGUGAUAUCUAAAACUAACCUUUAAAGCACCAUAUGCAUCAAGCUUCAAUGAACAACGGGUGGAAGCACCCACUUGAUCAUUUUUGGCAUUGAGCCAAGUCUCAUCAAGCUGUAAAUCCACUAUGAUUUUUGGCAUUGAGCCGAGUCUAAAUAAUAUGUGAAUCCACUAUGAUUUUAGUGUCCAAGGAUAGGUUACCUCUAUUGUGGGUGCCUAGGGACGAGUUCCACCAACCGUUGGAGAACAAAGAGAGCUAGUUCCAUCUCCCACUAAGGAGUGUGAGAUUGACCGGCUCUAGUCAAUCACCAAUUGGAUCAUAAGAUACUCUCCAUUUUUACACUUUUUAGAGAUGCAAGCUGGAUCCGAAACCUAAAUUUCGGAUCCAGGUAUGGAUCUACGGACCUGAAUUAAUAAUUUGGAUCAAAUUUGGGUAUAGGUGGAUCCGAUAUGGAUUCGACCCAGUUAAUAAUAUAUUUUUUAUAUAUAUAUAUAUAUAUAUAUACGUAUGUUAUACAACAUUUUUGUUAUAUUAUUUUAUAGAUAUAAAUAAUAUAUAAAAGAAUUUUUUGGAUCCAGUUGGAUCUAGAUCCCAUGAAUAGUAUUCGGAUUCGGAUCUGAAUCCAAAUAUUCUGAAUCCAAUCAGAUCCAAAUCCAGAUACAGAUCUCAUGUAUACUUUUCAUACGAGUCUAUGGAUCCAAACCCGAUCCGACCCAUUCUCAACCCUAGUUUUGUAAACCCAUCAUAUACAAAAUACAUGUUGGAGAUAUAUUUUAGAUUUUGUAUGUCUGCCAUCUAGACCACCACAGUCAUGAAUCUUAAAUAAUAAUAAUAAUAAUGAUAAUAAUAAUAAAAAUAAAAAGAAAGAAAGAAGAAGAAGAAAAAGAAAAAGAGAAAGAUGGAGAGGAUUUUGUACUUCUAGUUUAUGCUUAUCAUUAUAAUUCUUCAAAGACAUCAUAUCAAUGUUGUUCUUGGAGUUCUUGGAAAAUAGAUUACCCUGAUUUCGGGUGUACUUCGUGAUCAAAAUCAGGCCAAAUCACCGAACACUUUUCCUUCUCCGUUAUCGGAAUGUACGAUUCUGUACUAAUAGAAAUUAUAGAAGAAUGAGUUUACUAGGUUGUCACCAUCUAAUCAUUGGAUGGAUGGUGAUGGAGAGUUCAGCUUACCAUAGGGUCUUACCAUAUUUUGCAAGAACCCACUCUCCUUCGUUGUUGUUCAUUGAUUGGACAGUGAUGAACCAACAGACUAUCAUUUUUCUGUGGUUUAUAUUGUUUCUAAAUGCCCCUGAUGCAUAGUAUCUCCCGUGCGCCCAUGACAUGAUAACAUGCAGCACGACCCUUACCAGAAACAAUUGGAUAUAAUAAGGGGAAAUUUAUCAAAAUACAUAUAAAAGAUCAACUAUUUUACAUUUUAUUAGUGUCUUUUAUUCUGAUUUCAAAAUACCCAUCAAAACUUAUAUACAACCAUAAAUUGGAAUAGUUAAAAAAUACUAGACUUUUAAAAUGCUAAAAAGUUAGGUAUAUUUUGAUAAAUUUCCCUAUUAUAAAACUGACCUAGGAUCAGUGGAGUCUAGAUGAGCCCAGCUCAUCUUGACUGCAUUUCAUUAACAAGGAUGGCCACAUAGAAAACGUGGGUCCCACUUGUUUGGGUUGCCUGAUCAUUCUUGCCAUGAAAUAAUAUCAGUGCAGAUGACCUGGCUCAAUCAAACCCCAAUUAGCCUGGCUCAUUGAAUCACUUAAAUGAAUAGACGAUUAUAAUUAAAUAGACCAGCCUUAUGGCUAUAAGCUCAAACAAUACAUAGAUUUGUUUUUUUGGGUAAUUCGGUUAGGAAGAUAUGUAUACCCCUACCCGUUUUUUCAUAUAGAUAAGGGAGUUAGCUUUUUUUGAAGAUGUUAGUAGAUGAUGUCCGUAAGAUUGAAAACCACAACGUGGUAACUAGAUAUUGGGGGUAUUACCACCACGACCCGCCCCUUCCUAAACAAUGCAUAAAGUGCAACCCUAUAUUUGAGCAAUGGGUGGGACCCACACUACGUGAAUGGACCUCAGCCAAACUUAUGAAAGCCACGUAAGGUUCGGUUUUAUAAUCAUCUACCCUAAUCAAAAGGGGACCUGGUUUCUACACGGCCAAGCCCACAUAUGUAAAAAUGCGGGCAUCUUAAUAAAUCUAUUUUUGAUAUGAUUUUAAGACUUAAUUUUUAAGGACAUGUAAUCUUUAACAUGGAGAUCAUGAAUAUAAAAAAAUAAAUAAAUUUUAAAAACUAGAAAUGAUAAACCUAGAAAUAAAACAUUUGGACCGUUAGUUUCCAUUCCAUCUUUAAGACGGAUUCUUUAUACUUUCUGGACAGCAUGUGAAGAAUGAAACAAUUUUCCAUCAAAGGGUUAGCUCAUUUUGAGUUUUUCAGUAUAAUUAACAGUCACUUCAAUGUCCACUUACCUCACAAAAUGCAGCCAAGGAGGUCGGUAACUUAUUGUGGCACAUGCAAUGCAGGUGACCUGGAGCGGCCUUUUUUCUUUUUUUUUUGACUUUUGACUCUUGUCUCUUGUAUUUUUCAAUAUUUUCUAAGCUCCUCCCAUAGUAGCAUAUUGUUUAUUUACUCCUUCAGGCAAAACCCAAUAUAGGAGUAUGUUUAGGACCUUAACUUUUGGGGGUAUGGCUUCUUCAACAGAGUUCUCAAUAUUACAAAGAAAAAAGAAAAAAAAUCAAAUUAUAUUUUGUAUAUGCCUGAAAAAAAAAAAAAAAAGGCUCCCAUGUUUGCAAUGUGAGUGAAAUCUAUGUAAUAAAGAACUGAAAUGCAGAUAAUUAUAAGAACACAAAUGCAAAUAAAAAUCCAGUGAUUCUUAUGUGGAUCCUAGAUUUUCAUAUAUAAAAAACAAUUCUUGCAAGUAGCUCUUUCGCCUAAGGGACCAAAUGUACAAUAUGCUCCCCUAGGAGCAUAUAUAGGCACUCUCUUUAAUUUAAGGAUUUCAUACUUACUAGUUGAAUGGAAAUGCACGCGUGUUUGAAAGCAUUACAUUUGUGUCAAAUAGAAAUAUAAACAUCGGAGUGAACAAACAAAUAAAGGAAUUUCUUCAAAGGUAACUAAGGUCAAAAAAUGUAGGCGCCCAGCUUCAAAAUGUAAAGGCAAGAGAAAUAUCGAUCAAACAGUCAUAGAAUAUUAAUAUAACAAUGCAACUACAUGUUUGGCAUCACCAAUAGAUAAAUAAAUAUUUGUUUGGUCUUUGAGCAUGAUGAGGUUGUAGAUCCUACAUGAGAUCAUAACCUAUAGUGCUCUUGAUAUCAUAUUUAUCUAUUUGGUUUUUAAUUGUGCCUGCCAACCCUUGUAGAUACCUUCUAAAAUUUGUAGAUAUCUUUAAUUCCUAUAAUAUAUCUCUCGCUCACUCUUUUAAAAAUUCAUAGGGUUAGUUUAUCUUUUAAUUUUAAAUCAUAUCUAUCAUGCACAAAUUUUUGGAGGUGAUCAUAGGAUUUUAGAGGGAUUCUUUGUGAUACCUUCUAAAAUUUGUUGAUAUUUUCUUUUUCUAUAAGGAUAAGUCAUCUCUCUUUACCUCUCUCACUCACGAACCCACCACAUUAGGACUUUAAUAACUACCAUAUCGAUUUCCUCCAAAAAUAAAACACAUAAAUUGUGGGUCAAAUUAAAUAAGAAGCUUAGGAGAGUGAGAGGCUAGUGAUUUUCCAGGGGAGAAUAUUUAGGAUACCGCGAUUUAAUUUACAAAAUUUUAAAAAGUUAAGUAUAUCUUUCCUUCUUUUAAAAAGGGAAACACCACUAACAUCUAAAGUUCAUAAAAAAAUCUCAUGUAAAUCUCUUAAAAUUUAGGAUUUUUAUUGGCUUUCUAUAAACCCAUUCCCUAAGUAACACCCUAAAUCUAGGACUCUUUAGGAUGUCUUCUCUCCCAUAGUAGGGUCUCCCUAUAUUCUUCCAACAUAUGUCCAUUCCUUAACUCUGUAUUAAUAAUGUAGUAUAUAUAUAAAUAAAACCAAUUAUUUUGGUACAUGAAAGUUAUAUAGACCAGUAACCAUCAGAAAUGAAAUCCUAUACACUUGGGGUGUGCCACAAAGUGUAAAAAUAUGUUGUGGACUUUGAAUCCACCCGAGCAGUUUCAUAACGAUGAGUGUAAUUUUCUUGUAUUAAAAGUAAAAGAUCUUAUUGUUUUUUUCUAAUUUAUUAAAUUAUCUUAUGAGAGUGCUAGCCCAUUAAAGAAGUCCAUUAAAAAGAUGUAAGUUGACCUAAGUACCUAGCUUUUGGUGAUUGGAAUGGGUCAUGAAAGUGGCACCGGCAUAUAAUUGAUAGAGAGAAUCAAGGAGCCCAAUAGACGGUUACUGUUGUCGCGUUUUCUCUAUGCUUCAACAUUCAUUCAAAAUUCACAAAAAGAAUAGAGAAGAAGUUUUUUUUUUUUAAUGUGUUAGAUGAGAAUGAAAACUUAGACUUUAGUUGGGACGCACUUGGUGCUACCACCACGACCCCAACCCAUCCUCGUAGAGAAGAAGUUUCUCUUCUAAUCAUAAAAAAAAGAGAAAAUUGCAUAAAACCCUCAAAAGGAGACUAUAGACAACCUAACCUCAUCAAGUUGUUUUAGCAACUUUUAUCCCAUGUUGAGCUUUCUUAACUAAUACCCCCAAGUCAAAAAACUUAUAUUUUUAUUGAUAAAAAUGCCCAUAGUACUGAACCGCUCCAAUUUUGUGUCAGACUGCAUGCUUUCCAAAAGCCCAAAGUGCUGAACUGCCUCCAUUUUGUGCCAGACCGCCCCUAUUUUGUGCUGGACCGCAUGCUUUUCAGAAGCAAGGGGCCGGACCGCCCCCGUUUUAUGCUGGACCACAUGCUUUCCAGAAGAUAUUUUGGUCUUUACUUUACCGUUAUUUAAAAAAAUAAAAUAAAAUUUGAGGUUAUUUGCUAGGAAAGUUAAGUUUGAGAUACAAAUUGCUAAAAACCCUUUGGUUGGGGGAAGUUGUCUAGAAAGGAUGAUUGGGUUUUUGUAUUUUCCCCUAAAAAGAAGAGUGAUUUACGUAGGGACUCUAAAUUUUUUACUAAAAUACGAAAUGUUUUAUUUAUAGGUGAAAAUCACAAAGGUCGGUCACAUAAGUGAAAAUCACAAAGGUCGGUCACAUAGGUGAAAAUCACAAAGGUCGGUCAACUCCUCAAAGCGAAAAUCCACAUCCAUCUCUCUCUCAUUCUCUCUAAAAAUCCAUAUCCUCUCUUUAUCUCGUUAAGAACCCAUAUCCUCCCUCUCAUUCUCUCUCUAAAACUAAAAACUUAUAUCUGGAUAUGAUUUUUUACAGAGAGAGGAUACGGGUUUUUAGGAAGAGAAUGAGAAGAGGAUAUGGGUUUUAGAAAGGGAAAGGAUAUAAGUUUUUACUUUGGAAGAGAGUGUGGGUAGAGAGAGAAAGAAAAGAUACGGGUUUUUAGAGAGAGAGAAAGAAAGAAAGGAUAUGAGUUUUUACUUUGGGAGAGAGUGUGGGUAGAGAGUGAGAGUCGUAUGAUUCUAAAAGGGAGAAGAGAGAAAAGAAAAAGUAAAAUAAGGGCAUUUUUGUUCUAAAUUAUUAAUAUUUUUAUUUGGCAAGUGGAUAAAAUAAAAAUAGUAUUGCGGUUACAAAAAUUUUGAGGGCAGGAUGUUUAGAAAGUUGAAUUUGGGUGGUAUUUAUAAUUUUUCGUAAUUUCUACCUAUAAACAAAACAUUUCGUGAUUAAAAAAAAAAUUUAAGGACGGCAUGUAAACCACGCUAAAAAAAAAAAAUUGUGUGAGAGAAAAUUUUUUGUCAUUUAAAGAUUUUUAUCUCAUGAGAAAGUACUUUGUGUACUUCUACAACAGCGUCCCCUAACGCACUAAACAUCCAUCUACAAGAUGGAUGUUGAAAAAUGGUUGUCCUUAUCGACGUUCCGAAUUGAUGGUGUCAGAAGUAUAUCCAAAAAUGUAAAUUUUUAUUUUCAAAUUUAUGUUUUCAAAUUCUUAUUCAUCAUGGUUUAUGAUCUAGAUUUUCAGAGUUUCAUUUUUUAAAAUUUAAAUCUAAAAUAUAUCUCUAAGAUUGAUUUUGGAGAGAGGCUGCAUGGAAAUAAAUGAGUUGGCCGAUUCAUAGAAACCUUGCUCUUAUCUUAUUGAGAGAAGCGAGAUAUUUUGUCUUAAAGAAAGAGAUAUUUUGCAUCGAGAACUAAAAAGAACUUACAUUGAGGAGAAGUUUUGAAAAGCAAUAAAAUUAGAGAUUAUAUAUAAGAAGUUUAUUUACCUUUGAAACAAUAAGAUCAACAUUACUUAUAAACAUCAGAUGUGAAAUCUGGCAGUUUAGAUGUGUUAUAAAUUUAGAGAAAAUUUCGUUUCAAUUUAAGCUUAGUGAAUGAAAUAAAUAGAGCCACUCAUAUUUAAUGGUCAACAUUAAUUGUGACCACUCUGUAUCAAAGAUAAAUAUCUUUUUGCAUAUUUUUUCAUAAAAUUUAAAAAAAAAAUGGUAGACAUUCAAAAACUUCUAAGAAUGCUGGUCAAAAUUAAUAUUGGUCAUGUGCGGACUUUGACAUCCAACAAUUCUUAAAAGUAAUAUUUUUUAGUGUUUUUAAUAUAAAAUAUUUUCACGCUGAGAGAGAGAGAGAGAUUCAUUUGAAAGAAAAAAUUUAAAAUAAUAAAAAGAUAAAAUAAAAAGAACUCUUCUUUGACAAAAUAGAGAAACAUCCAAGGAAGUGAACCUCCCUUUGACCGAAGAAGAAAUUGAAAUCAUGAUUUCCAGCACUUGUAAGCCGUCACUUCUGAAAAUGAAGUAGUAAAAUUUUAUGAAGAAUGGUGAUAAAAUAAAGGUUAAUGUUGGUGUCCCAUGGGAUCAAAUAGUGCAUUUGUUCCCGAGGGCCAAGCACCAUAUUGUGGUGGGACUAUAUCUGAUCCCAUGGCCCUCAAAAGAUCAUCUUUAUUCUUCUCACUAUGAUAUAUAUAUAUAUAUAUAUAUAUGAGCUCUUUAAGGCUCCAAAUUAACCAAAUAUAUCUUUGAAGACUUUUGAGUUCAUAAAAGGGCAUAUAUUUAAAAUUUUGCAACUCCCUUCAAAAUCGUGAGUAUUUUCAAGGGGCAAAAAAAAAGCUUUUUAUUUAUGAAGUACUUGUGAUGCCCAUAUCUUGGUAAGACCAGGCUUGGAUGCCGUAUGGCUCCAAGUGCCUAUCGGCGGGAACUAGGCUUGACUUGGUUAGUAGUAACUCCCUAUUCUGUCUCUUUCGACGAACGCGGACCAAGAAAUGCCUCGACGCGCCGCAGCCACUAGGGCGGGACCAUCAUACACCAGCACAGGAGUAGAAGCAUUAAGCAAAGCAGUCUGGUCAACCAUCAAUGCGAUAUUUUAUACAUCACUGUGAUAAACAUCAGAAUUAAAGGGGAAACCCACAGUUUUCCUAUUAUUUUUAAACAUGUUUAGAUGGGAAAAUUAGAAAAAAAAAAAAGGGGUAUGAAAAGGAAAAACAAGGUGGUCCUAAUUGGUCCUCAAGUGAAGACUCAAGAAUUUCUUUCAGCUCAUGAUGUCCAAUUUGAGGAAGCAUGAACAAAUCGUAUUGUAUACAUAGUCUAUCUCUGUCUCUAUCCCUAUCUCCAUCUCUAGGGAUUGAUAUAAAAGUCCCAUUCACCCCCUCAAGGACCUGUCCAUUUUGGCCCUAUAUGGCAUAUUCCCCACUUUUGAGAUAACCCAUGAGGCACAAAAAGGCACCGCCCAAAUUUUUUGAAAUAAAGUAUUGUAGUGCCACAACAUGACAUCUAGAAUUUUAUCUUCAUUUUGUUUUUCAUUAUACGUUUAUGCGGACGGACACAAUUUUGCGCCGGCAGGGCUACAUGCCUGCAUGAAACAUGAUACGGUUAUGCGGUAGACACACUUUUGCGCUGGCAGGCCUACAUGCCUGCAUGAAACCUGGACGGUAAAGAUUGCAGGGCCAUGGUACAAUCUACACCAUCAAAUUGAGUUGGAAAACAUAGGUGUCAUGGGGACAAUGUUGGCCGCACGUAUAAAACAAUUUACCUUGUUUUUAUUAUGUCCAAAGUUAACACUAACAAAAAAUAUUUCCAAAACGUUAUUUCAUACGGGUUAUUUCCUGCCAUAGCCAUUGCAUAACUCAACCAAAUAGCCAUGGAAUGAGGGGCAAAAUUGUCAAAUUUUUGGACAGCCAGAUGGCCUCUAUUAUUCAAGUUUUAGGUGAGGUCGUUUACCUUAUUUAUCAUUUUGCAAAGUUGAAGUUUACACAAUUAAUUUCUAACUUAUUAUUUUGGAAAAUGGUUUUAAAGGGCUGUAACCCUAUCAAAAAAAUUAAAUUCUCACCUCAUAACUCAUCAAAAAAUGCAAGUUAAGCAUCAGAAAACCUUUACAUUGAUUAUCUCGGCUAGAACAUUUGCGGAAAAAAAAUAUGUAAUUUCAAGCUUUAAAAAUAUUGUAUCUUAUAACAAAUUAUCUAGACCAUCAUUUUUGCUUUAAAAAAAAUUAAAUGUUCAUAGAUCCGGAAGAUAUGUACUAUUUUUUUAAUUUCAAAAUUUAUUUUAAGUGUUGGAAAUUUAUUUUAGAGCCAUAAUAGAGUUUCCAUCGCCAAAAGUACUUUCUAGAUGAGGAUUUGAGGUGAGGUUUUAUUUUGUUUUCAUAAAGCCUAGGCCUUAUAGAAACAUCAUCCUAUUAUUUUUGCAUUCCAUAAGUUAUGAGUCUGAAACAAUCUAUAAAUAGAUGUAAAACAUUCCCAAAAGCAGGGAAUAAGAAGGAAGUAAUAAUCAAACAUGAUAUCACAUUGGAAUUUUGGUUCAUUGUGGCAAUUAUAGGUAGUGAUAUUUAUGCAAAAAUGAGGUCUAUUGGCCUUUAGCCUUCAUGCGUGUUGUAGUGCUCAUUCCACUUAGGGCUCUUUCCCACCUUGUUUCUCUAGUCUACGAGUUGACUUCACAUGCCAAAAAUGAGGUUUAGGACUUCAUAUGUAAGCAUGAUUCUUAAACCAGAAACCAACCUAUCCCCCACCCACUCACACCUAGAGAGAGAGAGAGAGAGAGAGAGAGAGAGAGAGAGAGAGAGAGAGAGAGUCGUCGUCGGUUGGUAGGUAGGUACGGUACGGGUCGGGUCGGUCGGUGGUCGUAGUAGUGUACGGACCGACGAACGAAACUAAAACUAAAUUAAUUNNNNNNNNNNNNNNNNNNNNNNNNNNNNNNNNNNNNNNNNNNNNNNNNNNNNNNNNNNNNNNNNNNNNNNNNNNNNNNNNNNNNNNNNNNNNNNNNNNNNNNNNNNNNNNNNNNNNNNNNNNNNNNNNNNNNNNNNNNNNNNNNNNNNNNNNNNNNNNNNNNNNNNNNNNNNNNNNNNNNNNNNNNNNNNNNNNNNNNNNNNNNNNNNNNNNNNNNNNNNNNNNNNNNNNNNNNNNNNNNNNNNNNNNNNNNNNNNNNNNNNNNNNNNNNNNNNNNNNNNNNNNNNNNNNNNNNNNNNNNNNNNNNNNNNNNNNNNNNNNNNNNNNNNNNNNNNNNNNNNNNNNNNNNNNNNNNNNNNNNNNNNNNNNNNNNNNNNNNNNNNNNNNNNNNNNNNNNNNNNNNNNNNNNNNNNNNNNNNNNNNNNNNNNNNNNNNNNNNNNNNNNNNNNNNNNNNNNNNNNNNNNNNNNNNNNNNNNNNNNNNNNNNNNNNNNNNNNNNNNNNNNNNNNNNNNNNNNNNNNNNNNNNNNNNNNNNNNNNNNNNNNNNNNNNNNNNNNNNNNNNNNNNNNNNNNNNNNNNNNNNNNNNNNNNNNNNNNNNNNNNNNNNNNNNNNNNNNNNNNNNNNNNNNNNNNNNNNNNNNNNNNNNNNNNNNNNNNNNNNNNNNNNNNNNNNNNNNNNNNNNNNNNNNNNNNNNNNNNNNNNNNNNNNNNNNNNNNNNNNNNNNNNNNNNNNNNNNNNNNNNNNNNNNNNNNNNNNNNNNNNNNNNNNNNNNNNNNNNNNNNNNNNNNNNNNNNNNNNNNNNNNNNNNNNNNNNNNNNNNNNNNNNNNNNNNNNNNNNNNNNNNNNNNNNNNNNNNNNNNNNNNNNNNNNNNNNNNNNNNNNNNNNNNNNNNNNNNNNNNNNNNNNNNNNNNNNNNNNNNNNNNNNNNNNNNNNNNNNNNNNNNNNNNNNNNNNNNNNNNNNNNNNNNNNNNNNNNNNNNNNNNNNNNNNNNNNNNNNNNNNNNNNNNNNNNNNNNNNNNNNNNNNNNNNNNNNNNNNNNNNNNNNNNNNNNNNNNNNNNNNNNNNNNNNNNNNNNNNNNNNNNNNNNNNNNNNNNNNNNNNNNNNNNNNNNNNNNNNNNNNNNNNNNNNNNNNNNNNNNNNNNNNNNNNNNNNNNNNNNNNNNNNNNNNNNNNNNNNNNNNNNNNNNNNNNNNNNNNNNNNNNNNNNNNNNNNNNNNNNNNNNNNNNNNNNNNNNNNNNNNNNNNNNNNNNNNNNNNNNNNNNNNNNNNNNNNNNNNNNNNNNNNNNNNNNNNNNNNNNNNNNNNNNNNNNNNNNNNNNNNNNNNNNNNNNNNNNNNNNNNNNNNNNNNNNNNNNNNNNNNNNNNNNNNNNNNNNNNNNNNNNNNNNNNNNNNNNNNNNNNNNNNNNNNNNNNNNNNNNNNNNNNNNNNNNNNNNNNNNNNNNNNNNNNNNNNNNNNNNNNNNNNNNNNNNNNNNNNNNNNNNNNNNNNNNNNNNNNNNNNNNNNNNNNNNNNNNNNNNNNNNNNNNNNNNNNNNNNNNNNNNNNNNNNNNNNNNNNNNNNNNNNNNNNNNNNNNNNNNNNNNNNNNNNNNNNNNNNNNNNNNNNNNNNNNNNNNNNNNNNNNNNNNNNNNNNNNNNNNNNNNNNNNNNNNNNNNNNNNNNNNNNNNNNNNNNNNNNNNNNNNNNNNNNNNNNNNNNNNNNNNNNNNNNNNNNNNNNNNNNNNNNNNNNNNNNNNNNNNNNNNNNNNNNNNNNNNNNNNNNNNNNNNNNNNNNNNNNNNNNNNNNNNNNNNNNNNNNNNNNNNNNNNNNNNNNNNNNNNNNNNNNNNNNNNNNNNNNNNNNNNNNNNNNNNNNNNNNNNNNNNNNNNNNNNNNNNNNNNNNNNNNNNNNNNNNNNNNNNNNNNNNNNNNNNNNNNNNNNNNNNNNNNNNNNNNNNNNNNNNNNNNNNNNNNNNNNNNNNNNNNNNNNNNNNNNNNNNNNNNNNNNNNNNNNNNNNNNNNNNNNNNNNNNNNNNNNNNNNNNNNNNNNNNNNNNNNNNNNNNNNNNNNNNNNNNNNNNNNNNNNNNNNNNNNNNNNNNNNNNNNNNNNNNNNNNNNNNNNNNNNNNNNNNNNNNNNNNNNNNNNNNNNNNNNNNNNNNNNNNNNNNNNNNNNNNNNNNNNNNNNNNNNNNNNNNNNNNNNNNNNNNNNNNNNNNNNNNNNNNNNNNNNNNNNNNNNNNNNNNNNNNNNNNNNNNNNNNNNNNNNNNNNNNNNNNNNNNNNNNNNNNNNNNNNNNNNNNNNNNNNNNNNNNNNNNNNNNNNNNNNNNNNNNNNNNNNNNNNNNNNNNNNNNNNNNNNNNNNNNNNNNNNNNNNNNNNNNNNNNNNNNNNNNNNNNNNNNNNNNNNNNNNNNNNNNNNNNNNNNNNNNNNNNNNNNNNNNNNNNNNNNNNNNNNNNNNNNNNNNNNNNNNNCCUAUCCCCUGUGUGCCUUGCCUCCCACGACUGAGAGAGAGAGGUGCUCCCUUUGGGUAGGGUUGACAACGGGUUGGGUCGGGUCUGGGUCUGAAUUGUGGAACCGGACCAGACCCAAAAAUUAAAAUAUUUAUGUAUUUUACUAUAUUUAAAUGUGAAAAAAAUUUAUAUAGAGCCGAGGCUCUAAACAAUCACAUUAGAGCUCACAUCAAAAAUUUCUUUAGAAGAGGUUGUUUUGAUGUUCAAAUAUCCUCAAAUUGAUCAUCUCGACAUCAAGAUGCAUGAAUAAGAGAAAAAAAAUGGAUUUCAUGUUUUGGAAAUAUUGCAUCUUGUAAUACAUUUUUGGACCGUCAAUUUUCAAGUUUUUAAAGUUUUCAUAGAUUUGCUAGAUCUACACUAUUUUUGAAGCUUUAAAGUUUAUAAUUGAAGAUGAAAAUAUAUUUUAAGACUACCACAAAGAUUUCCAGUAUUGAAACCAUAUUUCUCAACACUAUUUGAAGGUCAAAUAGUGCACUGUAAUUUGAUUUGUUAGAGCCACGGCUCUAUACAAACCUCACCCUUUAAAUAUACCUCAUAAAGUGGGACCCAAAAAAUAUUACCGGAUCUGGACCUGGACCCACCUGUGGUCGGGUCUACCCUUCAGAUCCCAGUCGGAUUCGGGUCUGGGUCCAUUGCCAUCCCCUCUCUCUCACACCCACCCGUUUCCCUCUUUCUCCUUCCUCAGCCUUUGCAAAAUCACGGCCGUUUAUUUUUCCCCAUCAGAGCACCUUUUGGCUAGUAUUUCUAAAUUUUGGGUCUUAUGUUUAGGGUUUGAACCCCCUCAGACACACCCUAUCUUUUUAAAUACAUGUUUUUUUUUCUUUAAAUAACAAGGGUUAAAAAAAUCUCUAUAGGGACCUCUCGUGAAGAUGUUGUUCUAAAUGAAAAGCAUGUGUAAGCAUGUAACGGAGAUGUUUUUUUUAUUUAACUCUAGUUGGACUCAUGCAAGUUACUCCGAUUCACCCGAAUCACUCACCUCGACUAAGUGGCAAGUAACUUUGGGGAGUCCAAUCCCCAUACCUAAUUCGGAGCACUUGUCUCACUAUGAAAAAGGAAGAGUUUAUAUAAAAUUAAGGUGGGCUUCAAAAACUCACUAGAAAUGGGUUGUUAAAAAAAUCCUCAAAUCAAUCAUCUCGAUCGUAUGGACAUGAGAAAAAAAUGGAUUUCAAUUUUUGAAAAUAAUACAUCUUGUAAUGCAUUUUUUAGACAAUCAAUUUCCAAGAUUUUCAUGUCUUCAUAGAUAUGCUCAAUCUACACUAUCUUUAAAGCUUUAGAUUUUAAAAACUGCAGACGAAAAUAAAUUUUCAAGCCAUCACAAUGAUUUCCAAUACUAAGACAACAUCUUUCGAUACUGUUUGAAGGUGCACGUUACUUUGAUUGUUUAGUCCUCAGACUUAUACAAACCACAACCCCCCUGGUAAAACUCGGGUCCGUGAGAGAGGGAGAGAGACUCUAGUCUUUCUAUGGGAAGGCUAGUGCGCCACAUUCCCAUUUGGAGGGUCAUAUCAGUAGAGUCUUGGAACAUUCUAGAGAGAGAGGUCAUAUCAGUAGAGCCUUGGGUCAUUUUAUGAGAGAGAGAGAGAGAGAUCAAACUGUAGAAAGACUUGCUGAGCAGCUCCACCAUUGGAAGGCAUAUCCAUGGAAUAUCCGCUGCCAUGCACUCAAGCUUGAAGCCAUUUGUUGCAAGGUUUGAGAGGCUCCCAUUAAAGGAUGCCUGGUCUCCACUCACCACAGUGUAUUCCUCGUACCAUUUUUAGUGAGAGAUUUGUGGAUGAAGAGAGAGAAUGUUGUUGAUAGGGACUUCAUAUUACAAAAAAUAGACGUUUUCCCUCUCCCACACCUUAAAAAAUAUUUGUGCCUGUGAUAUGUUCCGCGGCAAGUACUAUAAAAUUACAGAUCCCUCCCUCAACCCCAUAUUUUUAGAUGAUGCCGACGCACAAAAUUAUUUAUUUUUAGACCCACCUUUAGGUAGAAAAGUAGUUUCUUUAUAAUGAAAAUACCCAACAUUUCUCUUGCGCCAACCCCUUAGUUUUUUUUUUGAAAAUGAAGCCGGUUUGACACAUUAUGCUGUACUGGCUUUUGGUCUUAUUAAAGCUGGUUUGGCACAAACAGGUUUCAUUUUAAACAAUAAAGCUCCAACACAUGGUGUGUCGAACUGGCUUCUGGUCCUCAUUAAAGUUGGUCCGGCAAUUAACGUGUCGGAUAACUUUUGAUCCUUUCUGAAGCCGGUUCGACAUUAGCUUGAAGAGAGAGAGGAGAUGCAAAAAAUGUAGGUUGCAACGGCAUAUAGGUGGGCUGGUGGACGGGCCCAAGGGGAGGGAGUAAUCUCUUAGAAAAAAGUACUCUUUUUUUUUAGGGGUGGGUGCAAAAAAUAAAUGGUGUUAAGGUUUUAAGUGUCACUUAAAAAGUAAAGGGAUUGUAUACCAUGAUACCAUUUAUCUUUGGUCACGAUUACUCCCAACCAAUGGUUUAAAAACCGGAUCAGUGACUCGGAUCGGGCUUUUAAAAAACCGAUUUGGAUCGGCGAAUCGGCGAUCCGGAUCGGCGAAUCGGUGAUCCGGAUCGGAAUCGGGUGAAUCGGUCAGAAUAAAGCUUACAAAAAAAUCCGAAAAAGUUAUUAAAAUUCAUUAUAAAUAUUGGUUUUUAGGAAUUNNNNNNNNNNNNNNNNNNNNUUACAAAAAAAAACAAACAUUUCGAUCAUAUAUUAUAAAACAUUCGAUCAUGGAUUACAAAAAAUUCAAUCAUAGGGUUACUAAAAAAAAAAAAAACAAAAAAAUCGAUCAUGGAUUACAAGAAAAGAAAACAAACAUUUCGAUCGUGGAUUACAAAAAAUUCUAUUGUGGGUUACAAAAAACCAAAAAAUUCGAUCAUGGAUUACAAAAAAAUCUAUCAAGGAUUAACCAAAAAAAAAAAAAAAAAAAAAAAUAACCGUACGGAAUUGCCGAUGCACUGUUCGGACUCCCCGAUUCCGUACAGUGAAUCGGCGAUUCACUGUACAGAAUCGUCCGGUUCUCUCUAGAACCGGACGAUUUCCGAUUUUUGGGCGAUCCGGUUCCUUUUUCACUAUUUUCGAGUCGAACCGGGCGAGUCCGGUUCGACUCGACGUUUUUUAAAACGCUGCUCCCAACUAUUAAAUUUCAAAUUGAAUAGUUGAGAUAUAUCACCUAGUUUGAUAUUUUUUUAUUUUUGAAUUAUGAAUCUAAUUAAUGAUGCUCUUACAUCCACUCAAUUUGAAAUCUAAUUUAAUGAAGUGAUGAUAACUUCCUUAUACAAUUUAAUGAAGUGAUAAUAACCUCUUAUACUAAAAAUAAAUAUUGUGUUUGUGAACUUUUUCCUAAGGAAUGAGGGUGGGAAUGCUCGGAAAGUUGGGUCCAUGAAGUUCUAAUAUUUCCCUAUAUUUCUUUUGAGUUAGAGAGAAGAAAUGCUACAAUAAGCCAAAUUUGACCUUCGUGAAGAGAAGGAUAAAUAAGGACUUGCCCCCUCCUCAAAGCACUUGGGGAAUGAUAUUCAUAAAAGCCGAAAAAGUCAAAGUUAGCGUAGGACAGUGGGUUUUACUUUAUAAAGUAGCGGUUUAAGUCUAGGGGUGGCCGGCCGGAUAGAUCCAGAUCCGAAUAGUAUUCGGGCCUACUCGUCGGGUCUAAAAGUUGGACCCAUACUCGUAUCCUCCUGCUCUCAGGUAUAUCUUAUCGGGUCGUAGGUCUGGUCAGGUCCACCCUCGCUAUGAACUUCUUUUAUUUGUUUUGCUCUUUUUUAUCAUCAUAUACCUAUAUUACAGACAACAAGAUCACAAUUAUUUGCCACGAGAUUUCAAACUGUCUGAUUUGUAGUUUAAUAGAUAAAGAUGAUUACGGGCUCUUAUUGUACACGAUCACUAAUACACCUAAACGAAUAGGGCUUGAAUUAUUUUACCAUCAACGGUUUACCGGUUUGGGUCGAGUCCAACCGGACCCAGACCCGAACUCAAAUAGUGUUCAGGUCCAGGUUUUGGAUCCAAACCCGACCCAACGGGUCCAAAUGUUGGACCCAUACCCGGCCCUACGUUGGGUAUACUCUGCGGGUCUCGGGUCGGGUCCGGGUCUGGGUCCAUUGCCACCCCUAUUCAAAUCUUUCAGUAAAUAGUUUUCGGAUACGGAAAGAUCAAACUGAAAUGGAUUUGGGGCAUGGUAAAUAAAAUUAUUUUUUUAAAAAAAUAUCAUCAGAGCUUUUUUUUUACUAUUUGGAUCAACUACACGAAUUCUGAUCUAUUAUUCUGCUCUAUAAAAAUCCAUACUUUAAGUGAGACUAUAAAAAGAUGAUAAUAAUAAUAAUAAUAAUAAUAAUAAUAAUAAUAAUAAUAAUAAUAAUAAUAAUAAUAAUAAUAAUAAUAAUAAUAAUAAUAAUAAUACAUCAUCAUCAUCAUCAUCAUCAUCAUCAUCAUCAUCAUCAUCAUCAUCAUCAUCAUCAUCAUCAUCAUCAUCAUCAUCAUCAUCAUUUCUAAUGCAUUAUUUCAUCAUCAUCAUCUUUUCUAAUAAAUUAUUUCCAUCACUUAUUUUCAUAGGUUCACAAAAUCCAUCAAAUCUACAUUAUUUUAGAGCUUCAAAUUCCAAGUCAAAUGUUAACAUUGAUUCUCAAGCCAUUUCACCUAUUUUUUUCACACUUAUGCGCGUAAUAGAUUUCACGUAUUUUGGAAAAAUCUUUUGCAAUUUAUUUCCAAUUUCUUACGGUUGAAUGUAUAUGGUAAAUCUCAUAUUUUCUUAUAAUAUAUUUUAUUGUAAUAAAUUUUCAAGUACCAAACAACGCUAUAGUAUAAUAACUUUUUGUUCAGUGGUAUUUUAAAGAAUGAAAAAUUCCGUAUAGAACCCUAAUUCAUCGUAUUAUUUUAUGGUCGACCCUUAUUCUGUUUUUUUUUUCAAGCAGCAUAAGAAAAUCCCUAAAGAUUUCAACAUACCCCAUCAUCUUUUAUCUCAUUUUUUUAUUGACUUUUGACUAUAAAAAUUAGCCUCAAGAAAUCUUUUUAUAUCAUUUCAUCUCAAAAAUUUUUUAACCAUCUUUUUCUUUUUUACCUAUUAGAAAAGUUUUUGGAUUGAAAUGGUAUAAAAAUAUUUAUUGGGGCUAAUUUUUAUGACAAAAAAAGUCAAUAAAAGAGGGAGAUAAGAGUUGAGGGGGUAUGGUGAAAUCUUUAGUAGUUUUUUUUAUGCGGCUUGCAAGAAAAGCGGAAGGAUGGUCUACCAUAAUAUAAUAUGAAGGAUUAGAGUUCUAUACGAAAUUUUCUCUUUAAAGAAUUAGUCAAUUGUAAAGUAGAAAUUCUUAAUAGAAACAAAAACAUUUAUUAACAAUAAUGGACAAUGAUUUCAUCGUAUGUGACACCACCAAAAAAUGCAUUAAUUUUUUUAACUAUUAAUAAAAUGAGACUAUUUUUUAUAAAAAUAUCUAUUCUACCCUUUUAAAUGACAAAAAAUGCCCAUACUUAAAAACUUUUGUGAUAAAAUAUAAUUCAAAUAAAUUAAUUAAUAGUCGAUGAAAACGUGAGGGCCCAUGUCACGCGUAAAGAAUGGUUUAUAUUUAGAGCAAAAGAGAUGCCACUUUUGGGAAGUGGAUGCACUACAUCUGCCCUAAGGGCUUUUUACUCCAUCAAUAUCAACUUUUAUUUUUCAAAACCAUUAUUUUGAUUUUGUUGACAUAAAGAAUAUUAUUUUUUCCUGAUUUGUGGACCACUUUGCUUUAUAAUUGGGUGAAUAGAUGCAAAUAACGGACGUACAUGAUCAUUGGACACCCUACAAAGGGAACAAAGGCAAAAUUCUCAAAACUCGUUGCAGUGUCUAAAGACUCGGGCGAGUCCACUUGGACUCGGGCUUGAUAUAGGCGAGUUCAUGGGGCUAACAUAUCCCUAUGAAAAAUCAUUAAAAACUCGCAAAGUUAGGUAAAAACCUUCAAUAGGUGACAUUUUUAUAUGAUUUAUGUGAACGUUAUGAUGAUUUGGGAGCUUUUCUUAUCACAUACUUUUUCUUUUUCUUUUUUUCUUUUUAAAUUUCUCUGGAAUAUUUCAAGAUAUAAAUCAGAAUUUUCAAUAGUCCAUUUUUGAUAUACCUUUUUUAACUUUUACAGACUUUUAAAAAAUUAUAUUAUUUCUUCCUAUUUUAUUUAUUUUUAACAAAAAAUUUAUAUUUUAUAUUUUUUAGCUUUUUUUAAUCUUGUACAGAACUUGGCUAAGUCCACUUGGACUUAAGUGAAUUACUCGGCUCGGGCAAAGUCCAAUGCCCGGGAACCGAGCUUGAAAACAGUGACUUUUAUUAAAUGAUCAAAACAGCCGUUGUCAUUUGAAUUGAAUAUAAAAAAUAAUGUAUUUUGUGCAUCAUAGUAAUGUCCAAACCUAUGUCUAUUUCCGUUUGCCUUUCUAACUCCUCAAAUUCGACUUAAGGGUGUGUUUGUUUGUACAAAUGGGGCACUUACGGGUUGUUUGUUUUUACAAAUAGGGCGACCUAGAGCUACAAUACUUAAGCAGGGUGCCCAAUUAAUAUUUUUCAAAAAAAAAGAAAAUGGUUUCAGUCCUAAAGAGGUUUGUUUGAUUAUAAAUUUGAAAUUUUUUAAUUGAUUUUUUCUAAUUGUCAUCAUCAUUGUCAAAUUUUUUUCUCAACCUAAUUGGGAUCAACUAUACCAUCUGUUGUGUUGCUCUAUUAAAGGCCACAUCUUCAAUGAGAUCAUAAAUCUCUAUAUCUUUUUUCACUACUUUUAAAUAUUUUUUUUCCAAUUGCAAUACGAGGAAAUGACAUUUGUUGUAUAGAAGCGUUCAAUUGGUUUCUCCAAAUUGCAAUUGAGAAAUGUUUAAAUUGAGUGAGUUGUUUGAUUGUAAUUUUCCAAAUUAUAAACCUAAAAUGUUCUUUUUCCAUUUAUUUGUUUCUUUCUCAAUACUGACUUUUCCUAUACAUACAUAAUGAUGCAUAUAAAUACAAAGAUAAUGAUGCAUAUAAAUACAAAGAUUGCACGUGUAGACUCCAAGUAGCCUGAAUUAAAAUGAUUAAUUACCUCGCUUAUUUUGGGUUCCAAAAAUUUGCAUUUAAAAAUUUCUUAAUAUAAUUUGAAAUCCAGAAUAAGCAAAUACAUUUUUGGCAAUUAUCGAUUGCUAUUAUUGGUUAAUUUACGAAAAUUACCCUUUUAUUAAUAAUUUGAAACCCAGGGCUUGUAAACCAUUUUUUAAAAAAAGAUAAGUGAGAAUGAAGUGGAGUUAAAAUGAUGCUACUCUAUGGGGGGAGGUUUGUGCAAGGUUGCACUUUUAAACAAUUAAAGUGAGGCACACCUCCAAACUGUCAUAAGAUAAAAUUUUGGUGUCGAAAUUUUUACGAUGGUCCGAGGAUUUAUUGUUAAUCUCUAAUUAUAAAAUUUUAAAUUUCAAAAAUAGUUCAAAUCAAGUAGAUCUACAAAAUGAUGCUCCUCUAUGGGGGAGGUUUGCGCAAGGUUGCACUUUUAAACAAUUAAAGUGAGGCACGCCUCCAAACUGUCAUAAGAUAAAAUUUUGGUGUCGAAAUUUUUAGGAUGGUCCGAGGAUUUAUUGUUAAUCUCUAAUUAUAAAAUUUUAAAUUUCAAAAAUAGUUCAAAUCAAGUAGAUCUACAAAUACAUGAAAAUCUUCAAUAUGGAUGGUCUAGAUAAUGAGUUGGAUGAUUACUCUUUUUUGAGAUUUAAACUCUUUUUUUUUUUUUUUUCAUAUCUAUAUAUCUCGAUAUCUCAAACUUCAGACUAAUUUUUUUGGAUGGAUUUUUGAAAUGCACCUUAAUUCGAGGAUUUAAAAUGUCACUCCAUAUAAACUUUUUCCAUUAUAAUAAGGACUAUUUUGGUGAAAUAUUUGAGUUUGAUUGAUUUUUUGAGAUGGUCUACUAUUUUAAUGAUAUUAUUCUACCAUAAAUUCCCAACCAUGCUGUGGUCUAGCUUCUGAAUCCACUUUCUCACUCUAUAAAUACCUCUCCUCCCCUCUAUCUCUCUCCAUAUACAAAACCUCCACUUUCUUUUCGUUCUUUACACACGUCUCACUUUUCUCCCACUUCAUUACUGCACUUCUUCCUCUCUCCUUCCAUGGCCCCAUCCUUCUUUACUGUAUAACUCUUCUUUCUCUCUCUCUCUCUCUCUCACUUUCUAUGAGAUGCAUGCAUUUCACAAACUUUGCGGUCAAUUUUGAACAUCACUCCACUUAAUAUUCUCUCUAUACUCUCUAUAAAUUGAUGCUUCCUAGCCCUCCAUCCCUGCAACUGACAGGUUUCCAACACUAAAGUAUUUUCCUUCCCUUUGUUGGUUUUGAGGCCCCCUUUGUAAUUUAUUGCUGAUUUUUCCAGUUUCAAUGAGAAACGCAGUAGGAGUUGAUAAUUCUUUUCCUGAACCUGAAACCCCCUUCUCUGUUUCAGUGAUUUUGCCUCCUCCAUUAAUGGACCUUCACAAGGUCCCAACCCCACCUUCCAAAACCACUUUUGAGGUACUCAAAAUCCGGUUUUCCGAUAUAUUCUUCCCUGAAAACCCAUUGAAACAAUUCAAAAACCAGAGUGUUUGUAGAAAGUGGGUUUUGGCCAUUCAAUAUCUAUUUCCCAUUUUUCAAUGGGGGCCCAAUUAUAGUUUGAAGCUUCUAAGGUCUGACAUUGUAUCAGGAUUCACCAUUGCCAGCUUGGCUAUACCUCAGGUUCUUUUAUUGCGUCAUAACAUUUUCUUUUUUUUUCCUUCUUUUUUUUUGGUUUUUUUUCUUUUUCUUUUCUUGAGGUGAAAGGAGAGCUUUAGCAAGUAGCAGAAAAAGGAAUGAAAAGAAAAGAAAAGAACACAGGGCUUUGUAGAUAUUUGAAAAGAAAGAGAUGUGGGGUUUGUAAUUAUCAGGAACAAAAAGAAGAUAUGGACUUUUUAUGGUUGUAAAAAGAAAAAUGAAAAGCAAAAGGGGUUUUGUGAAUGGUUGUUGUAUCGAAAAGGGGUUUUCUGGAAUCUUAUUCUGGUUUUUUGGGUUUUUGCAGGGUAUCAGUUAUGCAAAGCUGGCGAAUUUGCCCCCAAUUAUUGGCCUAUGUGAGCAUUUUAUUUUUUUAUGCUUGUAAUGUAGUUUUUUUUAGUGGAUUUUGUUUUUUUAUUCGAAUUGUAAUUGGUCGUAUUAAGUUAAAAUUAUAUAGGGAAGAGAUCAUGUCAGGGCCGAUGGAACAGUGUACGCCCAACCCAACGGCUUACAUUGAAUUUGGACAUAUUAAAAAAAAAAUUUCUCUCCAAUAUCUUAUGCAUGAGAUAAUCUCUAUGUUGUCUCUUGAUUAAGUUUCAAUGUACCAGUUAAUGCGAUUUGUUCUUGUAGAAUGAUUAGAACAUAUUACUCGUCAUUUUUUGCUGCAGACUCCAGUUUUGUACCACCAUUGAUUUAUGCAGUGCUUGGGAGCUCCAAAGACCUGGCAGUGGGACCAGUUUCCAUUGCAUCUCUGGUUAUGGGAUCAAUGCUUAGAGAGAAAAUCUCUCCAACUCAAAACCCUAUUCUCUAUCUUCAGCUUGCUUUUACAGCUACCUUCUUUGCUGGUGUUUUCCAGGCUUCAUUGGGUCUGUUAAGGUAAGACACACUCUCUCUCUCUAACACACACACUCUCUUUCUCUGUCUAACACACUCUCUUUCUCCCUCUCAACAUGUGUGUUAAUUUGGUGAAAAGGAUAGUUGCACGUAGUUUCAAACUCACAAGUGUCUCAACUGGACUCGGGCCUGAGCCUGGCUAGCUUUGGUCCUUUCCUUGUCCUUCACUCUAAAGGGCCGAGUAUGGGAGGCCCAAGGCCAGCCCUGACCGUAUUAGGGUUGGGCUGGUCCGGGCCAAACAUAAAUAAAAAAAAAUAUCUAGGCCUUGCCAUAGUCGUACAUUUUUUUAAGGCCGGGUGAGUUGGCCCGGCCCACCUGGGCAUUGCCGACCCUAUCCAAAGUGAUUGCGCAAGAAGGGACAUACUGGACUAUUGCUCACCGGAAUAUUUUGGCAUGCUCCUUUGAUAUAUUACGAAAGUAUGUCAUGCAUCUGAGGAUUAUACAAAAAUCAUAAUCCUCGAGGCAACCACCUUUCAUGGCAGCAAACGGAGUGGGAACCCAUUUGGAUCUAUCAAAUGAGUAUUCAGAAAGAUGAUUCAUGUAGUCGAUUUUAAAUAAUUGAAAUAAGAUUACGAUGACGGUGACGGAGAAAUGAUUUGGGGUGUCUGUGAUAGCAUAUUUCCCAUUUGCUCUCUGGUAUAAAACCCAUCCUAAGGUACUUUUAGGACCCUAAAUUUUGAGGAUGUAUUCUCUUAAACGAAACAAUCAAUUUCAAUAGGGAAAAAAAUAAAGGCACUCUUUGUGAGCGAAAAAAUUUGCAUUCUAAAAUUGAAUGUGGACCGUCCAAUUUGUGGAUAGGAAGACUAAAGGUUAAAAAAUCUAAAAAACUGAUUUUACUUAUUUAAAAUAAAGGAAAUUUAGCAGAAUACGUAUGAGAGAUGUGAUCAUCAAUAUUUUGCACAUUUGCAACUUUGAUGGGAUUUUGAAAUUAAAUUAAACAAUAUGAGUGAAAAAUACUGAAUAGUUCAAAUAACAUUGGUAUUUUGAUCAAUUUCCCUGAAAAUAAUGAGGCGGUGAUUUUAAGGUGGGUAACAAAAUUUUAGUUCCAAAAAAUCUUCAUAAAGUAGCUUUCACACCCAAGAGAGAGUAAGGGGAGAAUGUGCUCAUGCGAGAUCAUAUUAUAUCACUAAAUUUAAAAAAAGAUAUUACUUUUGGUACAAGGUGGGUUACCAUAGGUAGGACUCACAAUGGGCCGGGUAGCUCGGUCCAGCCCUGGAAACUACAACCUAGGCCACAAAAUGUGGCCCGAGGACCAGGCCACCAUGACUUGAGGUUUGGGUUGGCUAUACAUUUUUUUUCUUUUUUUCUUUUUUAAAUUUUUUUUUUGUGCUCUAUGCACAUUGAGUGCAAGCCAGGCCAAGGCUGCCCAAUGGCACUCGGGCUGGGCUUGGGCCAAUGGCCCAAGCCCAGACUAUUGCCUAUCCUAAUAGCCUCUGUAGGGUGCGAAUGAUCUCAUUGUAAUACUCUCUGUUCAAAUCAAAUCGUGACUGAAGAACCCCUUAUCUGAGUAAACUUCGUACAAUAUUUUCAUUACAUAAACUCCAUAUAAGAUCAUCAUUAUUUAAGAAAAAAAAAAAAAGUCACCAAAUUUUUACAAGGCAAAAAAGAAUUUACCUAAUUAAGUGGUGUACCCUGCAGGUCUACCAUUCCUCGAAUGGAUGGUUUAGUCUAGAAAGGGAAUUGAUUUCGUUCAUUUUCUUUAAGUUCUAAUUUUAUUUUAUUUUAUUUUUUUGGGGUCUGAAUUUAUAAAUGAAAAAAUCCCACUAACUGUGUUUUUGGCGGGCUCUACAACGUAACGUGGUGGGGCCAAACCCCUAAUAAGUGCUCUUUUUGCAAUAUUGAGAAAUUUAUCAAAAUACCCAUAAUAAACAACUAUAUAUAUUUAUCCACCUGCAACUAUUCCAACUCGAGAACAUGUAACUUUUAUGGGUAUUUCGAAACUAAAUCAAAAGAUAGGGGUAAGGUGUUAAAUUAUUCAUUCUUUAUAAGUAAUUUGAUAAACAAAUUUCUCCAAACUAAUUAGUAACAUAUUACAUAUUUUGAUAUAUUUCCACAUAAAUUCCCUCCUUCGGCUUUGCAACACAAAAUUAUUCCAUCCAGCAUUCUAAAAAUGUGACCAAGGGUAAUAUAGGCAUCAACAAAAAAAAAGUGGGGGCUGAAGUUUUUAUUUAUUAUUCAUCACAAAUUUUUAUCCAUAUUGCUCAUAUUUUCUGAAGUUUAGAAAUUAUCCUCAAAAUGAAAAAAAAAAAAAAAGGUGAAAAAUAACAUAGGGUAAACAUGGGAAAUUACAGGUUAGGUUUGAUGGUGGAUUUCUUAUCUCGACCAACCUUGUUGGGGUUCAUGGGCGGAGCGGCCAUCAUUGUCUCCCUUCAACAACUAAAAGGAUUGCUUGGUAUUGUUCACUUCACCAAGCAAAUGGGAAUUGUGCCUGUUUUAAAUUCUGUUUUCAGCCAUACAUCUGAGGUUUGUAUUUCAUCCAUCUCUCUUGAAUGUUAUCUCGAAUGUUGCUAUAUUCGCUUUGGAAUUUUUUUCGAUUUGGUGGAAAAAAUAAAACAAUUCAGUAUUUCGGAUUCGAAUAACUCGGGGGAAAAUAUUGGAUUUUUUAAAAUUUAAUAUAAAUAAAUUAGAUAUUUUUAUAUAAAUAUAUAAGAUAUAAUAAAAAAAUUAUAAUAAAAAUUUCAAAAAACCGAAUCGGCCGGAAGCAGCAGCAUCAGACUUCAAUUUCUGAAGACCACCCAUAAAGCAAAGUUGAAAAACUCUCUCUCUUUCUAGAUUUAUGUGGGGAGUUAGGCCUGCAAAUAUUAAGUUACUGUAUCUCUGGAAUGUGAAUGGUCAAAAUGUAUUAAACUGUUUAAAGUUCACCUUAUAAAGCCUUGUCAAGCAAAUCCCAUUUACACACAAUCAUACUGACAAAUCUCUUAUUAAAAAAUAUCAUAAAGUUAACAAAAAAAAAAUACAAAAGAUGAAAGUUGGUAAAGGCAAAUAUCCUCUUUUUUUUUUUUGUUAAAAUGUAAUCUAAUUAUUGGUCUCUCUUCCCCCACUAACUGAUGAAAUUAUUGAUUCUGGUUUGUAGUGGGCAUGGGAAACAUCUCUCAUGGGCUUCUGCUUUUUGGGAUUACUUCUCGUAGCAAGGCACAUUGUAAGUUCCCUGUUACUCUUUAAAACACACUCUCUCUCUCUCUCUCUUCUCUCUCUCUCUCUCUCUCUCUCUACUCUACUCUACUACUACGUACUACGUACUACGUACGUACGUACGUACGUACGUACGUACGUACGUACGUACGUACNNNNNNNNNNNNNNNNNNNNNNNNNNNNNNNNNNNNNNNNNNNNNNNNNNNNNNNNNNNNNNNNNNNNNNNNNNNNNNNNNNNNNNNNNNNNNNNNNNNNNNNNNNNNNNNNNNNNNNNNNNNNNNNNNNNNNNNNNNNNNNNNNNNNNNNNNNNNNNNNNNNNNNNNNNNNNNNNNNNNNNNNNNNNNNNNNNNNNNNNNNNNNNNNNNNNNNNNNNNNNNCUACUAGGUCGUUCGUUCGUCGUUUUCGGUUAGUUACGUUACUUCGUACGUACGACGACGACACUAUAGUUACCUCGUUACUCUUAACUAACACUACUCUCUCUCUCUCUCUCUCUCUCUCUCUCUCUAAAUAAUCUAUUUUUGCAGAGCUCAAGGAAACCAAACCUGUUCUGGGUUUCAGCAGCAGCACCAUUAUUCUCUGUUAUUCUUUCAACUUUGUUGGUCUACAUAUUCAAAGCUCAGCAUCAUGGGAUCUCUAUAGUAAGUGAAAAAAUCCCACCCAUAAAAUUUAGAGGCUCACUUUAUUAUCAAUUGCCUUUUAUUUGCAAUUUGACAUAAAAAUAUGGUGUAUCAUGGAUAGUGCAAUCUGAUUGUGUUUGCAUAAAAAUGUGAAUAGAUUGGACAACUUCAAGAAGGAUUGAAUCCACCUUCAACAAACCUUUUGUGUUUUCAUGGUCCUUAUCUAGGCCUUGCUAUCAAAACUGGGAUUGUGACUGGGAUUUUAUCUCUAACAGUAAGUACAAGACUCUCUCUCUCUCAUUCAUUGAAACUUUUGCAAUCUCUAAUGGAAAGGACUUGCUAAAAUAAAAUGUUUUUCAUACUUUAGGGGCACCAUAAAAAAUAUUGGAACUCUUUGUCAUUUUAACGUUAUCUUGAUUUAAUGUUUGGUUCGUGUGAAAAUAUUUUUUAAGAAAUAUUUUCACAUGAAAAAAUUCUUUCAUAUUGUUUAAUGUGAGAAUAUUUUCACACCAAUACUUUAACACCUCAUCACAUGAACACCUCAUCACAUGAGUGAAUUUUUAAUGUAUUUUCAUAUGAACGAAACGCGCCCCUUAGGAGUUUUUUUUUUUUUUGUUGGCCUGGUAAGAAUGAGCCCUUUACCCAUGAUAAGAAUAAAACUUAAUACGUCAUGUUGUAGUACCCUACCAUGACCUCCUUGAGCCGAUUCCCUCCCUUUAGGUAUUAUUUACUAUUUAGAAAGAAGAGUUUUGGCUAUUGGUUAAGGGCUAAGUGGAAAAUCUACAUAUAAUAAGAGAAGGACAUUCUUCUUGGGGAUUGCAUUUCACAUAGCAUGGGUAAAGUUAAUAAUAAAGGGCAAGGAUAUUUAUUAUUAAUUUAAAUAAACUUAAAUUGAUUUUUUUCUGCUCUCCCUCUCUUCACUCCAUUAUGUUUAUGUACUUCUUAUAUCCUCUCUCCUAAUUUGAUUUUAUCUCUUACAUAAUCCAUCCCUAAUCGCACAAAGGACUCAAAGAAAUUUUCAAAGCACCACCUAAUAGGCACACAUGCUCAAGUUUAUUUAGUAUAUUAUUAAUUUUCUCUAUCUCCUUCUCUUGUUUUGUAGGGUAUUGAGAGAGAUGUAUCAAAAGGUCAUAAGGCUGCAUGCCAGAUAUAUUAAAAUGUAAAGAAACCUUGGGGGAGUCCUAAUAUUAUUGUGAAUUUCAUAUUGCUCCUUUAAUAUAGAACACUUCCUUAUUUUACUUUUUUUCAAUAUUUUUUGGGUAAUUCAGUGAAGAAGUUAGGCCUUUACCCAUUUUUUCAAAUAGUUGAGAAGUUAGUUUUUUAGAAGUAUUAGUGGGGUGGUGUCAGCAAGAAGUAUUAGUGGGGUGGUGUCAGCAAGAAUGGCAUAAGAUUGAAAGCAAGAUCAAGUAAAAAAAAUUAAUAUUUUAACAUGGAUGUCAUGUUGUGGAACCAGCCACCCAGAUCACUUGUACCUAGAUCCCAUUCCCACUAAAUCAAAUCAAAUCCUCACCUUAAAAUAUCAUAUUAUUAUUUUAUAUAGUUGGAUAUGAAAAAUUUUAGGCUACUGAUUCAUCUCCUUUAGUCAUGGAUGUGUAGUGAGGAUUCAAUAAUUUUUACGUAGUCUAUAGUUAUGGAGGUUUUAAUUCACCUGUGUGUGCAUUUAGGGUAGUUGGUAUAAUGGUUGGGGGCAUAUAUGAAUACUUGUACACCUAAAAUAAACUUUUCUUUUAAGCGAAACGAUUUCAUGCUCAUGCAGAAGUACACUGCCUAUUUACUCCCUCAAGUAAAACCCCAUCUAAGAGUAUAUUGGGCUCCAAAUUUUGUGGAUCUAACCCCUUCAAUUCAUAGACUAACCUCAACAAAAAGGAUUUCUAAAUCACACUCUCAAUGCGGUUGAAAAAAAAUAGUGUCUCAAGAUGGAAUAGAGACCCUCCAAUUUUUUGGAGGGUGGGAUCUAAGUUAGAGAACUCAAAAUCCUAAGUUCUUUUUUGUAUUAAAAAUAAUCCUCUAGUCAUCCUUAGGUGGUUUUCAAAAUUUCAAAUCAGAAAAAUCCUCCCAAGUAGUUCUUCUGUCUAAAGGAGUAAAUAUACAGUUUGUUCCAGUAGGACCAUAGUAUACAUGCUCUUUACUUAUUUGCAGAUAUAGUGUGUGAUAUUGCUCCUUUGGUGAAAAAACCUUUAAAUUUGUUUUGUUUGCGGCAACAUACGUGCUGCAUCAAAAGUGAUUUGGACCCAAUCGAUGUUAUCAAAUUCGCAUCGCGAGGCCAAACUCUUCGGAAAAUUUUGCCUAGACCGAAGGAAGCGAAGCUCCGGUGCAUCUACUUAUUACGCUUGCUUGAGGCCGCUAAGGCUUGGUUAAGCCUCUUCGUCCAAAGCACAAAACUGCCUUUUAAAAAGACAAUUUUGUGCUUCGGCUUGUUUGGGUCUAACUUGAUCUCUUUGGCUGAAGCAAGAAAUUGUCUUCAUUGUAUUAUUUUUUAUUAAUUUUAAAGUUUUUUACUUUUAUAAAUUUUAUUAUUUUAAUAUAAAUAUGUACUUUAUUUAUGUUAUAAAAAUUCAAAAUUUUGAAGUCUUCCUCAUAAUUGGCCCAAGCAUUGAAUCGCUUCUUUUUUUUAGCCAAAACCAAAUAAGGCUCCGAUGCACAUUUCCCAUCAUUUACACCUAAAUCAAACAUGAAAUUUUUUAUCUUUUUUAGGGUAAAUAACAUGAAGUUUUUUAUCCCUAACAUGAAAAACAGCUUUCACUAAAAGGAAAGCCACAGACUAUGGAAUGACACAGCAAGUUUGCCAUUAGUGGUGUAAAUGAGCUUAUUACUGAAUUAUUUUGUUUUUUUUGUUUGACAAUAAUUUAUUUGCCAUUCAUAGGAGGGAAUUGCAGUUGGGAGGACCUUUGCUUCCCUGAAGAACUACCAGGUUGAUGGGAACAAAGAGAUGAUGGCAAUAGGAUUCAUGAACAUGGCUGGUUCAUGCGCUUCAUGUUAUGUCACCACAGGUCUCUCUCUCUCACCCUUAUCACCAUCAAUCAUUAAUGUCGUUGAUAUUUAAAUCUCUAUGCACUAAUUUUUUUUUUUCAGGCUCCUUUUCGCGGUCUGCUGUAAAUUACAAUGCCGGUUCAAAAACUGCAGUAUCAAACAUUGUGAUGGCGGGAACAGUAAUGGUGACACUGCUCUUCCUUAUGCCACUGUUCCAUUACACGCCGAACGCCAUCCUUGGAGCCAUAAUAAUAACAGCAGUGGUUGGUCUCAUCGAUCUUCGGGCCGCUUAUGAAAUAUGGAAGGUGGACAGGUUGGAUUUCUUUGCAUGUCUAAGUGCCUUCUUUGGUGUUCUCUUCAUCUCAGUUCAAAUGGGCCUUGCCAUUGCUGUAAGUAUAGCCCUCUGUUCUUUACCUUUACAAAAUGAGAAGAUAAUUAAGUUGGAAACAUGCUAUCUUUUUUGUUAAGGCCCAAUUUAGGUACGAGUGGGUGAGGGAGAGAGAGUUCCCUUUGCCCAUUGGGAAGUAUGUUUUAGAGUUUAAAGAUCAAAAUAAUAAUAAUAAAUAAAAGUAAACAAAAAAGCACGUUUUAGAGUUCUUUGUCACCCAAAAAUGUUAGGGGUUUUAUCCGGUCAUAAUUCAUUUCACAAUCGGUUCAAAUCAAUUGGAAUAGUUUUUGGGAGAAAAAAAAAAGGUGCAGUUUAAAAUUAUGAAUUACAUGAGUAAUUGGUUCACCUUAUUUAGCCAUCAAAACAAGCAAAUCUGAUUUACCAAAAUUAGUCAUACAUCGGAUUUGAUGGAUUUUUAACCCAACUCAAUUUUUAUUUUGUAUUAGACUGGCCAAGUCACAAGUCCAGUUGUCCAAAUGGUUGGGACGCCUUAUUUUAGUCUAGUCUUGAUAACGGCAUUAAAAACCCGAGUAACCUACCCAAAAAGUAUUUUAUGGGCAAGAUUAAAAAUAAAUCAUUUUACCAAUGUUGCCAGAAGUAUAAUUCUCGAGGCAAUAAGCAAUGAUCAUCCUUAAAUCCCAGAAAAGAAACCUUUGCUUUUGGUAUUUUAUUUUACCUAAAAAUUUAGGUGCAAUUUAACUGAAAAGAAGGAAAGAGUCAUGAAAUUUUCCCUUGAAUUUGCAGGUUGGGAUAUCUAUAUUCAAGAUUUUACUUCAUGUGACAAGGCCGAACACUGUUAUUUUGGGUAAUAUUCCUGCUACCAAUGUAUUCAGGGAUAUUGGACACUACAAGGAAGCAUCAAGAAUCCCCUCUUUCCUCAUUUUGGGAAUCCAGUCUCCCAUUUACUUUGCAAAUGCUACUUAUUUACAAGAAAGGUUGGUUUUGCUUUCAAUAAUCAAUAGUAAGAUAUAAAAUAUUAAGAUUGAAAAGAAAUUGUUCAAUUAUCAAAUUGCCAGAUCUAAGUAUUUAAAAACUCAAAUUUAAAUUUUGAUUAUGAAAAUACUCAUACGGUGAUUCUAAACCAGAUUCCAAAAUUUGAUAUUGAUAAAGAAAGGUAUACAAGUUGACUAUUUACUUUUGGUAAAAGUGGUCACAAUUAUUCUUGUUUGUUAAGCUAUCCAAUUAACAUCUAAUGCCUAAGAAUAAUUGCGAUUUUUUUGUAAAAAAAGAUAUAUAGACUCAUUUGAUAUCGACAAAGAAAAUUAUGCAAAGAGACUAUUUACUUUUGUUAAUCAUUCUUGUCUGUCAGAUUUCACAUUUGUCAGAUUUCAAAGAUGUGAAAUCGGAUAGCUGUAAGAGUGUCACUGACAAAGUUCAAAAAAGAUUGUCGCAUUUGACUUUCUUGUAAAAAAAGAUAAAUAGUCUCAUUUGAUAUCCACAAAGAAAGUUAUACAAAGAAACUAUUUACUUUUCGUAAAAGUAGUCAUAAUCAUUUUUAUCUGUCAGAUUUCACAUUUGUCAGAUUUCAAAGAUGUGAAUCGGAUAGUUGUAAGAGUGUCACUGACAAAGUUCAAAAAAGAUUGUCGCAGCACACCCUAAGCUUUCCAAUUUAACAUCCAAUGCUUACAAAUUUAACAUCCAAUGCUUACAAAUAUAACAUCCAAUGCUUACAAAAUAGUUGUGACCUCAUUGUAAAAAAGACAUAGUCUCCAUAAAAAUUGGGUAUAUUGCCACAUAUUAACACGAAUGGUGGGUCCUUUCAUAUAAAAAUUGAUUUAAAAUUGGAUUUCUCUAACACCAUAAAACAAUUUAGACACGGUUUGUAUGAGUCCUAGGGAUUCAUGUGUAGAAAUAAGUUCCCUCUUAAAAAUUUAUUUUUGAGAUGGAUUUUAGUCCUAAUUUUUAAGGGUGUGGUUUGUAUAAAUUUGCAAACUUAAACAAUCAAAGUAUAGUGCACCUUUAAACCAUCAUAAGAUGCUCGAAAAUGUAUUUUUAUCUCAAAUUAUUAAAUUUUGAACUCUAAAAAUAGUUCAAAAUCAAGCAUAUUUGUAAUUACAUGAAAACUUAAAAAAUGUAAGGUCCAGAUAAUAUGUUGCAAGAUGCAUUAUUUUUGGGACUUUAUCUUCUUUUUUCUGUAUUCAUGCAUCGCAAUGUUGAAAUGAUCAAUUAGAUAGUUUUCUAAUGUCAAACUAACCUUUUUCGAUGAAUUUUUGAAGUGCACCUUAAUUCUAUAGUAUCAAUUAUCAACCUUUUAUAAAAAAUUUACAAUUUUAGAAAUGCAUCAGUAGCUUGGAGAUCACAAAUAUGUAAAAAUAAAUAAAAAUUUUAAAACUAAAAAUGAUAAUUUAUGAAGAAAACUUUAGACCAUCAGUUUUAACUUCUUCUUUUUUCUUUUUUUGAGACCACCCAUUUGCAUCUAUCCAAGAUGGAUGUUUUAUGCCUCAAAGCGACGCAAAUGUAGGAUGCGUCCCCCGACACAGAACUUUCCAAACAAUUUAUAUCACAAUAUUUUAUUUUUCCAGAUAUUAUUUCUCGUACCUUAUGCCACUUAUUGACAUAAAAAAUAUUGCCUCUUUUCAUAAAGUUAAUUGAAAUUAUAUUCUUUUCUCGAGCGCGUGUACUAUGCUGCUACGGGAGCAAAGUGUACAUCUACUCUCUCGGUCAGAAAACCUACUUGUGGAUUUUUUUCAAUUUGAAAUUUAAAUUUUGAGUUUAUUGAUGCUUAGACCUUGCCGAAAAUUGGACGGUCUCUAUUCAAUCUCACAUAAUUUUCUUCAAGUGCAUAGAGGGUGCAAUUAGAAAGUUUCUUUUAGUGAGGUUGGUUUAUGAGGAAGUGGCUACAUCCCCAAAAUUCCAGUUCUAAAACUAAUCUUGUAUGGAGUCUUAGGAGUAAACAGACAGUGUAGUCCAGCAUAAGCAUAAAAUUUAUGGCCCUCUCUAUUGCUAAUUAUUCCUCUUAUGAUUUUCAUUAACAUAAGUGUUCUGCAAACUGAUUGUAUAACGUAAUAAAGAAUUUGUGAAUUUAACCAAAAAACAGAUGUUUAUAAAAAAUAAGUAAUUUAAAUUUCCCACUAGUCAUUUACAAAAGUUAGUUUAUCUUCCAUUGUUUUCUUAAUAUUGGGAUAAUUUGAAAAUUGGCAGGAUCAACAGAUGGAUAGAAGAAGAGGAAGAUAGAAUUAAAAACAGUAGGGACCUCACCCUCAAAUGUGUCAUAUUAGAUAUGACAGGUAAAUAUCAAUUAUUGUUUUUGUCGCAUUAAUUUAUGAGUUAUGUUCGAAUACUCACAUUAUGAAGUAAUUUAUUAUUAUACUCAACGAAAUUAUGACAUAUAUAUACCUUGUUUUGUAUAUAGAAUUUCUUUUUAGUAAAAUGUAUUUAAUGUGACAUCACUAAUGUCGCACUCCAUGUGAAUGAAAUAACAUAUCUCUAAAUAACCAAAAGUCUCUUUAUUAGUACAAAACAUUUAUUAGUACAAAACAAGGACAUAUAAAAGUUCAAAAUUGUUGAAUAUAAUGAUAAAUUAUUUCAUAGUGUGCGCACCUUAACAUAACCCUUUAUAGUUAACAUAACCCCUUAUUUAUUUGUUUAUUCUUAUAAUUACAUGAAAAUUAAUGUGAGGUAAUUCCCUUCCUUAUAAGAAGAUUUUAACUGGUGGAUUUUGCAGCCGUUACCGCAAUCGACACCAGCGGUAUCAAUUUUCUUGCUGAGCUCAAGAAAACAUUGCACAAAAAAUCGCUUCAGGUGAUCUCUUUCUCUCUCUCUUUCUGCACAGAAAAAGAAUACAAAUUCUCUCUCUACAAACACACCCAAUACAAAUUCUCUCUCUCUACAGACAGACAAAAAGAGUACUCUCUCUCUCUCACUCUGGAUGAUGUGGGUAACAUUAUUUUCCUGUGUUUCAUUGUCUUACAGCUUGUGCUGGCCAACCCAGUAGGAGAUGUGAUGGUGAAGCUCCAAUGUUCCCCAGCAAUGGACGCAUUUCAGUCGGAUUCUUUGUAUCUAACGGUGGCCGAGGCCGUUUUGGCCAUCUCUUCCAACUUCAAGGAUUACCCAUAAUAAUCUGUCGGCAGGGGCGGCGGCGGGCUUUUUCGAACAUAUCUCUCUCCCUACCGUCAGACAUUAGGCAAACAUAACGAGCUCGGAUGCCGCCUUUUAUAUGGUUUUUUUUUGUAACGACAAAAAUGUAUGUUGCUUAGACAAAUUUGAGAAAUACAAAAACCCAUUGCGAGUCAUUUUUCAAAGAGAUGUACCAGCAACAGAUGAGUACAAGCAAAAAUCAACGGUGAUUUCGCCUACCUUCAUCACUGUACAAAGUUCAUCAUGCGGUCACAAUUACCUCGUAGUAUUUUUUUUUUUUUUUUUUCUUACAAAUCGAAAUAACCUGAAAUUUUAAACGUGUAUUCAUCAAAAAUAAAAAAAUCUUCGAAAAUUAUAAAAAAAAUAUUUAACAUAAAAAAAUUAACUAAAAUACCCUUAAAAAAUUUUGAGAGUAUUUUAAUCUAUUUUUUAUGAAUAAAUUUUUUUAUAUUUUUAUUAAAUGCAUCUCAAUAAGAUGUACAUACCCGCAAAAAAAAAAUUUAUAUUUUUGUUACGUGUGAGAGAGAGAGAGAGCAUCAUAACCGCAAAAAAACAUUUUAAAGCGUGAGUGAGAUAGACCAUCAUAACAGCAAAAUCAUUUCAAUCAUUCUCCAAUCACUGGAGUAAAUGAUCUACAGAGGCUUCAGGCCAUUCAUUCGAUAGAAAAGAAUGGUAUAGCAUUAAUCAAGAUGGCAAAUAGCGAUUCACCAUGGAAACCGGCUUCAAAGAACUUCACCGAGAAAGUAACUCAACCUGAACUGGCCUCUGAGACUAAGAUUCUAAGAAAUGAUCCCCACACACUGAUCAACUCCAGCCAUUGGCAUGCUUUGCUGAAAAAACAUCACACAUCUGCACCCAAAACACACUGAUUUUCAGAUUUAAAAUCUUCAUAUGAAACGCAACAGAUAAUGCUAAUAGAACAACAUAAAUUAGAACAUGGCCGGAUCUAUCUCUCUCUCUCUCUCUCUCGGGAUAAAAAAGUAUUGACAUGAGUAACAUGAAUGCAAAAUUCGUGAUUGGGCAAGUGGAACCCUAUUUCUAGUUGAUAUCUGUUAGAAUCAGACUUCAGGUUAAACAAAACAAUGACUAUUUUUAAGCCCAUGUCUGAAACCCAAGUAUAUGUCCAUGCAAAAAAACAUAUAUUCCAUCUUCUCUGGAUGGACAAAAAAACACCGAAAUAAUGAGUUUAUGCGACUUUAGGUUCUUAGGGUCUAUAAUUCGACAGUGGGAGAAGCCGUGCCUAGUGGCAACCGAAGAGGGGACUCUCUCUCUAUCUGUCAUUUGAUAGAUCAGAUAAAAGAGUGUCAUAUGGCGAAAGGAGCUACCUAUGUAGAAAUUUCAAUAUAUAAGCUUUGGGUGAAGAAUUUCAGUAUAUAAACUUUUCUUUUGCCUUUCUAGGCUUUUGUAUAGGGCACCUUUCUGUGGGUAGCCUAUUUUUUUGGGCAGAACCCAUUUGUGGGUAUCCAGUCCCCUCCUUACUUUCCUUUUGUACUCACUUUUAGUUUAAUAGAGAGUUAAAGAGUCCUCCUUUUUGAGGUGCCAUGUGGCUUUCCAGUCCCCCUCCUUACUUUCCUUUUGGGACUGGUUUGAAGUGAGUACAAAAGGAACAGACCAUUACUUUCCUUCUGUACUCACUUUGAACUCGUUAAAGAGUCCUUGCAUGAAACUUAUUAAAAGAGUCCUUGCCUUUUGAAGCUCUCUACUUCAUCUGAACAAUAAUCCCCAACCUAUGAACCUAACAACUUUGAUCCCAACCAACAUUAGCACAAAAAGAUUUCAGGAUUGCCGCCAUCAAAGUAACAACUAAACCACUUUUACUAUCCAGAUGAUUCUACAAGUUGGCCCUUGUUUCCAGAGAAAACCAACAUGGCACUAGGAUUGACCUUUGCUGGACAAAUACAAAGUACGCUUCUCAGUGAAGAGGACAUAAAUGGUGAAUCCCACUUUUUGUCUUUUCAAAAAUGAAUGGAGGAUCAUAAUUCCUCUCAAAAAAAUCCAUCAUCUCAUCAAAUGGUAAUGACGCGAGUGGGGCUUUGAGUGCACCAUACCCCAUUGGAUUCUCUAGAAAAUCUCAUUUCUUAUCAAAAGAAUUACGCUUCUCUCAAUGAACCCCAAACUGAUUGAAAACCCAAAACUGACCUUGUUCUUCCUCCAACCGAACAAAAUGGCAUGAAGUGUUCAAGCAUAUGCAUUAAUCGUUCCAAGUUUCGAAACACUUAAUCUGUAUGUCUAUAUUGGGAAGAAUGAUUUUCUUUAGCAAUAUCACUAACCAUUUUCGCUGGGGAUCCCCAUACUUCAUGAACCAUUUCGACCGGGGAUCCCCUUAGAUAUGUUUGGGAUUCGUGAUGGUUAUGGGCAGGGGAGAGAGAGAGAGAGAGAGAGAGAGAGAGAGAGAGAGAGAGAGAGAGCAUAUAAUAAUCAAAAGAGGAAAGGUUUUACUUACUUGAGCGCAGUCGUGUGAUGGGAAUUUCCCGCAACUCACGUCUAAUACACAGCCACUCCCCAAGCAAGGCCAUCACCGCUAAACCAGUUCCAUUAACAACCCACCAUGUAAGAGAAGAAGGCCAGCCCCCAUAUAUGAUAGAUAUAAAGAGAUGGAUAAUGAAGAGGGUGGCUGAAAAAUCUAGGCAUUUCUUAGCCCUCUCAAUCAAUAGAAGCAUAUAACCAGCUCUGUUCAAGAAGCAGUAAAAUAAAGAGGUUACUAUACUACAAAACAUUGUCCAAGUAAUCAACGAGUCAACUAUCAGUGGAACAAAGUUGUCAUAAUUAUAAAUAAAAAAAAAAUUACAUUAUUUUGUUUUAAGUUUGGAACCAUUGGCAUUCACGCAUACACAUGUAUAUGUCUAUCCAUCUACCCAUAAUAACCAAGACUAGACCAAACCAGUGGCCCGACAGGUUGGAUUGCGACUGGUGCCUUGGCCAAUCUAGUCAAAGUAAAAAAAAAAGUAUAAUAAAAAACCAGUCAAAACCGUUGUUUGGCUAGUUUUGACCAGUUAGACCAGCCGAUUAUUUUAUGCGGCUCGACCAUCUAAAUGAAGUUGGGAAAUUUUUUUAAUAUAUUUUAUGCUUUUAAACUAUUAUAUCCCUUCUUUCUUUCUUUUUCUUUUUUUUGAAAUCCAGUCUAACCGGUUUGUGUAGUGAUUGGACAAAUUUUGACUAGACCAAACUCUUAACCGGUUCAAUGGGUAGUUGUAUGUCUGCACAUACAUACAAAUAUCAAGUGAAAACAUUCACAUGCACAGUUUGAGAACAAAGAUCUUGUGGUUAUGUGUAUAUAAACAGAGAAGAUUCCAAAGUCAAGUACAAACUGUACAUUACAAAAGAUAAGACAUGUCACUCCAUGAAGAUUUUUUUUUUGUACACAAUGAAACUUUAAUUGUAGUAAGAAACAAGCACAUGCAUCUGACAGGAGUACCAAGAGAGAUAAAAAGAUCACAUCCUCAAAGGCUGCACGGUGACAUGGCACAUCAUCAUCAGCAAGUGUGUUCCAUUUCUCCCCCUUAAUUCAAUGUUAACUGUAUUAAAAAAAAAAGAAGGCAUACACAAUUGCAAAUGUACCUAUUCCUGCCCAAGGUGUGGCAUAGACAUACACACCAAGAAAAGGAUGGCAACAGAAGCCGAGGUAGCAGAAAUCACCCCAAAUAAGUAUAAGACAAUAGCCCACAUUGCCCUCUCAAGCCUAAAGCAUAUAAGGCGAUGAUACACUGUUUCUUCAUCUUCAUGACAACAUAAUGCACAUAUCCGGAUGCACCAUAUCUUUUUUUUGUAGGUGAUUCACCAUUAAUAUUGUCAAGAUAUGACAUAUGAGAAACUAAUGGGCCUAACUCAUGCCUGCCUUCCUCAAUAGCCUUGAAAGCAGCCCCAAAAGCAAUCAAAACAAAUUCAACAGAUAAGAGGGUGACAACGCAAAAGAAGGUUCGAUUGGAAGAAAAUGGCUAAUGACCCACAUUCCUUAGAAACACAAAUCUCAAAUAGAGGAUAAAAUAAAAACAGAUCAGAGAAGUGGAGGAUUUCUAGUUUUGCAGUAGAAUGUGUAGGGGACAAAACUUGAAGCCACUACAACAUGAGCAUUCAUGUUGAUUUCAUUAUAUUGUGAGAACAAUCUCUCAAGAAAUUUACAAAUAAUAAGCCUCUAAUGUAAAUUAGGGACUUAAACCUUCAGUCCCUCAAGGCUUGUUUUCUUUUUGAUAAGUACAAGGGCCCUUACCAUGUUACACUUACGUAGAAACCCAAAAUACUCCUAGAACUUCAAUCAUUCAUACCUUGGACUCUUAAGACGUGAUCAGACAUGGGAACCCUGCCCAUACAUAAAGAUGGACAUACAUGUUUUUUAAAAAAAAUUCUAUAAGAAAUGAGAGACAAAAAUAAAUAUAACUCAUGUGUCAACCUACAGAAAGAAGGUGAUCCCAUAUUUGGUGAUAUUCAAGUAAUCCACAAAAUAUUAGUUUUUAAUUAUCAGAAGAUAGCAGUGUUAUUGGAAGAGCUUCAUCCAUGAUCAAGCCCCAGAUUUCUUAUUAUUGAAAUCUUUGACUUCCUUUGUCAGUAAGGUUAUCAUUGUCCCUGUUCCCUUUCACUUAUCUUAACAUGGUAUCAAAGUGUUAUCUCUAUUAUUUUGCAUUCUCAAGAAGUUCCAAAGCAUUAUUCAUUGUGGACAAUAUAAUUUCAGAGGUAUUGUUGCACAAUAUGUAUAAGGACAUGAUUGAGAAGCAAAUUACAGCAGCUCCAAAUAUUGAUUGAAGCUUUGCCUCAAUCUACCAUUAACUAAAUUUGUAAACUUAUAUUCUGUGAUAGGCUAACAGAAUGAACUGGCAAACUAUUUUCUAUAAGUCAAAACCGAUGCUCUGACUCCUAAAAGGAUACAGUUAAGUUCUCUAGAGCCAAUUGGAAGCAAUUAAUCGACACAGUACCAAUAAAUCAUAAAGUGUGCGCAUAGUGUGCUCCCGCAGGAGUAGGUUCUACAUCUACUCCCUCGGCACUACCCACCAUUCAUUAAACAGAACUGCAGAGAGCAUCCCAAUGAGAAAAGGGAAACUGGGGCAGCCGGUUCCCUUGUUUGACAGUAACAAUAAUAAAAUAUUAUCCAGAAUAUGUACUGAUUUUAGAUAGAACAGUCUCAUCCAAGAAAGUUACCUGCCAUCCAAACAGACCCUUAGCUUUUUAACGAAAUGGGUGGUUUUCAAGUGAACCUGUAAAAGAAAGUGAUAAGAACCAAAGGACUGUCAAAAUUACACUCUUUUUGUUACAGAGAAGUAUUUUGUAAAGCCUCGGCUUUAUACGCCUGUAUCCAUAUCCUUCAAGUCGAUCAUCUCCACCUCAAUAAUCAUGGAUAUAAAAAAUCUAUGGAUUUCAAGCCUUAAAAAUGGCACACUGCCCAUGUAAACUAUUCACAAAUCCUCAAGAUUGACACCAUUUUUUGAGAUUCAAAUCCCUCAUACAAAGGAAUUUUCAGGCCAUAUGAAGGUUUACGGUGACAAAACCAGGUUGUCCUGCAGUUAUUGAGAUUCAGCUUUACCAAAUUCCAUAAAGCCGCAGCCUUACCAAAACCCCAUGCUUUUGCUAGCAUUAGAUUUGGGUCAACACUUAACAGGGUUCCAAACAAUGUCGUAAGAUAGAUAUUGGUCAAAAUUCUUGUGUAAACUCCAAAAGCAGUUCAACUACCCAGCUCAUCUCUGAACUAUGUAGUCCUGUGGUUCGCACAGAGACAAGUUGUAUUUAUAAUUCAGAUAAAUUUUUGCCAAAAUUGAAUGCAAUAUAUCAUACUACACAUUGGAUGACCAGUAAAAACCAACUAUACUUAACCAACUACAAAGCUGGCCAACAAAUCUUGUUGCAAUACAUUUCUAAGGAUGAUUUACAACAAAACAUGUAUGUCUUAUACUACAUGGCAAUACCAACAAUACAAAUAAAUCACAAAAACAACCCAUUUUGUAAUACUGAUCAUGUCAACUGCUAAUCAACGCUCAAAUCUACCAAAAAAGCAAUCUACAUAUCAGAAAUUAGAAAAUACUCAGCAUUCAUCAUUAUUGAUAACAAUAAUAAUAACAGAAACUAUUAACAGACAGAGAAUUCAACCACCAAAAGGUAGGCAGAAAAGAAAUGCAAUGCCGUUACCCAGAGAACGCGCUCAUGAGAAACGAUGCAAUAACGCACCAACCGGUCACAGUUGAAGCAUUAAGUGCAGAAUAAUCGAAGAAGUAAACAAGGGUAAGGCGAGGCACUCUUGCCCCAACAAGAACCCAUAUGAAGAACCCAAGAGUCAUAUAGUAAAGGCAUUGAAGACACACAAUUUGGGCAACAAUAAGCCAAGGGUCCCAAACUACUGCCCCAUAGAACAUGACUCUAACCCUUCGACUAAGCCCCCCGAAAAUAAAUCCUAGAAAAUCGCCUGAAGCUUUCCAAGGCCUGGAUUUCUUCAACCUUAGCCCAAAAUACAAAUCCCACCACACCUUGAAAAGGUGGGGGACAUAGAAACCACAAAGGAACCCAAUUUCUGCAAAUUUCAGGAAAAAGAAACCCCAAAUUUGCAACUUCAGAUAUUCAAUAGGAAAAGAUAAAAACCCGGUUUCUGCGAAUUCAGAUACGUCGAAUCCAAUCACCAGUUAAUGAAUUCACCCCCCAAAUUUCCAUAAUCAAAACCAACGAAAACCCAUAUCAGAAUCGAAGUAAUUCAGAUGACCAAGACAAACAUUUCUUCCAGAAAUCGGGAGACACACGCCAAUAAAAUCCAUUUCUGAACGGUUUUCCACCAUGCAAAAGAAAGCUUUUUCUCCAAGAACACACCAGAAAGAAUUCACGAACGAGAUUUUACAAAGAAAAUCAAGAAGAAGAAAGCCCAAGCUAUGGUAAAGUUGAGGAUCUAGUGAAACAUUACCAGUUUAGGGCAUAGAAAAUCUCCAAUUCAGAUCCUAAGAGCCAGCACUUUUAUUGAGCCUUUAACACGAAUUCGAUUGCUCGCUAAAAUAUGCCGUACAAAUCCUCCUUUUUGGGCCGUGGUAAAUUCCCAUUCUGUUUCGGGUCGGGUUCGGUCUGUACUGACCCAAAGAAGUAGACGCGACUCAAAAAUUAAAAUUUAUGUGUUUAACUAUAUUUAAAUAUAUUUCAUAUAUUGUGAUCCAAAAUAUAUUACCAGACCUGGACCGGCAUAGUGUCUGGGUCCAAUAUUUCAACUUGAACGCGAUCAGCUGGAUUCAACUUUUGGACCGAUACCUGGACCCGAAUUGAGUCUAUCCCUUGGGUCUUGAGACGCGUCUGCAUCCAUUGCCACUCCUAUUUAGGGACAGUCGGAUCUUAGAAAGGGGUUGUAUAUUAUAAGACUAUUUAUCUUUGAAAUAAGGAGGUGACAAUUAAUCCUAAGCAUCAAAGAUCAAAUUAGACGAUCACACAUAAUUUACUAUUUUUUAACUUUGAGCUUGAUAAAUGAAACCUUUUCAGUUAUCCAAUUAAAUUUAUUAGACAAAAGUAAUUGUCACCUUGUUCAAAAGUUAAACGGCCUUAUCAUAUACAUUUACGAUUAAAAAUCAAUGAUCCUGAUCGAGAAUCGGAUUGAUCCAACAAACAAUCAAUUGUGGAAUCGAGAUUUGGUUUAAUUGGAUAGAAAUUGCAUAGAGCCGUUUAUGUUAGUGGAAGUGGGGAUCCAUAUUAACAAGCCAGGAUAUUAUUCUUUUAUUUUUUAAUAUAUUUAGGCCCCCAAAAAUAAAUGAUCUAGAUAAGAAAUUACCUAUCCAAAUCGGUACAGUAAAGUGAGGAUCCAAUAUCUAAUUCUGAUUUUUUAAAUGUUCAAUAAAAGUAAUCCAAAAAUAGUUAUUGUGAGAAAAAUAGUAUAACAAUUAGGGCUUAUUUGGUAAGUACGAAAAAAUUUCCCGAAAAUAUUCUCAUGUGAAAACUGUGUCAUAUAUAUUUGAUUAUUAACGAAUAUAAAUAUAAAUUUGGGGAUCAUCUAUAAAGAGAUCACUUAUCUUUCAUACAUAGAUGUACUAAUUAGUAUUGUCCUUUAAAUUUCAAAAUGGGACUACCCCCAGCCCCGACCUUAGUCCGUCCCUGAAGCCCUCACUCUCUCUCUCUCUUAAAUCUUUGUAGAAGCCUUCUUUGAAACCACCCCUGACCCUACUGUAUCUGUCUCUGAAACCCUCACAAAGCCCAAGCCCCAACCCUCUCCCUCUCUAUGAAUGAGGCUCAACCCCCCCUCUACCUUUCUCUCGCACCCUCAGAUAGACCUCUUAGCCCUCUGAAACCCCAGAGCUCUCUCUCACAGUUAGUUAUCUUAGUAAUUCUUCACUUGGAGCCACACAGCAUUGCACAAGACCAUUCACAUAUCUAAAUUAUGUAUAAUGUUAUGGGAUUGUAUACAAUGUGACUAUUUACCUUUUGGCAUCAUAAAUGGAUUGGUGACUCCCCACUUAAGUAUUUGUUUCUUUUGGUUUACUAGCGUAUAGAAAAUUUUGAUGGUGUUGUCGUUGACAUCUUUGUCUUUAGAGGAAAUCAGGUUGAUUGAAAUAUUGUCCUUCCCUAUAAUAGAAUCUCCGAAGUGGUUUUCAAGAAUAUGUUCAACUGCUUGCCCUCUUACAAGAAGUCUAUAUCCUGCAAAUUGGCUCAGAUGAGGUAAUUUGGGAGCAUGCUUACAAUGGAGUUUUCUCAGUUAAAUCUAUGUGUAAUUUGCUCUUUCAUAACCGAUGGAGAUGGCCUAUACCGAAAAUUGCAGGAGUGUGGAAAUAGCCUGUACCACCCAAGGUCAAAGCUUUUUUGUGGCCGGCCGUGCAAGAUAAGGUACUAACGGUUGAUAAUCUCAUCAAACGAUGUAAGAUUUUGCCAAAUAUCUGUUUAUUAUGCAAGAAUGAUACUGAAACAGGGGCCCAUUUGUUCUUGCGUUGCCCUUUUACACUACAAAUUUGGCAUUGGUUUUUUGUCCAAUUGGGUAGUACUAUGAUAAUGCGUGCGGCUGAACAAGGGAUUAUUUCAAAUUUAAUAGUUCGGUGGCUGCCACCAACUAGUGUGGUUUUAUGGCAAAAUUCGAGAGGCAUUAUUCUGUGGGAGGUUUGGAAGGAGAGAAAUAGAAAGGUGUUUGAUGGGAUUUGAGUGUCUGUUGGCUGUGUGUUGGAUAAGAUCUUACAUUCCGUUUGGCUAUCUUGCUCUAUUACAAAAGUAGGUAAAGAUAUUCUUGAGAUGGAUGUGAGAAGGAAUUUUUCAAACAUCGUUCAAUUAAAACCUUUUACAUGCAAGCCUCAGGGGAGAUGGACACCACCUUUAUUUGGGGCUUUCAAACUCAAUUUUGAUGCGAGUUCUCUAGGAAACCUGGGUCCUAUUGGAUUUGGAGGUGUGGUGAAAGAUUGGAAUGGAGCAGUGAUCUUUGGUGUGGUGAAAGAUUGGAAUGGAGCAGUGAUCCUUUCUUAUGCUGGACCUUUGGGUGUUAAACCUGCUAAUUGUACAGAGAUGAUGGCUCUUCUUCAUGGGCUGAAAUUAUUCACUGCUAGAAAUUUUGGCGCGCCUUGUCUGGUGGAAGGGGAUUCUCUUAAUGCCAUUAAAUGGUGUAAGCUGGAGCAAAAACCAUCCUGGGAUCUCCAAUCUCUAUUGUUAGAAAUUUUGGACUUAACUAGAUCUGUCCUUUGCUCUUUUGUUUAUAUCUUUCAUGGGGCCAAUGGUUUGACAGAUUCUCUUACCAAAGGUGGAAUCACUUUAUCUGAGACAACAGUCCUUGACUCUGUAAUUUUUUUUAGUUCUUGAUCAAUAAAGCUUUGANNNNNNNNNNNNNNNNNNNNGAUAGCUUGGAUGUGCCACAAAGAUGGAGAAAAUUUCUUUUGAAGUUUGAGCUUGGUCAAUGGAGUAAUUGCAUGUACUCGAUUUCACAUCUUAUGGUCAAGAUUAUUUUGACCACCUUGUAUCAAAGGUAAUAGUCUCAUUCUAUACUUUCCCUAUUGUUAUUCUAGUUUUUUUUUUUGGAAAAAUAUAUAAUGAGACCAUUUAUCUUUGGUAUAAGGUGGUCACAAUUAAUCUUGACUAUUGGAUGAGAAAUUAGAUGGCUACAUUUAUUCUAUUGAACAAGCUCAAUUUUCAAAAGGAAUUUUCUAGAAUUUGUUGACACACUCAAGCUAUCAUAUUUCACAUCGGAUGGUUGUAAGUAAUUGUAACAUCUUUAUAUCAAAAGUAAAUGGUUUAUUAUAUAAAAAUCCCUCUUUUUUUUUUCAUCCAUGCCCGCAUUUUGUUAAGGGAAAUAUUUUGAUAGGGCUACCCUAUCAAAAUAACUAGGGCACAAGCCCUCCUCACCGUCCAUUAAUUUGGACAGUGCGGAUUUAUUGAGAUAAGUAGAGAGGAAACUGGUGCACCAGAGCCCGAGUAACUUAAGCCCCUUUUCAAACCUAUUUUUUUCAAGCCCAUGCCUCUUUAAAACCAUCUUUUAAAAAGAAAAGUAUACAAUGAAGCCAUUUAUCUUUGGUACAAGGUGGACACAAUUAAUCUUAACUAUUGGAUGUGAAAUUAGAUGGCUACAUUUAUUCUAUUGUCCAAGCUCAAACUUCAAAAGAAAAUUUCUCGAACUUUCUGACAUACCUAAGCUAUCAAAUUUUACAUCGAAUGGUUGUAAGUAAUUGUGACCUCCUUGUAUUAAAGGUAAAAACCCCAAAAUACACUAUUUAUGCAACUUACCCCCAUCCAAACCUUUUAUCUCACUUUUUUCCUCAAAGUAUAUUUUCUAUGCAAAUACCGCUCAACAAAAAAAGUUCAUUUUUUUGAUGGAAAUCCCUUCGCCGUACAAAAUGCUCCUUUUUGUUUAGGAAAAUGCACUCCGGCAAUCUCAAAGGGUGCUCUGGAAAUACAUGCCUGGAGCCACAGUGCUCUGGCAGUUGCAUAGGGCACUCUGGUAUUGAAGACACAGCGCUCCAACAGUAGCAAAAGGCGCUCCGGCAGUACACGUUCUAGAGACAAUGCGCUCCAACAGUCUCAAAGGGCGCUCCAGCAAUACAUGCUUUGGAGCCCUAGUGCUCCGGCACUCGAGAGACAUCGCUCCGGCACUCGAGACACAUGUGCUCCCGCAGUGCAUGUGCUCCGGCAUUUGCAAAACACGCUUUAACAGUGCUUGUUUUGGAGACGACAGCGCUUCGGCAAUUGAAUAGGGCACUCCGACGGUACUUGUUCUGGAGAUGACAGCGCUUCGGCAAUUGAAUAGGGCACUCCGACGGUACUUGUCCUAGUGUCACAGCGCUUCGACAAUAUCCAAAGGCGCUCCGGCAGUAUAUGUUCUAGACAGUGCGCUCCGACAAUGUAUUACUUGAGUCCGAUAGUCAGCACCAAUUGAUUUUUUUUGUACAGGAAGAGCAUUUCCGUCAAAAAAAAUGAACUUUUUUGGUUGAGGGGUAUUUGCUUAGAAAGUAUACUUUUGGAAAAAAAUGAGAGAAGGUUUGAAUGGGAGUAAGUUACACAAAUAGUGUAUUUAGGGGGGUUUUUGUAAUUUUCCCUUUUUUUUUAACGUAAAAAGCUAAGAAUCGAUCCCAUUUCUGAGCUUCAUCCCCGUUUUCUUCUCUCUUAGCUCUCUGACCAGGAGGCGAACUAUGGACCCCUGUACUCAGAAAGAAACCUAGCACCUUUAAUUGUGAUCCAACUCUCUCCUUCUCUCUUUGACUCUCACAACCAAUAAGAGUGAACCCUAGCCUCUUCAAUGGUGAGCGGAAACUCUCAUUCUAUGGCAUACGUGGAGUCUAAACUAUAGCAAGUUUUCGUUAGAACACGAUUUUUUCAAAGAAACAAAAUUUGAUUUUUUGAAAUCGAUUAAGAACUAUGAGUUUUUCAAAAAUCUUCAAAAAAUCGCUUUUUUUUUAAUAGAAGAGAUAUAAAUCCGUAUUUAAUAUUUUUUCAAAAAAAAUUCAAAAAAACUUCUUCCCAUAACUUGAUUUCUUCCCAACUUAAGUACUCAAUUUAUAUGAUUCCAUGUAGAAAUGAGUCCCCUCUUAAAAAUAUAGUAUUGAGAUUGAUUUUUUUUACCCAUAACUUGAUUUCUUCCCAACUUAAGUACUCAAUUUAUAUGAGUCCAUGUAGAAAUGAUUCCCCUCUUAAAAAUAUACUUUUGAGAUGGAUUUUUUUUACCCGACCCGACUUAUGAAACAAUUAUCCUUAAGUACAUGUUAUUGAAUUUUGGUUUGGAGAUAAGCAUAUUAACUGUGGAAGUAAAGUAAGAAUAUUAAUUUAACAUAAAAUUCCAUAAAAAAAAUCAUCAAUAAAUUCUCUUAUAUGAAUAAAUGAAUAAGUUUUAAAAUUUUAAAAUGAUAGUUUUAUAAAGAAAACAUUUGGACCAUUGUUUUCAACUGUUUUAUUUGGACCGCCCAUUUGCAUCCAUGUUUAAAAUGCAUGUUUUAUACCUCGGGGGACACAAAUGUAGAAAUGCAUCUCGAAAAUUAUGAAACAAUUUUCUUUAAGUAAAUCUUAUUGAAUUUUGGUUUAGAGAUAAGCAUAUUAACUGUGGGAGUAAAUUAAUAUUACUUUAACAGAAAACCCCGUCAAAAAUUUCACCAAUAAAUUCUCUUAAAAAGUGUAUAAAUAAAUUCAAGCAAUAUAUUCCCCAAAACGUUAAUGUUCAAUGGCUUUAAUGAACCUACACAAUAACUGCAAAUCAUAAUCCUAUAUUAUGUUAUCGUUUUACAUAUCCGAUUUUUUCACUCCAUUUUUUUGAGCCAAAUCCAAAAUAUUCAUAAGCCUUUAACUUAUUAUAUUUUUUGGUGAUCUUUAUUUUUUAUUUGUAUUUUUUUAUCCAAUUUUUAAUCUCGAAUGUUUUGGAGUAAAACCGAAUUCUUAACAAUGUUUUGCUUUGCCGAUAUAUUAUUACUCCCCAACUUGCUAACUAUGAUCUAAACGUAGGGUUUUGGCAACGAAUAGAAGCUUUAAGAGUUUUCUUUUGUGUCUACAGUGUCUUGUAUACGUGAAUUUAGACAAUAUCUUCUUUUAGGAUUUGAGACAAGUCGAUGAGAAUGGGUGCCUUUUUUCUUUUCCACUAAAGUAAUUCAGUGGGAUAGAGGCCCUUUUCCAUUUUUGAAAUCAUUAGUGAUUUUUUAAGAUGUCAGACGAGCAUGAAAGCCUAAACCUUAGUCAGGGCUCAGGGUGCUACCAAACGACCUCACCCCCAUUUUCAAAUGAAUGGGUGCUCAAUUAGUUUAGGAAUCCGACCUCAAAAGCUCAUGGGGUAAUUAAAUUGGUUUGCAAAAAUUUCCUUAAAAACAAUAGUAAAAGAACCCAAUGGGCCUCCCCUCACAGCCCAAGCUUAAAUCUACCUAUUUAUGUGGGUUAUGUGUGUAGCCACUCCCCAUUCCACUUCAUGAAGCCUUAGACCAACCUAUAUCAAAACAAACCUCAAAACCAAAGAAGCUACAUUAAUGCUGUUGGAUUCCUUUUUGACAUAAAAUAAGCAAAAAGAUUUCCUUUUCCCCAGGAGUAAGUAGAUACUAUCGAUUUACUCCCCCAGGUAUAACACAUGUUAGGAAUACAUUUUAAAUCUCGAAUUUUGGGAUAUGCGAUCUCUAUGAACGAAUAAAGACCAUCUAAUUUUUUAAGUGCUAGAUCUAAGUGUCAUAAAACUCAAAAUUAAAAUUAUUUCUUUUGAAAAUAAUCAUCUAGUAGUUCUUAUGUGGUUCCCAAAAUUUUAGGCUAAAUUAAUCUUUCUAAAUAGGUGUUCUCUACGAGGGAGUAGACCCACAAUAUGCUUCUUAGGGAGCAUAGUAUACAAGCUCUAAAAUAAUGAUGGACAUAAGAUUUUAAUUAUCUUACUUCGAAGUGACCAAAUUUUCUUUUCACUUAUUUAUUGACAAAAACUAUGGUCUCCUAAAUGGGUCUUUAAAUUUUUUCUAAAGCGUCUAAUGCUUUUUUAUGUCCCCAAUUCCCAUUAUGGCUUUAAGAUUUUAGAGAAUAGGUGGAAAUUGGGGUCUAAUUUUGAAUGUUAGUUUCAUUUCUUUCAAUGCUAAAAUCAAACUUCCGUUUUUAUAAUCAAAAUCAAGUCCCCACAAAUUAGGUUAGAUGCAAAAUAGAGUGUCAAUUUUAAGGGUGACCCUCAGACAUUUCGACAACUAUAGUAACUUUGUCUGGUUAACCACGACGGAGAACAGUCAUAUUGAGGAGUUGCGCCGAUUUGUAUGCUUCUGGGAUGACUGGCCCGGCCCGCAUACGAGAAUUUGGUGUCGGGUGCUCGUGAACCCGCUCGUCUGAAGGGUUUUUUGUCUGCAAAAUUAGUCUUUUGCUAACCCUUUUGGCCAUACUUAGACCAUUGGUGUAGGGUAAAUGAGACCUGCCAUUGGCAUGCAGUCUGGCUCUUCUCAACGACAUAAUAUAGGAGGUGUCCAUGUCCAUGUCUAUAACAUGGAAUAGGGACUGAGUCCUCAUGGUGUAAACGAGCAAAUCUUGAUCGUGGGUAUGUUUAGAUUGUCUAAGUUUGAGCUUGACUUGAUUUACAAUCAUAUUAACCAGAUGGGUUUUGUUAGACUUAUCGAGUUGAAAAAUAUUGCUCACGCUUGGCUCAUGAGGAGCUGAGCCGAACCAAGCAAGUUAGUUCGGCUUGUUGUCAACCCUAGUAGGACUCAUGAUAGGCUGGAGCAUAAGGAAUGUGGUUGGAGCAUCAGCGGUUGGGGGGAGGCGGACGCCUCAACAUAACAUUCCACCCUCCAUUCCCAGUGUUAACAUAUUAAAAAAAAAAAUGAUAAGUUGGAGGAGACCGAGCUCCAGUUUCAUUGUUCCAAUUAAAAGUGGCACAACAAAUAAUUUGUGCCUCCAAACUAGCUUUAAGCCCUGAUUUGUUUUUAAGUUUAUGAUGAAAUUGGACCUCAAUAUAGGAAAAUUGUUUCAUGUAGCAAGGAUCACAUUUCUACAUUUGCGGUCCCUGAGGUAUAAAACAUCUAUCUUAAAGAUAAAGAUGGAUGCAAAUAGGUGGUCCAUCUAAAAACAAUUGAAACUAACUAUCCCAAUGUUUUUUAAUAGAAUUAACUUUUUUAAUUUUUAAAAUUUAUGUACUAUUCCAUAUUCAUGAUCUCCAUGUUAGAGAUUACAUGUCCUUAAAAAUUAAAUCCAAAUAUCCAUCUAAAAAAUAGAUAUUUAAGAGAUAGACUCAUUUACGCAUAGAAACCGUAUCCAUCGAUGUAUGAACAUGAAAUAGUAUAUUAUAAAAAUGAAAAAUAAUAGUCAAGUACAUUAUUACCAUUUAUUUUGGAGAGAGAGUGAGCCCAACCCAACCCGAAUAUAUGGUAAAGUAAGUGUUAGGUUCUACCCACUAUCCAUCACCAUCCAUUUUAUCAAUGGAGAGGGGUGACAUAAUGGACUGUAGUAUGAUGGCCGUACAAAAACACCAUCAUCUUCGUAAAAAAAAAGACGUCUGUGUAGGGAUAUCAUCAUCUUGCAUAGUUUUCCAGUUCCAAUCAAGCUUAUGCAUGCUCAGAACUCUAUAUGGAGAUCAGCGUUUGACUACUCGGUUUGAGUCCAAGUACUCGGUCUAAGUAGUCAGGUUCACCACUCUAGUGAGCUCGAGUUUUCUUGAGUUAUUAGGUUAAUAAAAAAAAUUCAAAACAAUAUGAAAAAACUUAAAAAAUAAAGAAUUUAUUUAUGAUAGGGUUUUGUUAGGGUACACCGGUGGUGUAUAUCCUUUAAAUCCUCAAUAUUUUUUGACACUUAAAUACCCUUGAAUUGUAAUACAAAAUUUUUUAAAUAGAGGCAUUUUUUGUCAUUUAGAAUGGUAGAAUGGAUAUUUUUAUAAAAAAAUAAUAACAUUUUAUUAGUAGUUAAAAGACAAUUAAUGUAUGUUGUGGGCAAUGUCAUACACCAUAACGGUGAUGUGAUUGUCCACUAUUGUCGAUAAAUGAUUUUGUUUCUAUUAGGAAUUUUUACUUUACAUUUGACUAAUUACUUAGAUACCUUUAGACAAAAAGUUAAUGCACUAUAGGAUAAUAAUAUCUAAGUGUCCAAAAAUAUUGAAGACUUUAAGGGUAUAUACUACCCAGUGGUAUAGCUUAACAAAACCUUCUAUGAUACGUUAGUUUUAUAUUUUCUACCAUUUUCACAAAGAUUGAAAAGUGUUUUGGGUUAUAAAUAUUUAUUUUUACAAUUUUACAUUUUUCCAUAUUUUUAGAUUCUUUCUAAAAUACCUUCAGUCACAAGUUGACUUUUUAAAAUCUAUUUUUUUUACUACUUUUUUAACUUCAUUUUGAUGUGUUUUGCAUAAUUCUACUUAAAAUAUACAUUUCCUAUUUUUUUAGUUUUUUUGUAUUUUAUACCCGUUUUUUGUUGCUACAAUACUCGGGCCGAUUACUUAGAUCUGGCAUGGACUGAGUACUCGCCCCGAGUAGGUUUCGACCACUGAUGGAGAUAAUGUAAGGAUUUGGGUUUGAUUAAGUGUUGGCAGUUGCAGCACUACAUCCCAAGCAUUGUUUUCAGGCAAACCAACUCUGACUCACCUGAGUAACUCAUACUUGCCACCCGAAGAAGAUCAAAAUUAUUAUUUUCCGUCACAUUUCAAUUCGGUUGGUGGUAAGAGUGUCAUUCACUAAACACAAAGUUCAAAUAAAAAAAAAAAAAACUUGAACUUGAUUACACAUCGCAAGCUUUCCAAUUUGACAUCUAAUGGCUAAGAGCAAUUGUCACAUCUUUAUAACAAAGAUAAAUAGUCUUAUGAUAUACAAUCCCUUAAACAAUCAUCGAAAAAUGGCUGCAUGACUCAAAUUUGGGGCUCAAUUAGCCGAAAUGAGCCCCAAAAAAAUGCUAAAGUAGUAAACUUUUGAGACGGGAAAAGAGGCCUUUCUGUUGGACUCGGCCGAAUCCUUGUAAAGGAAACAUAUAUAAAAAGAUCAUUUACUUUAGGUAUAUGUUUGAUAUCAAGUGGACAUCCAAAGUUCAAAACGAAUUUUCUCAAACCUUGUGACAUGUUUAGAGCUGCCAGAUUUGACAUCUGGUGACUAAGGGUGAUUAUAACAUCCGCAUACCCCGUGUAACAUCAAUUCCUUAAUAAAAAAUUUAUAGAAUUUUUGAAUAUCAAACACAUACAUUUCGUGUCAUUGCAUUUGGAAACAUGCCAAAAAUCAUGAACAAGGAGUCCAAGUUACAUGUCAACGAAAAAAACAUUUGCUUGAUAUUUCUCUUUACUUUCCCUUUUUCGUUUUUGGUAAUUCAACAAUGGGAUUUGAAUUUGGGAUUGUCUACAAUGAGACCAUUUAUCUUUUGCACAAAGAGAGCACAAUUACUUAUAACCAUCCGAUGUAAAAUAGGAUAGCUUGGAUGUGUCACAAAUUUCGAAGAUUUUAUAUAUAUAUAUAUAUAUAUAUAUAUAUAUAUAUAUAUAUAUAGUUUAGAGUCGUGUACAAUAAGUAAUAANUACGACCUACCCUACCUUAAUUUAUUAUACUAGUAGUAUAUAAUUAGUUAGUAGACGUCCUACGUUANNNNNNNNNNNNNNNNNNNNUAAUAACUUAACUAACUACUUAAAACGUAAGUAAGUAGUAGUCGUAGUGUGUCACUAAUUACGUAGAUUUAUAUAUAUAUAUAUAUAUAUAUAUAUAUAUAUAUAUAUAUAUAUUUGAGCUUGGUCAAUAGAAUAAAUGCAACCUCCCAAUUUUAUAUCUAAUGGUCAAGAUUAAUUGUGAGCACCUUGUACUAAAUGUAAAUAGUCUCGUUGUAUAUUUUUUCUUUGAACUUGGGAUAAGUAUAUAAAAGCACAACGACAAAAGAAUGAGCCAAGUAACUCGGGCGAGUCUGAGUACUCUGCUCAAGUCCAAUCAGGUUCUGGCAAGCCAAAAAGUGUUAAAAUUUUUAAAAUAUACAAAAAACUCAAAAAUAGGAAAAAUAUUUUUAAACUAAAAUUAAACAAAACACAUCUAAAUGAGGUUAGAAAAAUAGUGAAAAAAAAAAAGAUUUUGAAAAAAUCUACUUGUGAUGGGGGUAUUUUAGAAUAAUCUAAAAAGAAUGCUAAAUGUGAAAAUGAGUAUUCAUGGCCCAAACACUUCCAAAUAUUUCACAAAAUGAUAGAAAACAUAAAAUAAAAUAAAAAAAUUACAAAUAAUAAUUUUUAUAAAAGUAAAUAGUCUCUUUGCCAAUUUUUUAAACCCAAAACACAGUUUUUAAGUCAAACACUUAUUUUUUCUAAAUUGAAAGAAUAUGAAAUUGAGGCUUUUUAUUGAAUUCUACCUCGGCAAGCCUCUCAUAUAUUAUUCUUUGAUUUGUAUAAGUUUUCAAAUAUCUCAUGAAAAAAAUACAAAAUGAUGUAAUGAAUCUUCACAAAAGCUAAUAAUAUAAACCAAUUUUCGCAAUUUUUGACGACUUUUUAUCAGGGUGACUCGCAUAGCCUUGCGGAUCCGACUCGGGACUCAUUAAGGUGACUUCCCCCAAAAACCAAGCGUGCACCCAGAGCUGAGUUCGAGUUUUUAAACACGGUUUCUUUGUUAAAAUAAAAUGACGGACCAAAAUUUAUGUAACUAAUUAUAAAAUAGUUUGAUGCUCCGAAUAAUAGAUGGAAGACAACUAGCAAGACCAAGUGAGGACGAAUUUGUCCCAUUUACAGAAUUUGGUCUAAAAUCUUGGUCAAAAGCGAAUAUAGACUUGAAAUGUUAAAAAGCAAACCUUUUAUAAGAUUAUAUUCUCUCCCUUUUCUCUCUCAAGAUGUGUCCAACAUUUAAAAAGUUGAAACCCUAUCUCUAAUAUAUGCAAAUGUAUCCGAAGGAUAAGAUUAGGUAGUCCGCGAAACCAAAUUAUAAUGAGGCCUAAAACUCCCAAAAAUAUUGUUACCACACUAAUGCCAAUUUAAGUGAAGUUGUAAAAGAAUAAUAUGGAACUCAAAAGUUGGUCCAACUCAAAAUACUUCUAAGAUCAAAUCUAGACCAGUCAUUUGGAUGGAUCUUAACUUCAUUGAAUAUAAGCCCCAAAUAAAUAAUUUUCUUUGAAUCAGUAUCAUGCUGCAUGGAAUGUAAUUGGAGUUAAUUUUAGGCCACACAAAUCCCCUACAUUUUUCGUCAUGUUGGUCGGGCCUCGCUCUGGCUCCCUCGGGGACCCGGGUUCGAUUGGCCCCCUCUCGAACAACCGCCUGACCUCCCGAGCGCGUAUGCGGCUCGUGUGUCACUUGCGGAUAGGUACAUCCAACUAUGAGAGGAUUUUAAAGCGAUGAAGAGAUGGACUCGAGUACCUACCUCACCAUGGUUUAACUUCGUGGGAUAAGCUCGGGCUAUAGCCCUCUUAGAUCAAUGAACGAGAGCCCUCUGACUGUCCAGUAGUGCGGUUUGAAUUUGAUCACAUCUUUAAACUCAACACCUCACCUGGACUCUCGCUUGAAAACUGCUAAUGAAAUCUAAAUAUAAUAUAUUAUUCUUUGAUUGGCUUUAUGAGUUAAUGGUUUUAGUUUUGGAGGUAGAGUAGUUAAAGAAUUAAGAAAUAGAGGGAAGAAAGAAGAGAAUAAGAAUGGGUGAAAGAGAACUUAGUUUAGAAGUGAGAACAAGAAGAAAGAGAUAAAGAUAAAAUAAGAAUGACCCAAAUAAAAUUGGGCAACCUUCCUGCGUAGCCUCUUCUAAAAGGUAUUACUAGAGACAAAGAAAAGCACCAGGCUUGAAGCCUUAAUACCCGGAGGGUGUGGAAAGUGAAGUUACAGGGCAGGGCCUAUAACUAUGUCACUAAACCAAAGAGUUCCCUAAAAAAUGAACAAGUGAGAGAACAAAGUGAAAGAGAAAGAGAGAGAUAUGAAAGCCUCUCACAACUCAAACACUGUGUCACUCAGUGGUUAGAGUUAUGAAAGGGUCAGAACUCUAAAGAAAGUUAACUCAGGAUGACCCCAACCUGAGUGACUGAGUGUAAGAGAAUCAGUCUCUUAUGACUCGACUUCACUGUACGAGCUGAUGCUUAGAAUAACAAUUUGAGAGUUAGAACCUAGGGCACUAUCUCAGGAUGGCCUCGAGUCGAGUGCUCAAGAAGUGAGAGAAGCAACAAGCCAAAAGAGAGAUAAAAGAAUGAUGUAAAAACAAAAUAAGUGAAUGAGAAACUAAGAUAUGACUUAGAGAGAGAA